rnacentral:lncRNA from 1 species
ACUAGGGGGAUAGAGUUCGGAAUGAGACUAUUAGGGAGAAGGUUGGUGUGACUCCAGUGGAGAAUAAGAUGCGGGAAGUCCGAUUGAGAUGGUUUGGACACGUGAUAAGGAGGGUCAUGGAUGCCCCGAUUUGUAGGUAUGAGAGGCUAGCUUUGGAUGGUUUUAGGUGGGGUAGGGGUAGGCCGAAGAAGUACUAGGGAGAGGUAAUUAGGCGGGACAUGGAGCAGUUAUAGCUCACUGAGGACAUGACCCUAGAUAGGAAGAUCUGGAGGACGCGAAUUAGGGCAGAAGGCUAGGGUCAGUUUGGUUCGCUAGUGUAGGGAGACUUGGUGGGGUAUUUUUCUUGGUAUGAUACCUUGUUUCAUGCUUUAUUACGAAUCUGUUUACUUUUCUCUGUUUUCUAUUACUUGUGGGUGUCGUAUUUAUGUUAUGCCAUAUUGUUCCAUGCUUUACUAUGUAUUUGUGUAGUAUUUCGUGUCUCGAGCCGGGGGUCUAUCGGAAACAGUCCUUCUACUUCUUUAGAGGUAGAGGUAUGGACUGCGUAUAUCUUACCCUCCCCAGACCUCACUAUGUGGGAAUACACUGGGUUUGUUGUUGUUGUUAUACCAAUCAAACGAUCCCAAGGUGUUUAUGUUGGUAAUAAGACACAACAUAUAAGAUAUUAAUUUAUACUAUUCAUUUACUUUUCAAAAGAAAACUAAAUGGCUUGAUCAAUAGUGUUGGAUAUUGCAUCUGUUACUCCUACAGUAUUCUAGAAUAAUGAGUUAUUUAGUUAUAGAAGGAGUCCAAUAAUUAAAUUAGUAUAAUAUUCAGUUUUUAAUUUUAGUAAGAAUCUAAUACUUUAAUUGUAGGAUGAGUCAACAACUUUAUUCAUAUGCCUAUAUAAAGGCUCAUAAUUAAUAAAAUUUAUAUGAGAAAGUUUUAUUGUUCGUCUUGUUCUUCAACAGUGGUAUCAAGAGCAUUUAUCGGUCCUCAGGAAUCAGUAAAUUUAUUGAAGAAAAACAUAAUUAUUUUUUAAUCCAUACAUAUUUUUAAUCUACUUUUAAUCCUUACAUUUAUUGUUAACAUAGGAUUAUUUUUAAUCCUCACUUUUAUUUUUAACGUAGGGCUAUUUUUAAUCAGUUUUAAAUUCAUAUUAUUUUAAAUUUUGCUUUUCAAACCAUGACAAGUAAUACUCUCUCUGACAAUGCCCCACAAACCUUCACUGGUGAAAACUAUUAAUGUAGACACGUCAUUUUUGACCCUCUCCGACUUAUAACCUAUUUUUUGCAUUAAAUAUUUAUAUUUUAUCCAAUAUUUAUUUUAACUCUUAUUUCAUUUUCAUAGGUUUUAUUUGAAAAUAAAUAAAUAAAGUUACAUUUGGGAUAUUUUUAUUUUUACUUUAAAUAAUAUGAAAAAAUUGAAAAAAAUAUAUAUAUUUUGUAAUUUUAUUUUAAAUAAAGAAGCUAGUAUUUUUAGUAUUAUCUUAAUUAUAUUUAUUUUUGGCUAUUUAUAAACUUUUAUUGUAUCUUCUUAAAUAUAAAAAAUUAAUUAGUUAUUAUUAUUUAUUUAUAUCAUUUUUAGUUGUUAUUAUUAUCUUCUAUUAAAAAAGAAAAAGAAAAUAAAAUUCAAAAUUUAAUCCUAUCUGAUAUCUUGUAACUGUUCUCCCUAAAAAUCCUGUAUUUAAGAAUUUUCCCAUCCAUAAUUCUACGUACAUUCUAUUGCUACAGAUUACAUAAGAUAUCAAAAAAAUCAAUCAGAGUAAAAGAAAAAAAAAGAGAGUGAAACAUUCAAAAUCAUCAGGAGAAAUACAGAAGGAGAAAAGAAAAGAGGGUGAAGUUGGGUUCGAGUUUUACGUUCGAAUUUUUUGGUGUCAACGUUCGAGUUUCUAUUUUAACUCAUCAUACAGGUUCCUAUUUGAUCCUAUGUUAUUUAUUGUAUAAAUUUUGUUAAGAACCAAAACAUGAAUAAAGUUAUUUAAAUAAUUUCAUGUGUUAUUCAGUAUGUGCUAUCGCUUUAUUAUGUGAAUCUGUUAGUUACUAUGGAUUAUAUAUUUGAGUUACUGAAUAAUUAUAUAUUUAUACAUCAAUUCAAAAUUUGACAUAUUCUUUUGUCAAUCUAUAUUAUCAAAUUUUUAAUUGAGUACUCUAUUUUUAUAUUUUUAUACUACACAGAUACACGCAUAUCACUGGAAUACACAGUUUCUCGAAAUCAGUCAUUCCCCUCUUUCAAACACAAAUAAACUCACACAUACAAUUCACAGAAUCUAUUUUUAAAACAUAAUAUUCAAACACUUGGAUAUACAUAAAAAAAAUAGAGAGAAGAAAAAGAUAUAAAAACAGUAAAAAUUAAGUGGAAAACAAUGGUUUAUUGUUUAGAUUUUUCGGCGAAAUUUUGCUGGAAAAAUAACAUAACCACAGUCGACGCCACUAAUAGCAAAAUUGACGCCGGAAAAUCCCAACACAGCCUAACGGUUUAAUCCACCCUUUUCCACCACUGUCGUCACUAUUCCUACUGUUAUUCCGCCGGAAAAUCGCAAAACCGCCGACAUCCGCGUAACCAGUCACCACAAACCGCUCGAAAACACUGUUCGGUGCUACCCUAAUCUCCGCUGCCCCUCUCCCUUUUCCUACGUCACCGGCCAACAAAGCCCAACGUCACCGCCAUCGUCCCCACUCCCUUUUUUCUGUCGCGCCACCCCUUUUCCCUUCCCUCUCCUGUCAUGCCAUGGCAGUUCGAAUCUAGUCAGGUUUUGGCUAUCCGGCAUUGCUCUGGUAACUUCCACUGCUGCCAUAGUGUAAAAGAAGAGAGAAGUAAAAAACUGAGUAUUGAAUACGUAUGUGAGAGAAAAAGGGAUUUUAUAUUUCUUUUUAUUAUUUUUUUCUUUUUGAAUAAAUACCCAAGUUUCCAUAUUUGAGUAUAAUAUAAAUUAUUUUUAUUUUUUAAUAAUUAUUGAAAAAAUGAAUUAUGAAUAAAUUUGAUACUAAUAAAAUGUAUUAUUAUUUAUAUUUUUACUUGGAGUAGGGUAUCGUAUAUUUCAGGUUCUUUAUUUUUUUUUGGGAAUUUGUGUUCGAAUCAUAUUUCAGGAAUUUUCGUGUAUGAUUUGUCUUAUAAUAUUAAUUUGAGUUUAUUUAAUUUAAAGAUAUUAAAUUUUGAGGAUAAUAUUAAAUUUAGCAUAAUAUAGGUAGAUUUGUGUAUUUUAUUUGUUUUAUUAUUUUACUAACAGAACUUAAUAAUUAUUUAUUGAUUUGAUUAAUUGUGUUAAAUGAAUUUUACUUUAAUUUAUUAUUAAGAAUUUAGGCAAAAUUUUAGACGCAUUUUAAAAUAUUCAUCUCAAUUAAGAAUACGGCAUACACAUCUUUCCUAGACAUUUUAAAAAUUCAAGGAUGCAAUAAUGCACCUGAACAAAUAUUUUUCUAAAAUUAACUUUUCACCAAUUUAUUUAAUAUAAGAUAAUAGAUAAGUUUUAGAAUAAUAAAAACGAGCAAUUUUAAGCCUUAACGUAUUUUAUUAAAAUAAUUUAAGUCAAGAUAAAUCCAUACAAGAGACGUGCUAGAACCACGGAACUCGAGGAGUGUCUCACACCUUCCCCUCGGUCAAUAGAAUUCAUUACCUAUUUUUCUAUUUUUCCAGACCAAAUAAGAGUCAUUUUCUUUUGAUUGGGGAUUCAAAAAGGUGACUUUAAACACCAUAACUCUAUUCCAAGUGGCGACUCUGCAAUUAAAAUAAUCCCUACUCAAAACUAUCACUUUAAUUGAAAAAACCCUUCGACUCGACCUUCGAGCGAAAAAAGGGAUGUGACAUCUCUGGCUACUCUACUAGGGAUAACCAGAAUUUGAGCUUUUAAUAUUACUUUUACUUGCUUUAAUUGUUUUGAUAUUUUAUUUGUUGACUUAAUAUGUUACUUGUUGCUCAUUUAUUGCUUUGAUAUUGUUGAACUGUAUUUAUAAACUAUCUUCUCUUACGCACCCCCUCUGCAUCUAUGAAAUAGGAUAGAAGGAAUGCAAUGUAUGCAUCCUACCUUUUUUUUAGAUAGCCAGAGUGUCAAGGUACCUGGUGAAGGAUUAUUAGUCACAUAUGUUAGGCGGGGUUUGGAUCCACAAUAAACUCAGAGUAGCACUGCUACCGAACAAGUUGUCCCUCCCCGACUCGAGUGUCCGCUCAAGUAAGUCAGUCUAGACACCUAUCCCUAUUAGGCUAAACUUAGUAGAACUGAAACUCAGAAUUUGGUUAUCUUUAUUAGGUUCCGCUUUAUUUGCAUCAUGUGUAUUUGACUUAGCGGGACUUGGCACACGGGCCGAGUCUGUCUAGGACGGAUGUCCUUCUUUAAAAUGACCAACAUGUGCAUCCUAUGUGCUCUUUGACAUUUAUUUAAAAGACUUAUUUUAUUAUUGAUCGGCUUUAAGGUGACUUAGCGAAAGUAAGAGAGUUUUUGUCCUCAAAUUUAAUAAGUCAUUUUAAAAAAAAAAUUAAAAAUAUAUAUAGUUUUUAAUGUCUUCAUGAACUACGAGGGUCCGAUUCUCACUAUUUAGCGGGAUACGUAGGAAUCCCUUUUCGAGGUGCGACCGUGGCUUUUGAAAAAUUAUUCAUAGAUUUAGUAGGGAAUAUUUUGAAAAUAUGAUUAUUUUCAUAAUUAUUUUUCUUAUCCUCAAGUUCAAUUUAUAUAUAUAUAUAUAUAUAUAUAUAUAUCUUAAUAGCCCUGAAUCUUUAGGGAUCAUGAGGCUAAGUUUUACAAAACCAAAUAUAUAUAAAUCUUAACAGUCGUGAACCUUUAGGGGUCUUGAGGCUAAAUUUUAUACGACAUAUAUUUCACGAACUACGCAUACGUGAUUCUCAUCUUUAAUGAGAUACGUAGGUAGUCCUUCAUGGAUUCGGUGGUCUUAAAAAAAAUGAACUCUAACACAUUAGUUUUCUCCAAAAUUAAAAUAGUAGUAAGGUGGUUGGUUUGUGGCUAAGUUGGCUUCUCAACCCAUACAACAGAUGUUCAAAGAAAAAAUAAAGAUGACCCACAAAGAGGGUGUGGGGUCUGACAGUGAGGAAAAGCAAAAUCAGUUGAUUUCCCAAGAAUUAGCAUCAAUGAAAGAAAAUAAGUUAUUGAAACAACAUUUAGUGGAGAUGUACCAAGCUUGGUUGAAUGGACAAGUCCCGUCUUCCUCAAUCCCUGGACUUUCUAAUACAAAUGAUACAAAUUUCGCUCAAGCUCAAACUGGCGAUCCAUUUUACCCACCUGCAUUCAGCCCAUAUCCUAAUGUGUCUGGCAUUGUUAGUACUUCUACCAUACGCCCACCAAAUCCAUCUAUCACAAACAACCCGUUUUUGACUCUUGUAGCACCAGCUACUGCGGGUCCUCAAUUGACAAUAUAGAAAGAUAUGGGUGAACCAAGUCAUGAUCAAUAGUAUCCUCUUAAAAUGACUUUCAAACCCCCAAAUCCACAUUAUCAUGCUCAUCAACACGAUUCUCUAUCAUGAUUGAGAAGAUUGUUAAAAGUAAAGAACAGAAAGAGAUAGCCAGGAAAGUGAGAAGCUUAGAGCAGACUAUGAGAAAUAUGCAAGGAUUAGGAGGAUCAAAAAGUGUUUCAUACAAAGAUUUAUAUAUGUUUCCUGACGUUCAUUUGUCGCUAGGGUUCAAAAUACCAAAGUUUGACAAUUACGAAGGGCACGGUGAUUCAGUAGCACACUUGAGGCCUUAUUGUAACCAAUUAAGAGGUGCUGGAUGUAAAGAAGAAUUACUCAUGGAUUAUUUCAGUGAGAGCCUUUCGAGUCUAGCCUUAGAGUAGUUUAUGGAUCAGGACAUCGAUAAGUGAAGUAGUUGGGAUAACUUGGCUAAUGAAUUUGUGCAAUAAUUUCAGUACAAUGUGGAGCUGAUUCCUGAUGAGAAAUCCCUGACUAAGAAGAAGAAGAAGAAGAAGAAGAAGAAGAAGAAGAAGAAGAAGAAUGAAUGAAUGAAUGAAUGAAUGAAUGAAAAUUUCAAGGAGUAUACGAUUAGAUGGCGUGAACAAGCUGCUAGGGUGAAACUGCCAAUGAAAGAAAGCAAGAUAGUGAAGGUAUUUAUUCAAGCACAGGAUGAAACAUACUAUCAACACUUGUUACCUACAUUAGGAAAGCCAUUUAUUGAGGUCCUCCAAAUGGGAAAAAUGAUAGAGGAUGGAAUUAAGAUUGGUCGCAUUGUGUGUUUUGCAACAUUGAAAGGGACUACUCAAGCAAUUCUGAAGGGUUCAGGAAAUGUUAGAGGGAAUAAGAAUGAGGAAGAUGUAGCUUCUAUUGUAGCUGAACAACAUGCACGUCGAAGAAUACCACGUCGUUGUUACCCUCAGUCUCAAACCCAAGUUCAUGCCCAAGCUCCACAUAAUCACUCCCAAAAUCCAUUAUACUUCAUUCCUCUACCUCCAUAUCAAGUAUAUAACUCAUAAUCUCAUGUUCAGUCCCCAUCUUACCCACAAUGGCAUGCACCAACUCCUUAGAGUCAUCCUCCAAUUCCAUAAAUAUACCAAAGCCCUUCUAGGCCUGAUUUUUUAUCCAAGCCAAACAAUGAAAUAAGGCAAAAGUCGAGGGAUAGUUUCACACCAAUUGGAGAGUCAUAUGCCAGAUUAUUCCAGAGAUUGGUACAGUGGGGCAUGAUCACUUCUCUCCUUGGGUACACUUCUAAUCAUCAUUUAAAAAGUUUUAAUCCUAAUGUACAAUAUGUGUAUCAUUCUGAUGUUUAGGGUCAUAGUAUUGAAGAUUGUCGGGAUUUGAAAAGAGAAAUUGAAAAGAUAAUUCAAGAUAAAUCAAUUAUGGUGCAGAACAUUGACAGUCAGGAAAGCUCUAGUCAUGCUGAUAUGCAAACCAAUGGCUAAGAUGUCAAGCUCAGUAAUUGGAAAGUCACUCUUCUACUCGUUAGGAUGAAUAUUUAGUAGUUUGUUUUAUUUCCAUUUUUGUUUUAUGAAUUAUAUCAAGGUUGUAGUUCUAAAUAUAUCUUGUUUUGUUUCUUUGUUGUCUUUGUUUAAACCCUUCUAUUUUUCCUUUCAAUGAAAUGUGGUAUCCCUUGUUGUUUGACUUAUUUUAAGUUUAUUUGUUUCUCUUUUUUUCAUGCAAUUCAUUUUAUGUUGAUUCUAGUGCUAUGACAUGCCAGUGGAAUUUUCAGCCAGAUCUUAAAAUCCAGUUUAAUCAUAAAACAUUGAAUUAAAGAACUAAAGUUAGAAGAAAAAGACAUAUGAGAAAUAGGUAGAAUGUAAAGAUAUUUGGUGACCAUGUUGAAGCCUUCUUUGAAAAUUAAGGCAAUUAUUUUGAGAAUCACAAGAAUAACUUGGUCAUCAAUUGAAAGACAUAUAUCUCAAUUAGGUUAAAUAGUGGAUGCGAGAUCCUUAUUUAAGAGAAACAGAAAGAUAAUCAGCUCUACGAAAGCAUGAGUCAUUCAAUAUGAGGGAUGUACAACAAAGGUGGAUUUAUAGGUUUGACAAGUGUAAAAGAAGAAGUGGAACAUAUACUCAGUUAAAGUUAGUGUUGUUAAAGUGUCACACAUGAUCUUCAUCUCCCUCUUUCAUAUUGCAUGUUAUGUACUUGCAUUUUCAAGGAUUGAUAUGACGAAGACAUUUUAUUUUGCUAUCCAAACAUUGUGUCAUCCUUUGUUUACCUCAUUUGAGCUUUAGUGUUAUUUUCUUUCAUACCCCUCUUUUGGAAUCAAGAUAGAUUCAGCAAAGCUCGAAAGAAAAGUGUCGAGCAAAAGACUAAAGUCAGGAAAGUUUUAAAAAAAAGAAAAAAAAAGUGAAGAAAAAUACGGCAAAAAGAAAGAAAGGAGAAAAAAGUCAAUACCAACUGAAAAAAAUAGAAUCAAGCAAAAGAAAAAGUUAUAGGAACUACGUAUGACCUGAUUCUCCCCUCUCGAGAGUGAGAUACGUAAGUUGUCCUACUCUGGGCUCGGUCCAACCAAAUAAAUAAUUUAGAAUUACUCAAUUAAAGAAACUGGGGCAUGGGUUGAUUUUCAUUGUUUGAGUCGAUUCCAAAAGUUGUAAGUCCCACCCCACUUCAAGUGUCGUUUGAGCCUCAUGUCAUCUUUUCUUUCUAACCUUAUCCAAAAGCCAAGUUACAACCAAAGAAAGACCUUCAGAUCAAUUUUUGAGAUUAUUAAGGCGACGUAUGCAAUGCAUAUGAUGACGCAUUUUGGGAACCACUUGUCUUCCUCAGCAUAAAGAGUCAGGAGAAAAUAAAAAUGAGAGUCUUAUUGAUUAAAAUCCUCAUGAGUACCGUAGAAUGAUGGUGAGAUAAGAGAAAUGAAAUGAGAGAGUCUUAUUGGUGAAAACCCUCAUGGGCACCUUAAGACGAUUGUGAUUUGAAAAAUUAAGAAUAAGAGAGUCUCAUUGGUGAAAAUCCUCACAAACACCAUAAGGCAAUGGUGAGCUGAGAGAAAGAAAAUAAGAAAGGCUUGUUGGCGAAAACUCUUCAAGAUGUCACUAGUUGAAUGGGAUUUAUAAGUGCAACUGACCUAAGGAACAACUCAAUUUCAGGGCCAUUAACUCAACAACAAUUGGUGGAAAGUUUGGAUGAAAAAAUCAGGCAGCUUAAUCCAAAAAUACAUGGCAUAAUCAUUGAAGUUGACUGUUAUUUUUAAGUGAAUUUUUCACUUCUUUAUUUCAAAUUGGGACAUUCAUUUUUCUUCUAUUUUUUCUGUAUAUCUUUGUUUUCUUGAGUCAUUUAUUCAAAAAAAAAUCAUCAUUGUUAUUUUUCUCGUGUCUUUGAGUCGAGUUCAUGUCAUAACAAGUGAGAAAAGAUUUCAAAACUGGAUACCGGCUUCUUAAAUUGUACAAAGCAAGACAAAAGGCCAACACAUGAAAGAGACAUGAUUCUAAGCCGAAAUAAGGCAUGCAGAAAGUUUUGUCAAUAGACGAGUCUGGAAACUCAUGAAAAUACCAAGGUUUAAAGGGUUUAUUUGAGAAGCAUGGCAAAGCAGAGAUACUGUAUUUGUUUCAGAGUCACUUCUAAUAAUCUGAGUUUGGGUCAAUGAUAUAGCAAAUCGAUGACAAAUGCUAAUGAUUGGAAGCGAGGUUAAAUGUGACAAGGGAAAGAUUGAUUGCCACGAAAGUUAAAGCCACAAACCUGCCACCAUGUUUUUGAACUCAUAAGUUUUCUUUGAUGAAACAGGCAACAGAGCAUAAAUAUCAAGGGAUGCAAUGCCUCAUUUCCACAAAUGCAGGAAGCAAUAUUGCUGCACAGGUUUGAUAAUCAAAUUAUGGUAAAAAUUCAUCAUUCUAUAUCCCUCGGAGCCAUACUUCUUUGUCCGAGAAUUUUAGCUUUCAAUUAAUAUACUUCUUAAAUUAAACCUUGAUUCCUAUAAGACGUACCUUUUAGUCGAGUCAUUCCCCUUGAUUCCUAUAAGACGUACCUUUUAGUCGAGUCAUUCCCCUUGAUUUCUAUAAGACAUAUCUUUUAGUUAAGUAAUUUUCCUUGAUUCCUAUAAGACGUACCUUUUAGUCGAGUUAUUCCCCUUGAUUCCUAUAAGAUGUACCUUUUAGUCGGGUCAUUCUCCUUGAUUCCUAUAAGACAUACCUUUUAGUCGAGUCAUUCCCCUUGAUUCCUAUAAGAUAUACUUUUUAGUCGAGUCAUUCCCCUUAAUCCUAUAAAACGUACCUUUUAGUCGAUUCAUUCCCCUUGAUUCCUAUAAGACGUACCUUUUAGUUGAGUCAUCCCCCUUGAUUCCCAUAAAACGUACCUUUUAGUCGAGUCAUUCUCCUUGAUUCCUAUAAGAUGUACCUUUUAGUCGAGUUAUUCCUCUUUAUUUCUAAAAGAUGUAGAUGUACUUUCUAGUUGAUUCAUUUCAUUUAAUCCCUGGAGAUGCACUUCCUCGUCUGGAUAAUUUAAGUUUCAUUUGGUUAGGUGGCGCACUUUCUAACUCUAACCUACACUACUAGAAGACGUACUUUAUAAUUGAAUCAUUUUAUUUAACCCCUAGGAGACGCACUUCCUUGUCUGGGUAAUUUGAGUUUCAUAUGUUAGGAUACGCACUUCCUAAUUUUGGUCAUUAGUUUCACUCUGAAGAGACGCAUUUCCUUAAUAGGGCUUUGAUUCACACUUUUUACUGUACUUUUUAAAAAUUAUGAUCUGAUGACACUCACAAAAUUUUCUAGUGCAAAUUGGGGAAAAAAUUUUGUUCGUUUUUAUCAAAAUUUAUUUUAUGCUCAGGACCUUCCUGAAGAAUGGGAAUUUAUUUAAGCUCAGGACCCUUCUGAAAAAUGAAAAUUUAUUUUACACUCAGGACCCUCCUGAAGAAUGGGAAUUUAUUUAUGCUCAAGACACUCCUGAAUAAUAGGAAUUUUCUUUUCUAGUUCAUCUUUUAUUUUGAGUUCAGGAGCCUGCCUGAAGAACAGAGUUUAGAAAUAACAAGUCAGGAGCCCGUCUGAAGAACAAGGUGAAGAAACAACAAAUCAGGAGCCCACUUAAAGAACAGGGUGAAGAAAUAGCAAGUCAGGAGCCCGCUUGAAGAACAGGGUGAAGAAAUAGCAGAUUAGAAACCCGCCUAAAGAAUAGGGUGAACAUUAUCAGUUGCAAGUUUAGGAGCCCACCUAAAGAAUAGGGUAAAAAUUUACAAGUUCAAGUCAGAGAAAAGUCUGAAGAAUUAAGAUUGUCAAGUUCCACUCCAAUGCCAAGAGCCAGCAUGAAGAAACAUUACAUUUUUCAAGACUCGACUCAAAAUAAUGACUAUCUCACUACUUAAGAAGUCAUAAAGAUUCCAGUCAAGAUUCCAGAAAAACUGAAUAGAUAGGAUUCUUUCACUUGUAUCUUCAGUUUUAUUUUGUUAUUCAUGUGAAUGUAAAAGCAGAAGUCAUGAACCGAAAACUCAAUGGAACCUCACUACACCUCUAAUUCGUUCUUUCAUCUUUUACCUUUGAACUACAAGUGACUUAAUUCUCUGAUAACCCGGGAUAUGUAGGCGAUCCAACAUCAGGAGUCGAUCACAUCCUUUUUUCUUUUAUUUUAUUUUAUUCUCCCCUUUUGAAUAAUCGGAUGGUCAAAACUCAUCUCUUUUUCUACUUCUUUAUAUGAAACCUCUUCGAGAUUUCAAAUAAAGAGGGGUAAAAUGUAGACACAUGAUUUUUUACUCUCCCUGACUUUUAACCUAUUUUUUGGCAUUAGAUAUUUAUAUUUUAUCCAAUAUUUAUCUUAGCUCUUUUUUCAUUUUUAUAGGUAUUAUUUGAAAAUAAAUAAAUAAAUAAAUAAAGUUACAUUUGGGGAUAUUUUUAUUUUUACUUUAAAAUAAUAUGAAAAUUUUCAAAAAAAUAAUAAUAUAUAUUUUUUUUAUUUUAUUUUAAAUAAAUAAGCUAGUAUUUUUAGUACUAUCUUAAUUAAAUUAAUUAGUUAUUAUUAUAUUUAUUAUUAUUAUUAUUGUUUAUUUAUUUAUUCAUUUUUAUUAUUAUUAAUUGUUAUUAUUAUCUUUUAUAAAAAAAAAGAAAAAGAAAAUAAAAUUCAAAAUUUAAUCCUAUCUGAUAUCUUGUAACAGUUGCCCCUAAAAAACCUGUAUUUAAGGAUUUUCCCAUCCACAAUUCUACGUACAUUCUAUUCCUACAGAUAACAUAAGAUAUCAAAAAAAUCAGUCAGAGUAAAAGAAAAAAAAAGAGAGUGAAACAUUCAAAAUCGUCAGGAGAAAUACAAAAGGAGAAAAAAAAAAGGUGAAGUUGGGUUCGAAUUUUACGUUUGAUUUUUUUGGUGUCAACGUUCGAGUUUCUAUUUUAACUCAUCAUACAGGUUCCUAUUUGAUCCUAUAUUAUUUAUUGUAUAAAUUUUGUUAAGAACCAAAACAUGAAUAAAAUUAUUUAAAUAAUUUCAUGUGUGAUUUAGUAUGUGUCAUCGCUUUAUUAUGUGAGUCUGUUAGUUACUAUGGAUUAUACAUUUGAGUUAUUGAAUAAUUAUGUAUUUAUACAUCAAUUCAAAAUUUGACAUAUUCUUUUGUCAAUCUAUAUUAUCAAAUUUUUAAUUGAAUACUCCAUUUUUAUAUUUUUAUACUACACAGAUACACGUAUAUCAUCGGAAUACACAGUCCCUCAAAAUCAGUCAUUUUCACUUUCUCUUUUAAACACAAAUAAACACACACACAGACAUAAUUCACAGAUUCUAUUUUUAAAACAUAAUAUGCACACACUUGGAUAUACAUAAAAAAAAUAAUAAAAAAUAGAGAGAAGAAGGAGAUGUGAAAACAGUGAGAAUUAAGUGAAAAACAAUGGUUUAUUGUUUUGAUAAUUUUGCCGAAAAAAUGACAUAACCACAGUCGACGUCACUAAUGGCAAAACCGACAUCGGAAAAUCCCGACACAGGCAAGCUCCAUCGCCGCCUAACGGAUGGAUCCACCUUUUUCCACAACUACCGUCACUAUUCCUGCGGCUAUUUCACCGGAAAAUCGCAAAACUGCCGACAUCCGCGCAACCAAUCACCACAAACCACCGAAAAACACUACCCGACGCCACCCCAAUCACCGUUGCCCCUCUCUCCUUUCCCACGCCGCCGGCAAGCGAAGCCCAGUGGCGCCGCCACCGUCCCCUCUCCCCUUUUCCCGCCGUGCCACCCCUUUUGCCUUCCCGCUUCCAUCAUGCCAUGGCAGUCCGGAUCUAGUCAGGUUUUGACUAUCCGACGUUGCUCCGGCAACUUCCACUGUUGCUCCGGCAACUUCCACUGUUGCCAUAGAUGUGAAAGAAGAGGGAAGUAGAAAACUGAGUAUUGAAUAUGUACGUGAGAGAAAAAGGGAUUUUGUAUUUCUUUUUAUUCUUUUUAUUUUUUUUGAAUAAAUACUCAAGUCUCCAUAUUUGAGUAUAAUAUAAAUUAUUUUUAUUUUUUAAUAAUUAGUGAAAAAAUAAAGUAUGAAUAAAUUUGAUACUAAUAAAAUUUAUUAUUAUUUAUAUUUUUACUUGGAGUGGGGUAUCGUAUAUUUCAGGUUGUUUAUUUUUUUUCAGAAAUUUGUGUUCGAAUCAUAUUUCAGAAAUUUUUGUAUAUGAUUUAUCUUAUAAUAUAUAAUUUUAGUUUAUUUAAUUUAAAGAGAUUAAAUUUUGAAGAUAAUAUUAAAUUUAGCGUAAUAUAGGUAGAUUUGUGUAUUUUAUUUAUUUUAUUAUUUUAUUAACAUAACUUAAUAAUUAUUUAUUGAUUUGAUUAAUUGUGUUAAAUGAAUUUUGCUUUAAUUUAUUAUUAAGAAUUUAGGCAAAAUUUUAGACGUUUUUUAAAAUAUUCGUCUCAAUUAAGAAUGCAGCAUACCCAUCUUUUUGAGACAUUUUAAAAAUUCAAGGAUGCAAUAAUGCACCUGAACAAAUAUUUUUCUAAAAUUAAUCUUCACAGAGCUAUUUAAUAUAAGAUAAUAGAUAAGUUUUAGAAUAAUAAAAACGAGCAAUUUUAGGCCUUAACAUAAUUUUUUAAAAUAAUUUAAGUCAAGAUAAAUCAAUAAAAGCGAUUGUGCUAGAACCACGGGACUCGAGGGGUGCCUCAUACCUUUCCCUCAGUGAAUAGAAUUUCUUGCUCGUUGUUCUGUUUUCGCAGACCAAAUAAGAGUCAUUUCUUUUUAAUUGGGGAUUCAAAAAGGUGACAUGGAACACCAUAACUCGAUUUCAAGUGGCGACUCUGUAAUUAAAUAAUCCCUACUCAAAACUGUCUCUUUAAUUGGAAAAAUCCUUCGACUCUACCUUCGAGCGAAAAAAGAGGUGUGACAAUUAAAUUUGGACAGUUAAGAUAAAUCUUAUUUUGAAGCUUAUGAUUGUGGGAAAUUGUAGAGGAAAACAAACCUAUACAACCACUUCCUGUAAAUUCUUCUGUUGCCGAAAUCAAACUUCACUCAAAAGAGAUAUUUAAAAAAUAUAAGGAAAAAAUUGUAAUUCAAAAUUCAUUUGUUGAUUCAAUUUUCUCUAAAAUCGUUGCAUGUGAAACAGCAAAAGAAGCUUGGAAAAAGCUUGAAAAGCAGUAUAAGGAAGUGAAUAGGGCAGACAAAAUCAAAUUCUGAAUUUGAAAAUAGAUUUUAAAUCUCUUAGGAUGCAAGAAGGUGAGACAUCACUAAGUAUUCUGACAGAAUUUCUUUGAUUGUCAAUAGAAUCAGGUUGCUAAGACAAUAGAAUAGUUGAAAAAAAAAAUUCUACUAUUCCUAAGAGAUUUGAGUUCAAAAUCUUCGCUUUGAAAAAGUCCAAAGAUCUCUCUACCAUCUCUCUUACUGAAUCAUAAGUGCUCUUCAAUCACAAGAAUAAAGAGCUUACAGGGGAAGAAAAAGUUGUUGAAGGCAUUUUUCAUGUAAAUCACCAAAACAGAAAAGUUGAUUAUCCUCCUUGCAAAUAUUCCAAAAAAAAAAAACACUUAGAAAAAAUUGUUGGUGGAGAUCUGAUGCAUUAUGUGGAAGUUGCAAACAAAAGGAUCAUGUCAUAAAAGUGUGUGAGUUCAAAGAUACUUAAGAUAAGCACUACUUGUGGAAUAAAAAAGUAAAGACCAACUUUACUAGAUUGCAGCAACAGAAGCAAGGAGGAGUGUUGGAUAUUGCAUCUGUUACUGCAACAAUAUUCUAGAAUAAUUAGUUGUUUAGUUAUAGAUUUUAAAGAUAAUAGAACAGUCUAAAAAAUUCUAGUAACUAUUCCUAAGAGAUUUGAGUCUGAAAUCUCCGCUUAGAAAGAGCCUAAAGAUCUCUCUGUCGUCUCUCUUGCUGAAUUCAUAAGGACUCUUCAAGCACAAGAGCAAAGAAGAGCUUACAGGGAAGAAAAAAUUGUUGAAGGCGUUUUUUAUGUAAAUCGCCAAAAAAGAAAAGUUAAUUAUCCUCCUAGCAAAUAUUGUAAAAAGAAAACACAUUUGGAAAAAUUUUACUAGUGGAGAUCUGAUGCAUUAUAUGGAAGUUGCAAACAAAAAGGAUCAUGUCACAAAAGUAUGCAAGUUCAAAGAUACUCAAGAUAAUUAGCACUAUUUGUCGAAAAAGAAAGUGAGGACCAACUUUACUAGAUUGUAGCAACAGAAGCAAGGAGGAGUGUUGGAUAUUGUAUCUGCUACCGUUUUUUAGAAUAAUUAGUUAUUUAGUUAUGGAGGAGUUCAAUAAUUAUAUUAAUAGAAUAUUCAGUUUUUAAUUUUAGCAAGAGCUUACUACUUUAAUUUUAGGAGCAGUCAACAAUGUGACUAAAUAUAAGCUCAUAAUUAAUAAAAUUUAUUCAAAUUCUUUAUUUUAUUGUUUCGUCUUUUUCUUCAAAAGAACCUAACAAAUAGAGUGAACCUCCGUCUUUUAAUCUUUUCCAGUUGCCUCACUUGAUCUUACAAAGGAAAAUAUUUGUAAGAUACCCUUUUAUCAAAAUUUAUAUCAAUUAAUAUAAGAGUGAAUAAUGUAAGAUCUGAGAAUUCAUUUUUUUAAUCUUUUCCCAGUUGCCCUACUUGACAUUAUACAAGAACAUAUUUGCAAGACACUUGAGUGUUUGGUCUUGCAUAAUCAUUGAAUAUAUAAGAUAUCAUUUAAAAAGUUAGCUUAAUGGUACAUAGUCCUAAGACUGUCAUUUGCCAAAGAGUCUCUUACUUGGUUUUCUUCCCUGAAGUUGCGACGUUGCUACUUUCCGGUCCUUGUGCGGUUAAGCCUUUACUUAGUGUUCUCCUUCCGUUCAUUUUCACUUGUCACGUUUUGCUUUAUGAAAAUUAACUUGACUAAACCUCAAAGCUAAAUUGAAGUGUAUUAAUUUGUUAUUUAAAUUUAAAAAUUUAGAUGUUCGAAGACUAUGAAAAAUAUUAUAAGUUGUGAUCCUUCUCAUAUUAAUAUCACGAAAAAAUAUAUCUUAAAAUGUUGGUCAAAGUUCAUGCAGUUUGACUCUCGCAAAGUGAAAGGUAACGAGUAAACAUGAAUAGGGAGAGUAGUUUCAUGAUUGGCUCAGAAAUGUAAUGACAUACUUAAAAAUACGUAAUUUAAUUUGAUAGUCUGGCUGCAGAAAGGAAAGAGUACCAAACCAUAUAAUAAUUCAUUCUUGUGUAUAUUGCAUGAGUCUGUCUCCUAAACGAUCAUAAAUAUAGUCGCUCAUCUAAUAUAAAAUUAAUGAGUAAAUACUCCUUUUCCUUGCGAAAAGUUGACAAGGUAAAAUUUUCACUUAUUCGUCGAAAGAAGCAUCCGUUUUAAAGCCAGGAUUGUCUUUCUUUGAUACCUAACACAAUGAACGAAGGAAUCCUUCAAAUAUCUAUAACAUGAAAAUCCUUAACAAUAUAUCGGUAGUGAUAUGAAGGAUUGGUGCGCUCUUUCCAUCUUUAUUAAGCGACUAGAUAUAAGUUUGUUUAUUCCCCUCAUGUGCUCGUAUUCUUCUUGUUAGUAUACUAAUAUAUAGAGGAUUAGGUCAAUCCCAAAUCCCCCAUCAUUAUAAUGGCAAUAAGUUGAAAAGUUUAUCAACAUUUCGUUAAGGUAACCGAAAACACAUCAUAUUACCAGCAAGCUUGAAGAAAAUUUUCUAUUGGCAAAAUCCAAACAAUUGCUUUCAAGAUUACCAGCAAGCAUGAUGAGUUAUAUAGCUUGAUUUAACAAAGAUCGACCAAGAUGUAAUUCUUCUUAUUUUUAGAAUAGUUAGAAAAAAUUUCAAGUGAAAAAUGCCAAAGAUGGAAAGGAAAAUACUCAUUCCGUGUUUUUACCAGUGUUUUCUACAUCAAAAAAUAAGACGCUACACCAAUGUUUUAUCUUUCUCAUACAAUAGAGACUCGCGAUAAGCAUAACAUUUACAAGAUCAACACAUAUCGCACAAAAGCUCCCUCGAGAAAGAGUAAAGGUAUCCAUUCAUUUAUCUGUAAAAUUUUAACCUAGAAGUUACAUCAUCUUGACUCGUUUACUGUUUGAAACAGAGCUCCGAAUCCCUCUGCCUGUUACAGAAUAUGGAGCUGCUGCUGAUCGAACAGAAGGAGACUUGUCAAUGUAUGCAUACCUUUCAUUACAAUUCCAGUAUAAAAUCACCCGGUUAGUGCAAGCAUGUGACCAGCUGUCUCCUGUUUAGCAUGAGUUGUUCAGAAGCUAAUACGGACAAUGUUCAAUAAAAUAAGAUCACCAUCUUUGUUUUUUCAAACUUUUUGAAAAAGACAAAAAUUUUCUUCAAGAAUGUUGUGGGUUCGGGGUCAAGAUCAGACAUAUGGCAGGUACAUAUCAUUCCAAGUUACUAUAUCAUCAAAACAGAGGCUUUGUAGUUACCUAAUGCAAGAGCUAAUUGAUAUUGACCAUCUGUAUACUUGGUGGUAACUUGAUUCAAGAGGAUAACCUACACAAUUGAAUCAAACGUCAAUGAAUUGUUGUAAUGGAAUGAAACUAGCAAAAAGCGUACAGAAAGAAAUCACUCAGGAAAAAAAGUUAUCCUUACUGCCAAAGUAAAUUUCUUUGCGAGCUUCAUCAACUUUAAGGCCAUUCCACCCAGUAGUCGGGUUCUAAGGGCCAUGUCAUCAAAAUCUUGACGGAAAUGGAAUGUGACGCUAUCAAUAAUCACAACCUUAACCUAUUAAAAAGGUAAGUUUCAGAAUUUACAUGUUUUCGUAAAGCAAAUGAAUAUUUAAAAUGAAAGGGUUAAUCCACCCACAUCUUUAUGCUCUGAGAUGAACUUUUCCAAGUAAUUUACAACAGCAAUUUGCUCAGUGUAACUACAAACGCGAAAAUAGAAAAUGUUCUCAAGGAAAUCCUUUGGCUGCAUAUUAACUUGACAAGCUUGUAAAUCCCUCUUUAAAAAUCCAUGAUAUUCGCGCAUAUCCUCGAAACAAGCUUCAGCAAUUUGUAAAGCACGCUCCACCAUGAAGCUGCCUUCUGUAUCUACAAAAUGCAUAUAAUGCCAAGUGCUUGAAUGGUUUUAAAAAGAGAACAGCUAUAAUUGGUGUAAGACAACAAUAACAACAUACCCAGUUAAUCCCACAAGUGAGGUGGUCUGGGGAAGGUGUAGUGAACGCUGACCUUACCCCUACCUCGUGGGGGUAGAGAGGCUGUUUCCACACAUCAGCUCAAGUGCAACAAAUCAAAGUAGUUGUGAAAAAGGAAAUAUGGCAAUGGAGAAAACAAGUCAUUAAUACGGAAAGCAGUACAGGGCAUCCAGGACAACAACGAAAUAAUGUGGUAACUGAAACACAAAAGACAUCAUAUGAUAACAACUAUCAAAAGCAAGAAACGUCAUGUAUCUAUAAUUGAUGCAAGACAUGAAGAAAAGACAACUCAGUCAGUACGUACCUAUAUAUAUUGCCUUGCCUUGAAGACCACCAUAAUCCAUGGGAAUUUGAACGUUCACUGCGAGCUGUAUCCUGAAUUUUGGAAGUGUCUUAACCACUAGAAACAAAAUGAAGCCAUUUCUACUACACAGGAAGUACAUGUCAUAACGGUUACCCAAGUUGAGUUUUUCCAAUUCCUGGCACCCCACCUGAAACAACCAGAAUAUAAUUCAUCUUAACUUGAAGAAAACUGCAAACAUGUUUGUUUUAGAAAUGCCAAUAAGCAAGAGUGAACACCUUCUGAUAUCGUUAGUAAUGGGAAGCAUAUGUAAAGGUAACAUCACUAACCAAUUUCAGUAACCUCUUUGCAACUUAUACCCCCACCCAAGAUGUCAUCCAACUCUGAACAGGAUGUUGUGAUACGUCCAAGUGAUUCCUCCUCGUUUAGCAUUUCCCAGGCACUCUGUGCUCCUAGCCAAGAAAUGCAUAACUAAAUAUGAUUCCUAUUUGCAAAAUAAUCAAAGCAGAAAAAUGAUACUACAUGCUACUGUCAACAAGCCACACUGAAACAAACUUAAUUGAUUGAACAAAUGACUUCAUAAUUGUAAAAUACUAUAAGUAUUAUCUACAUGACUUCUGACAGACAAACCAUCAAGUAUUCAAAAAUUUGGAAAGGAGAGGAAUAGUAGCAAUAACAUACCAUUGACAAUAGAGCUAGUUCCAUUAGAUCUUUCAGAUCCCCUCCUUUGUGAUGCAACUCUCAAAAUCUCGAGCGCCUCAUUUUCUGAAAUCUUUAGAUCUAUAGCAGAAAAAGUAAAAAGAUAUAUGAAAUGUUAUGUAUGCAAAAGAACAUUAAUUAGGAAUAACAUUAAUGUCACUCGAUAAACAAAAUUUAAUCUGCUACUAUAAUUUCCCAUCACACUUAUCAAAAUCUAGAACUGAAAGAAAAUGCAAGUCACACAAAUUUAAGCAUUUUAUUUAUAGCUCCAAGUCAAUUUAAGCAUUUUAUUUAUAGCUCCAAGUCUAUCCUAUCCUAAUUAUCCUCAAAUAUGAGUUCCCCUUACAUCCACGGACAAAGCCACUACAGAAUCCACUAACUUUGACUCAAACUCUAUAUUGUAUUAAAAGCAUAAUAUAUAAACCGACAUUCAAAUUUGGCCUCAAUUUGAAAGUAAGCAGUCCAACUUAGAGAGUACACAUCUAAAUACCUCGAUUUGGUCUCAACACACAGACGUGACACAUAUAUUUUGAAAGUGUGUAGAUGAUAAAUUUUGUAAGCUGGAGUGUUGAGACAGUGGAAAUGAGUUGAGGUGUCUGGAUGUGCACACUCAAAGCUGGAGUAUUUAGUUGCCAAUUGUGGCCACGUUGAAGUUUCUAUUUAUGUAUUAUGCCUAAGAAAUUUUUAUAUCCAAACAACAACAACAUACCCCUUGUAAUCUAAUCUCACAAAGUGGGACCUACGGAGGGAUGACUUUACUUAGACUUUAUCCUUACCCAUAGGUAGAGAGGGAGUUUCCAUAGACGAUCGGCUCAAGAUAGGGGCAGAGCUAGCUUGGACCUGAUGAACCCCUUCCGCAGAAAAUUACAUUAUUUAUACGUGGUUAAAAUUAUUUUUUAAGAUAUAUAUAAUAGAUGUUGAACCCCUUCGAUUAAUUUUGUGUUUACAUUUUCAAAUUUUAAACUCCUUUAUUGAAAAUGCCAGCUCUGCAACUAUAUCCAGAACCCAAUAAAUAAAAGUAGUAAUAAUUCAAAACCCAUAAACUAAAAUUCUGGCUCCACCUCUCCUUUCAUCUUUGGUUCAGUUAACCUUUCCCAGUAAAAACGAAUUGCACAUUUCCAACGGAAGACUAAAAGCUUUUCUAGCAUCAUACAAGUUGGAGCUCAAAAUCUGAGUCAGGCACCUUAACUGGUGAUCAAAUUGAAAAUUAAUUCAACAAAUGAAAACUAGAUUCUCCUCAAUUCCACUUGUAAAAGUCCAAUUGAAAGCACCCCUCUUUCAAUACACAUUUUCUUUUAUAAUCGUGGUCACACACAUGAACUAAAUCCACAGGACAGGUGGGACCUUCUGUUUUUGUUUGAAUUUGGUUCUCAACCAAAUUCAUUAACCACUAGGCCACCCACUUCCACUAUGCGAAACAAAUAAACUAACCAUUUUAUUAAACAAUCACAUUGAGAGAAGUAAUUAACAAAAUGGAUAGAGAGAAGAAGGAUAGAUACCGCGAGCAAUAUCGGAGGGAGAGACGGAAAAGAGAAAAGAAAGACAAGUGUAACCACCGGAAAUCAGCUUCCCUCUCAGCGAAGCCGAUAUCGGAAGACUUGAUAUUUCCAUUUCCACUCUCUGCAUUUCAGGGUUUUCCUGCCUCUCCCUCCCUCCUCAAUAUUAUUAGCCUUCAAAAAGUUUUUUGAUGUCAUGAAAUAUAAAAUAACAAUAAUAAGAAUAAAUAGAGAAGAGAGGGCUUCUUUAUUUUGUUUGAAGGAUGAGAGACAUAUAUUGAUUAUAUGAUAAAUAAAAUUUCUUUAUUUAUAGAAAAAAAUAUUUUUAAUUUUUAACUAAGUUUUAGAAAAAAAUACUUUUAAUUUUUAAUUAAAAUACAUAUGCUUUAAAUCUUGAUAGAUAUCAACUUGAUCUUAUUAAAUCUUGAUAGAUAUUUCCUAUAAUGUAAAUAUAUUUAUAACAUUCCUCCUUGAAUGUCUAGAUAGAUAAUGUGCAUCGUUAAAAUCUUACUAGAAAAAAUUCAGUGAAAAAGAAAAUCUAGUGAAAGAAAAAAAGUACACAUCUCUAACAAUAUGCAUAUAUGUUGCCUCAUUAAAAACCUUACAAGAAGAAUUCAUUGGGAUAAAACCUCGUAAGGAAAAAAGAAUACAACGCGUAUUAACUCCCCUAGUGAGAACAUCCUUGAACUUUUGCAUCCCAAUCUUCUUAAAAGUUGCAGUUGAAGAAGACUUGGUGAAUAAAUAAGCGACCUUGUCACUUGAACGAAUAUGUUGUAUGUUAAUAUCACCAUUCUUUUGGAGAUCACGUGUAUAGAAAAGCUUUGACGAAAUAUUUUUCAGGGAACUUUAUCACAUUUCAAACCAUAUUUUUCAGGAAUGAGAUAUAUCGUGAACCUCAACCAUACACACUGUUGGUUUACUUCAUGAAUAGCUAUAAUCUCGCAUGGUUCGAUGAGAUGGCUAUGGUAGACUGCUUUGUAUAUCUCCAAGAUAUGGCAGUAUUUUCAUAUGUGAACACAUUACAUGUUUAAGACCGAGAUUUAUGCGAGUUAGAUGAGUACCCAACAUCAGCAUGACCAAUAAGAUCGGGACUGCAAUCUUUAGAAUAAAAUAAGUCUAUGUAUCUUAUCCCAUUUCAAUGUCUCCUAGUAGGAGUAGAAAUAUACCUUGCUAGUAUAUUAACCGAAAAGGCUAUAGGCCUUGUAGUAUUUGUAAGGUACAGGAGUGCAUCAAUUGCACUAAGACAUGGUACUUCAUAACCAAUCCAAUUCGAUAUAUUUCUAAUUUCAGCAAUUAAUCUAUUUUUUUUUUUUGAAAACUCUCCAAGAGUUCGAAUGAUUUUCAAGCUAUAAGCUUAUACAAUAUAAGGAUUAUAAAUAAGUUUCCCAAAAACUUUUAUAUGCUUCAAGCAUUUUGAAUCCUUAAAAGUUUUUCACAUAAGUUUUGUCAAGUGACAAUAUUCAACAUUUCAUGAGUGACAUCUUCAAGUGUCUGGAUUGCAAAUCAAAUAAAUUUUACGCUUACCAAAAUACAUCCUUUGAUGUCACUUGAUAAUGUUUCUACGUCAGCAUGCUUAAAUAAACGUAGAAUUCAAAUCCUCGUAAUCUUUCACAAUAUUACGCCAAUAUUGUAUCAAAGAUAUCGUCGAUGAUCUAUCAUUUUAUAUCGGUUCACAAUGUAACAUAAUAUUUUGAGAUCUCAUCACUUCAUUAUUUUCAGGUACCCGAACAUUUCAUAAGGUUUUAUGAAGUGUUAUGUCGUAGACUGUUCAAAAUCAUAUUGCCUUCUUAAUAUGAUUAUUUGCUCCUUAUCUUUUUUAAGGAUUAUUUCAUUUGAAAUCGAUUGGUAUACCACGCUUCACGCAUACAUAGACUUUAUCCUUUAGGAACACAAAAUAGGAGCACUUGCAGCUUAAUAGGAGAUGCUUUCGGCAUUUGACUUGAAUUAUCUUUUGAAUGAGGAUCCGAUUAUAAUUCCUAACAUAUUUCAUAGUUGCUUAUAAUCUCCCCCUUAUGUUAGGAAAGCUAACAUACAUCCUUCGUCUUCUUUGAUGGAUCCAUCUUUGUGCAUCAUGGUACAUUCAUUAAUCGUAUACCGCACAUCAAAACUAUUAGAUGGAAUAGUUGGUUCCCGAUCUUGAACCAAUUGAGAGAGAAGAAAUAAUCAUAAUUUAUUGGUCUAAUGCAUACAAGUGCUAUUGUAUGCAACAUAUCAUAUUUCAUACUAAUAUAUGAAACUUUGUUCUCAUUAGUAAUGAUUCAGCUAUUUAUGAAAGGCAUUCAAUGCUAAACCAUCAUCAUCAAGAUGAAUUGUCUCAAUUACACAAUCUGAAAAUUAUGCUCAAUUUAUAUUGAGCAAGUAACUUUAUGAUGUCCAACGUAGGUUGACAAUGAAUGUACAUGUGAUUAUCUUAUUGAUGCAUCUUUUCAACAUAUCACGUGAUAGGUGAACGGACCCAUAUUUACCUUUUAUAUUUUUCAAAUUUUGAGGGAUCAAAUCCCAACAUUAGUUGGUCCAACCAACUUAUCAUGAGAACAAGUGACAUAAACAAUUCUCGAAGAAUCUUCUAGUUCUUCAAUACAUGUUUAAUACUCAAUAUGCACAUCUUUGAGAUGUCACAAUCGUUCAUAUCAAUUUAUGAACUUUUAUUCUAGUAAACUCCAAAUUUAUUAUGACAUGUACUUUUUUCUUUAGUAAAUUUCAGAUUUACUAUUACAUAAAUAAAUUUCAGAUUUACUACUUUAGAAGUAGAUUUCAGAAUAACUCUUCUCAAUUAUUCUGCCUCAUUCGGAGGUGAGUUGUGAUACCAUCACAAUCAAGUGUAUGUUUGUAUUAAUAAGGUUCUCAUUCCCCAGGAAUGAAAUAUAAUUGUGUCUUAAGCCUAUCAAAUUAUGAUAGCUUAUAACCUCUUUCAAGAUAUUGUUACUAUAAGAGCAAAUCGAGGCAUACAUAUGAUGUAUUGCUACCACAUUCACUUCAAGGAAUGGAGCAUAUUCAAUGAGACAAAUUUCAUGUCUUUUACCAAAAAAUAAUGGUUUACCUUAGCCAUCAUUAUAUCAUCAAUAUGGUGCAUUGAGAUUCAAACUCAACGUUUUAUCCAUAUAAAGACGUCUUAGGCAUAAAUCGAUGGGACUUAAACCCAACAUAUUAUCAUCCAUUUUGAUAAUAUAUUCUUGAGGAAUGAAUUUAAAACAUAAAUGAUUUCAAACCAAUUAUUUUUCCUCAAAUCCAACAAUAAUUAUAUUAUUAAUAGAAAAAUACAAAUAACAUAAGGAAUUACUAACCUUGACCUUUAGAUUUAUAAUCUCACCUUAUUUGGCAGAGUUUCUCACCUAAUUUGGCAGAAUCUCCUGCUGAUAACGUGUUAUGAAAUAUAAAAUAAGAAUAACAAGAAUAAAUAGAGAGAAGAGAGGAGGCUUCUUUAUUUCUCUUGAGGGAUGAGAGAUCAUAAGAUUAUUGAUUAUACAAUGAACAAAACCCCUCUAUUUAUAGGGAAAAAUACUCCUAGUUUUUGACUAAGUUUCUGACUAAAAGGCAGAUACUUCAAAUCCUGAUAGAUAUCAACUAGAUCUUAUUAGAUCUUGAUAGACAUUCACUAUAAUGUAAAUAUAUUUAUAACAUUUGAAACUUUAUAUUCCAUAUCUGUUUACAUUUAUUUUUUUAAAAAAUAUUAAUUGUAAAUGAAAAAAACUUUAAUUAAUUCUUUCUUCAUUUAUAAAUUGAUACGUGAUUUGGAAUAAUUACUUUUAAUAGUGUGGACAACUAAUAUGAAAUAGAAGGAAUAUUACCUGGUAAAAAGUUUUCUUUUUCUCGUUUAAUCGAUAUAUAUAUACAUACAUACAUAUAGAUAUAUACAUACAUACAUAUAGAUAUACAUACAUAUAUAUAUAUACAUACAUAUAUAUAUAUAUAUAUAUAUAUAUAUAUAUAUAUAUAUAUAUAUAUAUAUAUAUACAUAUAUAUAAAUAAGCAAAACUAAAAAUAGACAAAAUUCCAAGUGGCAACGUAUUAAAUAGCCACGUGGCAGUUUCUAGAACAAAAUUAAAAAAUAUUUUUAAAUAAAAUUAAAAAUAUUGUGAUAAAAACUUUUAAUUGAAAGAUUGAGUAUUUGAAUUUGAAAUGCAUUAUCUUAAUAACUAGAAACUUAUAAUUGAAGAGUUCUAAUAGACUAUUACUAUUUCAAACUUAUCUCUUUUAUAAUUUAAAUAUUAAAUAUAUAUAUAUAUAUAUAAAGAGAGAGUGUUUAUUUUAACAAUAUAAUAAUAAUAAGUAAUAAUAAUAGUAGUAGUGAUACACCAGUUGUAUUGGCUUUAAUUUGAAAAAAAAAAACAUCGUAAUAGUCAUAGUAGUAACAAUAAUAAGAAUCUAUACAAUAUUUUUAUAAAUAAUAAAUUAUAUAGUGUAGUAAAUAAAAUAAAGUCACAAAAAUAUCUUGAAUCUUAUAUUAGAUAAAUUGUACUUUGAAUUUUGUAAAUGUUGUCGUAUUAGUAGGUAUAAUAAAUAUAAUAAAUAAGAGAAUCGUCUAAAUUGAUUUCAAAAUUUUCUCUAAUUAAAAUUUAUAUAUUUUAGGAUAAAUAUGCAAUUUAUUUGAAACAAAUUAAGGAUAAGGAAAGAAGAAUAAAAUGAUCUUCUUAUAACAAACUGAUGUGAUGUAAUAUUUAAAUUUGAACUAAAAUAGAAUUUGAACAAUAAUGAAAUUCUAACUUCUUAACAUCUCCCAAAUUUAUAAUAUUUACUAUUAUAUAUGUCGAUGAUGAUGACGACGAUAAUGACGAUGACAAUGAUGAUGACAACGAUAAUGACGACGAUGAUGAUGAUGAUGAUGACGAUGAUGAUGGUAACGAUGAUAAUGAUGACGAUGAUGAUAACGAUGAUGACGAUGAUGAUGACGAUGAUGAUGACGAUGAUGGUGACGAUGAUGAUGAUGAUGACGAUGACAAUGACGAUGAUGAUGAUGACGAUGAUGACGUUGAUGAUGAUGACGAUGAUGACGUUGAUGAUGAUGAUGAUGAUAAUGAUGAUGACGAUGACGAUGACGAUGACGAUGAUGAUGAGGACGAUGAUGAUGACGAUGAUAAUGACGAUGAUGAUGACGAUGACGAUGAUGAUGAGGAAGACAAUGAUGACGAUGAUGACGACGAUGAUGAUGAUGAUGAUAUCAAUUUUAUGAAUUAAAUUAUUUUACGUAACUUUUUGAAUUUGAUUUGGAAAAACAAUAUCUUCUCAAAGAUAAAAUCUAAUAUUUAUUUUUUAAAAAAAGUUAUCUGAUGUAUCUCACUCAUGAUUUAUUUACUAACAAAAGCACUAAAUCGAAAUUAUAAUAUGUAGCUUUUUUUUAAUACGUUAUUUUUUUAAAGAGUCUUAUUUUAAUACACACUCUUCUAAUCUUAUAAAUUUUCUUUAACUUUAAGAUAAACAUCUUUUUAAAAAAAAACAAUUAUCAUUGUCUAUAUAUGUAAAAUGAGAAUCUGCCGCAAUUCAACUAUUUCAAAGACCACUAUAUAUAAGACCAAAGAACAUUGGUAUAUGUGUUUCAAUUUGAUCUCUUGACUUACGCAUCGAAGUUAAUAACUUUCUUCUCUAUUGCUUCUCAUAAAUAUGUAAUUUUCAGAGAACUAUGUUGUAGUACCCCGUAAUUUUUCAGCUUAGUUUAGUCUUAGUAUACAAGAAUCCCUAAGUAGAAUUUUUGUUCUAGGCAAAAUUUCCCAGAUUUAGACCCACCAUCUUGUAGAAAAUUCAGUUAGCUUUCUAAAGAUAUAAAAUUAACCUAAAUUUGGUUGUCGGGUAAGAAGUUAAGGCUAUUUUAAGUUUUAGUCAUUAAACACCGUCAUUUCAGUCAAUAACGCGUCGCGCCAUAGGUCCAAAUGACAAUUGUCAAUUUCUAGUGUGACUCCGUGAUCUCACCGCAUUGUGGAGGACCUCCAAUUCCCAAUUGUCCAAAUCCAGUAAGGGUCCGUGAUUACGUCGCAUCGCGCCUUUAGCCCAGUUCCCAGCUGUCAGUUUCUAGUAACACAAUGUGAUAGCGCCGCGUCGCACCAGGGGCCCAAAUUGGAAAUUUCAACAAAAAAUUAAAGUUUUGUCCAAGGUUAAAUUAGUCUUUUCCCAUGUAUUUAAUCGACCCAAGUGUGGGAUUUAAUUCCUAAAAACGUAUUUAGGUCAUUAUUAACUCACUUUUCCCCAAUUUAAGACAUUCUCUCUCAAAGAUAGAAAACCCUAGCCUCCAAGUAUCAAGAUCAAUCUCAAGAUUCCCUCUGAAAGUCUUCAAGAACUUCAAGAAUUAAGAUUCUCAGGUAUGUUAGAUGUUCAUUCAUGGAUCCUUACCUUCCAUGGAGCCCAAGAAUCCCCUUUUCAAAAUAUAAGACUUUGGAUUCCAUGCUUUCUAUGUUUGAAUUGAAUUGAAUUGAAUUCAUGUUUUAUGUUAUUGUUGGGCUUUCGUCCAUGAUUUAAUUACAAGUUUUCAUGAAAUUAAUCAUUAUAUGUGUUGAAUUGUAUGAUCUUCAUAAUAAACCCUAUGAUGUACAAGUUGAUUGAUGCAGGCAUGAUCACCUUGUGUUUUUACUAUUAUGUGACCUAAGCAUGCUCCCCAAGUGUUUGUCUAAAUUCCUAAGUGAAUGAAAUAGUGUCAUUAUACCAUGAUAGCAUGUACUCCCCAUUCAUGUACUAGUCAAUGCAUCCCAAGUGUUUGUUUAAACGUCUUAAUGAGUGAUUUAUAAAUAUGUAGCCAUAGUCAUAUUUCCCAAACUUGUGCCAUGAUUUACUUUUAAUGUUAUCGAGUCCUGGGGGUACUCAAUACCCGAUAAUCUAGUUGUUUAUCUAGAGCCUUAAUAAUUAUAGAAUAAACUCUGUAGUAUCACGAAUAACAAAACUCAGUCAGUUACCGAACCCAGCUAACUCAAUCCAGUCCAGUCUAGUCUAAUCAGUCAGUGCCAUUCACUUGGAAGUAGGAACUAGCACCGAGUGAGUAUAAAGGUGACGAAUUCUCCCGUCAGGAAGGCAGAGUCGUUAGUAGCAGUCUCAUACUAUAGAACUACGUAGCCAGCGUAGGAUAUGAGGAGUCACCCAUCAGAUUAAGGCUUGUCUACCUCCUAGGAGUCACCCAUCAGAUUAGACUUGACUUUCUGUUCAGGUUCACUCGUCAGAUAGGCUUGACCACAGCAGUGUCUUUACCCGUGGCACGGUACUGACACCCUUCCAACUAGGGUUAUAGGUUGGACCCCACUUAGUUUACUCAGGGGCAUGUCAGUUAAGUAAGAAUUCCCACAGUUUCAGUUUCAGUCUCAAUCUUCAGAAUAAAACUCAAUUCAGUUCUACAGAAUCAAGACUGUCAGAUACAGUCACUCAGUCAUCAGUAAUUCAGAUUAUUAGUAGUCUUAGAUUAUCAGUAUAUUCAGUUAUCAUAUUCAAUUCUAGUAUACUCAGUUAUAGUAUGCACAGUGUGUUCAGUAGUUACAAAUCCUCCAUGUAUGCUAAUCUAGCUCUUGCAUAUCAUUCAGUUAGUUAUUGUUAAUGCAUAUAAACCCAUGCAUUCAGCCUUACCUCAUUUAGCAUACCAGUAUAUUCCCACAUACUGAUCGCAUACUCUUAUUUUGCGCUAUGAUGUCUCAUAUCAUAGGUUCGAACGCUCAGGUUACUGACCGCACAUAUAGCUAGUUCCAGUUAUCAGCAGUAGUUAUAGUAGUGAGUCCUCAUACUCCUAGGAUUUUAGAUUACUUCAGUAUAUUCAGUAGUUCAUUAUUUCAGUAGUCAGAGUUAGUUAGGGACUUGUCCCAUCAACUCCAUAAUCAUACAGUUAGAGGCUUUUCAGACUAGAGUAUUUCAGAUAGUUGUUCAGUAUUUCAGUAUUUUAUUUAGUUUUCAUUAUAGUAUUUUGAACCUUAUGGCAUUUCAGUCCAUUUUCUGCAUUUAUUUCAGUAUUAUUAUCCAGUGCUCACAGCAGAUAUUAGUCAUGCGUUAGCUUAUCGUUCUUCAGGAUCGUAAGCACCGUGUGGCGUCCAGGGUAUAAACUUGGGGCAUUAAAAACUUGGUAUCAGAGCCUAAGGUUCAACAGAGUCCUAGAGAGUCUGAAAGCCGCAUCAAGUAGAGUCUUGUGCAUGGAUGUGUAGCAUGCGAUACUUAUGGACAGGAGGCUAUGAGAUAUUUUAGGAACAGUUUCUCUUCUUUCUAUAUUUAUGUCAUGUGAGUGAGCAUGAGCUCUAGUUAAAAACUCUCAAUCUAAUCCUUUUCUGUUUUUUGGGUACAGAACUUUUCUUAGUGCUUACCUCAGUAGGUAAAUCUAUUCCAACCAGAUGAGUAUACAGAAAUUCCUCAUUUAUAGUAUGCCAGAAAAUUUCUUUUGUUGAGUUCAGUAAUAGAGUCGUUCAAUUUUAGUUUCCUGAUGGACCAAUCAUUGAAUGAAGGGGUAGUACCUCAAUUUCAGUUGAUUUAAGUUUGAAUUUUUGGAUUGACCUAGUAGAAAGAGAAGUUGAGAGUUCUAAGUUAGUUCGUAAUGAGGUUGUUAUAUGAUGAUUGUUGGGGCAAUAGAAAGCUAAGAACCAUGUAUUUGAAGGAAGUACUAGCAGUGGACCUUACAUUAUUAGGAGUAGUCCUUCAAAAUGAGUUUAGUGUUUACGAGUAUUGUUAUAUCUCAGGCUCUAGAGUAAGGUGGUCUCAGCUCGAUUUAGAGUUUAUUAAGGGAUUCACAGACUUAGGAUAAUGGCUUUAAGCUAAGGGGGAGAUGGUAGAACAACUAACUAAGUUAGGCUUUCAAAUUUUAGUAGUAAUGUCAGUACUCAUGCCUUACAUUUCAGCUCUAUGAUCCUAGCUCCUAUUCGGGCAGGUUAUCGAAAAUCAGGUAUGCUUACAGUUCCUAGUACAAGGAGUUUUAGUUCACUCUGUAGUACAAAUCAGGUUCUAUAAGUUCAAAAAUUCCAAACUCAAGUCAUGCAGUUCAUAACGCACGUAUUCAUGUUUCCCAGUAUGCUCAGUUCCCAUGACUCAUGUUAUACUCUUAAUGGUCCGUGAAGUUCAGUUUAUGUUAUGUGUUCCUCACGACUCAGUAGCGUGUCGAAGUCAUUCAGUCGUGCUUUAGUUAGAUGGUGUCUCGUACAUCAUCACAAUCUUCCUUAAACCUACUCAGUCCCAUAUUCAGUACCAUUACAAACUUGUUAUCAGUUACCAUCUCAUAUCAUUCUUAUGUCAGUCAUGUGUUUCAUGAAUCAGUUUUAGCCAUGUAAUCAUGCAUCAGAUAUGCAUGUUCAGUAUGUAAGUUCAGUCUAUCAAACCAGUCACGUAAUCAUGCUUCAGUUAUGCAUGUCUAGUUCAGUAUGUAAACUCAGUCUAUCAGUAUUCUCUCAGCUUAAAUAGCCACAUUCGAGGAUGAAUGUUCCCAAAAAGGAGAUAUUGUAAUACCCUAAAAUUUCCCAGCUCAGUUUAGUCCUCAGUACACAAGAAUCCCUAAGUAGAAUUUUUGUUCUAGGUGGAAUUUCCCAGAUUUAGACCCACCAUCUUGUAGCAAAUUCAGUUAGAUUUCCAACGAUAUAAAAUUCACCUAAAUCCAAUAGCCGGAUAAGAAGUUAUGGCUAUUUUAAGUUUUAGUCAUUAAACACUGUCAUUUCAGUCAGUAGCGCUCGCGCCAUAGGUCCAAAUGAUAAUUGUCAAUUUCCAGUGUGACUCUAUGAUUUCACCGCAUCGUGGAGGGCCUCCAAUUCCCAAUUUUCCAAAUCCAGUAAGGGUCCACGAUUACGCCGCAUCGCGCCGUCAGCCUAGUUCCCAGUUGUCAGUUUCAAGUGACACGGCGCGAUAGCACCGCGUCCCACCAGGUCCCCAAAUAAAAAAUUUUGACAAAAAAUUAAAGUUUCAUCCAAGGUUAAAUUAGUCUUUUCUCAUGUAUUUAAUCCACCCAUAUAUGGGAUUUAAUCCAUAAAAACAUAUUUAGGUCAUUAUUAACUCACUUUUUCCCAAUUCAGGACAUUCUUUCUCAAAGAUAGAAAACCCUAGCCUCCAAGUUUCAAGAGCAAUCUCAAGAAUCCCUCUGAAAGUCUUCAAGAACUUCAAGAAUUAAGAUUCUCAGGUAUGUUAGAUUUUCAUUCAUGGAUCCUUACCUUCCAUGGAGCCCAAGAAUCCUCUUUUCAAAAUAUAAGACUUUAGAUUCCAUGCUUUCUAUGUUUGAAUUGAAUUGAAUUCAUGUUUCAUGUUAUUGUUGGGUUUUCGUCCAUGAUUUAAUUAUAAGUUUUCAUGGAAUUAAUCAUUAUAUGUGUUGAAUUGCAUGAUCUUCAUGAUAAACCCUAUGAUGUACAAGUUGAUUGAUAUAGCCAUGAGCACCAUGUGUGUUUACUAUUAUGUGACCUAAGCAUGCUCCCCAAGUGUUUGUCUAAAUGUGUAAGUGAAUGAAAUAGUGUCAUUAGACCAUGAUAGCAUGUACUCCUCAUUCAUGUACUAGUUAAUGCAUCCCAAGUGUUUGUUUAAACGUCUUAAUGAGUGAUUUAUGAACAUGUAACCAUAGUCAUAUUUCCAAAGCUUAUGCCAUGAUUUACUUUUAAUGUUAUCGAGUCCUGGGGGUACUCAAUACCCGAUAAUCUGGCUGUUUAUCUAGAGCCUUAGUAAUUACAGAAUAAACUCCGUAGUAUCACGAAUAGCAAAACUUAAUUAGUUACCAAUCCCAACUAACUUAGUCCAGUCCAGUCCAGUCUAAUCAAUCAGUGUCAUUCAGUUGGGAGUAGGAACUAGCACCAAGCGAGUGUAAAGGUGACGAAUUCUCCUAUCAGGUAGGCAGAGUCAUUAAUAGCAGUCUGACACAACAGAACUACGUAGCUAGCGUAGGAUGUGAGGAGUCACCCAUCAUAUUAAGUCUUGGCUACCUCCCAGGGGUCACCCGUCAGAUUAGGCUUGACUUUCUGUUCAGGGUCACCCAUCAGAUAGGAUAGACCAUAGUAGUAUCUUUACCCGUGGCAUGGUACUGGCACCCUUCCAACUGGGGUUACAGGUCGGACCCCACUCAAUUUACUUAAGGGCAUGUCAGUUAAGUGAGAAUUCUCACAUUUUCAGUUUCUGUCUCAAUUUUUAGAAUAAAACUCAGUUCAGUUCUACAGAAUCAGGACUGUCAGAUACAGUCAUUCAAUCAUUAGUAAUUCAGAUUAUCAGUAAUCUCAGAUUAUCAGUAUAUUCAGUUAUCAGUUAUCAAAUUCAAUUUCGUUAUACUCAGUUGCAGUAUGCACAGUAUGUUCAGUAGUUACAAAUCCUUCAUGUAUGCUAAUCCAGCUCUUGCAUAUCAUUCAGUUAGUUAUUGUUCAUGCAUAUAAACCCAUGCAUUCAACCUUACCUCAUUUAGCAUACUAGUACAUUCCCACAUACUGAUUGCAUGUUUUUUCUUUGCGAUAUGAUGUCUCAUAUCAUAGGUUCGGACGCUCAGGUUCCUGACCGCACAUAGCUAGUUCCAAUUAUCAAUAGCAGUUAUAGUAGUGAAUCCUCAUACUCCGAGGAUGUUAGAUUACUUAAAUACAUUUAGUAGUUCAUUAUUUCAGUAGUAGGAGUUAGUUGGAGACUUGUCCCAUCAACUCCAUAUUCAGACAGUUAAAGGUUUUUCAGACUAGAGUAUUUCAGACAGUUAUUCAGUAUUUCAAUAUUUUAUUCUGUUUUGAUUAUAGUAUUUUGAACCUUAUGGCGUUUCAGUCCAUUUUCCGCAUUUAUUUCAGUAUUAUUAUCCAGUGCUCACAGUAGAUAUUAGUCAUGAAUUAGCUUUUGGUUCUUUGGGAUCGUAAGCACCGUGUAGCAUCCGGGGUAAAGACUCGGGGUGUUACAUAUGUGUUGCUCUAUUUUUUCAUCUUUGUGGUGGUAGAUAACAUAAGUAGUUGAAGGUUUGUACAUUCUAUUUUUCUCGAGUGGUACAUAUUAUUUGAAAUUUCAUCCUCAUCGUCAUCAUCUUAUUAAUUUCAAAUAUUUAUCUUAGGUAAAAAUAAUUAGUAGUAGUAGUAGUAGUAGUAUAUUUUUGAAUUGAAAGACAAAAAUUCUUUUGAAAUUAGAAUGAAAAUAAAUAAUUUUAUGGAUUCUAAAUUAGUAAAAUAAUAAGAUAGUUUCAUAAAAAAAAAUUAAUUUAUAAAUUAAAUUAUUUGAAUUUUGUUAAGAUAAACAUAUUUAUCGAGAACAAGAAUAGCUAUCUAUGUUUAUCUUUGAGUGUUUUUGUUCCAUUCCAAUUAAUAGUAUAUACAAAUCAUUCAAUUUUUCUUGAGAUGUUGUUGAUUCUAAGUAAAAUUUUAUCAAUUUUAAUUUGAAAAAAAUUUCUUUGAGUGAUGCAAUUCUUAUAGGAACUCUAUAAGUUAUAUAUACAUUUGAAAAAUAAUAAAAUAGCUUAUUAAGUUACCCCUAUUAUUAGAUAUUUCUUUAAAAUAAAAAAGUACAAAAAAAAGAAAUUUUCCUUAAUGUUAAGGAUAAAGUUGAAAACAAUCGUCAACUUUAGUCUUGAAUUCCUGAAGUGAUAAGUUUUUUGAGAUAAAGCGACAUUAAAAUGAAAAAAAAUAAAAAUACUCAAUAUUUUCUAAUAAAAAAAUCAAUAAAAUUAAAAACCUUAUUUUCUAAAAAACGAUGCCCCAAAAAAUUGAGAGCCUAAAGCAGUCUUGGCUGCCUAAAGCAGACUUGGCUUCACUUGCUUUAGGUUGAAGCUAGCGCUACUAUUUUAAACAUCUUAUUUAGCAUUUGUUAUGAAUUUGUGUAAUAUUACCCAAUUAGAUGUUAUUUUUAACAUCUUAUUUAGCAUUUGUUAUGAAUUUGUAUAAUAUUACCCAAUUAAAUCUAGAAUAAAUUGGCUGAGUUUUGUUAUAUAUAAUAUAUAAGAGAUAUAGAUCGCAAGAAUUGAGUAAAGAAAAGAGCAUAAAAUCCACCCCCACCCCGCGCCAUAUACAUGAUUUUGCACAAAAACAAAAGUAAUAAAAAUAUCCAGACUCCUUAAUUUAUAGCAACAAAAUACAAAUUUUAAUCCUUUUUUUACUUCAAAUUUAGUAGUUCUUUGGUUGUGAGUGCUCCUAAAUAUAUGUUUCUUUUUUAUCUCAUAUAUAAUUAUCCAUAUUUAAAUAAAUUAAUUUAAAAAGCUUUAAAUAAAUUUAAAAUUUUCAUUUAUUUUAUCAAUUUAGACGAUUAAUGUGACCUAAAAUGGGAAUUGUUGGGGCUCUCAAAUUCAAGAACACACUAAAAAAAGAGUCAUAAUUUUAAUCAAAUACAAAAUGAAAAAGAAUAAUUGAAAUAUAAGGAUUUAAAAAAAUUAAAGUAAUAAUAAUAACAACAAUUUUAAACUAAUUUUGAGAAUAUAAUGAAGUAAUAAGAUAAUAUACAUAUCAAUAUUCACAAAUUUUAAACUGAAAAGAUGGAAGUAAUAAACAAAAAUUUUAAAAUAAAAAAAUUAAUAUUAACAAUUUAAUAUUUAUAAAUUGUAAAUAAUAUAAUAAAAAAAUAUUACGCAUAAAAGCAUUUUUUUUAUAAUUAUAUAAUUAUCUAACUUAUAUAGAUUUGAUUAAAGGUGGAGGGGGUAAAAAUCCAACAUCUUUAAAUUGUGGGCACUAUAAUAAAAAAAAUUGAAACAUAAAAACUUUUUUUAAUUACAUGAUUAUUUUUAUUCAUAUAGAUUUUGUAACGCCCAGGGAGUACACCCUGGAUGCCACACGGUUCUUACAGUCACAAAUAACCACAAGCUAACCCAUGAGUUGGUACCUGCUGUAAGCACUGAACAAACUGAUAAUAAAAGGUACACAUGUGUGGAAAACAAAGCUGGCUACGCCAUAAGGUUUAAGCAUUUAAAAAUAUCUCUGAAUUAAUAUGCUUGAAAAACAAAUGUCAGAAAACAAUACUGUAAAGACUGCCAAUAACAACUGAUAACUGACUAACUGUCUGUAAGUGUCUGAAAGCCUCUUACUGACUGAUUGUAGAGUUGAUAGGACAAGUCCCCAACUAAUUCUGGCUGACUGCUGAAUUGAAACACUGAAAUAAACAUAAACGAUCCUCGAAAUAUGAGGACUCACCACUACUGUUGUUGCUGGUGCACUGGGAUGUCUAGGUGCGGUCGGGAACCUGAGCAUCCAAACCUAUGAUAUGAGAUAUCAUAGCGCAAAAAACGAGUAUGCGGUCAGUCCUUUGAAUAUACUAGUAUGUUAAAUGAGGUUAGACUGAUAUACAUGGCUCAUAUGCAUGAACAAUAACUGACUGAAUAAAUAACAUGAGAUAACUGAUGUAUAGUAUGCGAGAAAGUUGUAAAUUCUAAGAAUGCAUGACCAAACAUAUGACAUAAUACUAGGCUAGUCUGUAAACUGAAAUACUGAUACUGAACAACUAAUAAUUGUAUGUCAUGGUCAAGCAAGCCAGAAACUGAAUUCUAAACUGAAUACUGGACUGAGACUGUGGGAGCUAUUAUCUAAACGACAUGUCCUAAUAUGAGCUAAUUGGGGUCCAACUUGUGACCCAGUUGGAAGGGUGUCAGUACCGUGCCACGAGUACUAACACUAGCUGCAUGGAUCCACUGAAAUAAAGUCCCGAACGACUAAAGGGUUACCCUCUAUUGACAGGUGCUCGGGUGAGAUAUAUGUCAACCUUCAACUGGCAGGUUAACAUCUCUAACCUACGUUGGCUAUGUAGUUCUGGAACGCAGGGACUGCUACUAAAGUUCACACCCUCAAUUGGCAGGUGAGCUCCCAUACCUGGGUUCUCUCGGUGCUAAAUCCUACUCCUAACUAAACUGACUCGAAAUACUGAACUGAUUUAAACUUAACUAAUAGGAUAACAGACUGAACUAAUAAUACUCAUAUAUGUCUGAAAACCAUUCUGAAAGUACUAAAAGUAAGUAAAGAGCUAAAUUUCAGGUGUUCAUAACCCCCAGGACUCGAUAAUAUUAAUAGUAAAAGCAUAUCAAAGCUUCAAAAGCAUAAUAAGUAGUUAUUACUCAAAUUUCAUCUCUUAGGCAUUUCAUCAAACACUUGAAAUUCAUGAACUUAGGCAUGGAAAUGAUUUCAACAUGUGGGAAUAACAUAAUCAUAACACUAAAACCAUACAUUGGGGGAUUUAACAUGGAAUUUCAUGCUUCAAACGUGUAAAGGCUACUUUUUAAAAACACUUGUAAACAUCAUGCAUAAUCGACAUUCCCAAAAGCUUCAUGAAAUUAACUCAUUGUAAACAUGUGAAUUCAUGAUUUAGAAUACAAAAAUAAGUACUUGGACUCCAUGGGUGAAAAGGGCCUAUGGAUGAACAUUUAACAUACCCUAAGGCUUUAAUCUUGCAAGAGAAUUGACGUUCUUGAUCGUUAUUGGGUGGUGAAGCUUGAAUUCUUGAGUUUUCUUGAAGAAAUAAUGGUUGAACUUGAUGAAUUUGGGUGAUGACUAGGGUUUAUUUUAAAGAGGAAUUGUGGAAAUAGGACAUAUAAUGCCUCAACUGACGAUAAAUCCCAUAUUUUUAUGGAUUAGGGCCAUGGGAAAAGACCUGACUGCCCUUAGGAAAUUUAAACUCAUAACUGGAAUGUCGAUUGUGCCCUCACCACAAUGCGCCAAGGCCUCCAUCGCUAUUCUACCGUGACGCACCACAAUCACGUUGACUUGCUAUUUUGGAAUUUGAAACAUGGUCCAAACCUUGUCCGAAAAAUCCAAAACUUACCCGAGAUAUGCUACUUAUACCCCUGAACAUGAAUUAACUUAGAAACUUACGUCUCGAGAUCAGAAAGGUCACUUUAAAAAUCAUUGAAGUUAAGAGACCAAAAUAAAACGAAGUCUCCAACCCUUAGCUAUGGGCUGAAUUGAGAUAAGACAAAUACAGGGUAUUACAGAUUUGGUUAGAGCUUGGGAUGGGGUGGGCGUAGGGGUGGGAGCGCAUUUCAUUGAGAAAUAUUAUAAUAGUUCAAUCUCUUUUGUUAUGGUAAAUAUGAUUUAGCAAGUUCAAAUAAGAUAUCUCAACCUGAAUUAGUUAGAAAUAUUACUUUAAUAUUAUUUGUGCAUGAAAUGGGUACGUAUACUAGUUUUCAUUUAAUAAUUGAAAAAACAACUUAAAUAACCUUUUAUCAAUAAUCUAUAUAUAUAAUAUUUAAUCUAUAUCUAUAUCUAUAAUUUAUAAUAUAUUAAAAGUGUAAAAGGCCUUAGAAAUGUUGUUUGAACUUUUUGGCUUUCAUUAAAAGUCUUUGUUUUAUAUAAAAUUGCCAUUUUACUAUUUUUUUCUCAUAUUUAAGAGUUAAAAAUUAAUUAAAUAUAUUUAUCACAAUGAUAAAACCUUUUCUUAUUAGAAAUCAUCAGAAUUAAUUAUAACUAAUACUUUUUUAUUCACUUAAGAAUUUUAAAUCAACUAAAUUUGAUUUUAAAAAGAUUUAAAAAAAUUAGAAAUAAAUAUAAAAGAAUUAGAAUAAGAAAAAUUUAAGAAGUUUCAAUUUUUUCUUGAGUACGUAAUAAGAAUGUAAUCAAUGAUUUUAUAAAUACUUGACUUUAAAAAUAAAAAAGAUUUAAAUAUAGAAAAAAAAAUAACCAUACCACAAAUAUAGUUCAAAUUGAUGCGUCUCUCUUAGCCUCUGUGUCACGUCCCAAAAUAAUUCCUAGGCGUGAUUGGCACCUGCUAGCACCACCUGUCGGGGAGAACCAAUCUAUCAUAUACUUUACUAGUUAAUAAACACUAAGAUAAGAUAUUCGCAACUACAACGCAUCAAUAGAUUAUGGAUAAUAAUCCAACAAAAUUUCAUAAUCAAACUAUAAAUUCAUCAAUUAUUCGAGAAAUAAUUCUCUAGCCGAAAUCUCACGCUAAGAUCAUGAAGCAUCUAUAAUAGAGUUAGAUAAUUUAAACCCUCGAAUAUGCAAACCCAAUGAAGAGAAAUGCAAGCUAAAAUAUCUAGAGAUAAAACGACAACCUCCACGAAUAAUGCAAAGGUUCACCUCAGCAACAAAAUCCUCAUAAAUGGACCAUCAGCCACUAAUCUCACCUUCCACAAAAUAUCUGCAGACAUGCAAGUAAGGAGUGAGCUAUAUAUAAAUAUAAUCUAGUAAGAUUCUCGAUCCGCUACUUUAAUAUCCCUGGAACAAGUGUUAGAAAAUAUAACACAUAAAGAUUAUAUAAAUUAUAUGUACAACAUAUAUCUUAUAAUAUAAUGUUCAAUAAGGUUCAACAUAUGUUUCAAAAGUUAUCAUGUAUCUCAACUCAAUCCAUCCUCACGGCUUGUCAUAAACGACAUAAAGGUGAUCAGCCUAGCACUCCGACAAGUCCACAAUAACAUAUAUAAUGCCCUAAAAAUAUACUACGAUAGCAAGUACAAGGCCCCUAACAUAUUAUGGCAGCAUUUAUAUACCCCUAGUAAAUAUAUCACGACAGCAAGUAUAAUACCCCUAACACAUUACGGCAGUAUAGGUAUGCCCCUAACAUAUUACGGUAGCACAUGUAUGAUCCUAGUAAAUACAUCUAAUAUCCCAACGUCACCUCACAAUGCACUAUUCAAUAAUUCUCAAUAUUCUUAACAAAAUAUAUAUCUGCGGUUGAUCAAAGACCACCAAUUCUACCAAGCACAUGUUUGUCCCAACACAUGACUAGGCAGAAAAAUAUAUGUUUUAUAAAGCAGGUUUAAAAAGUAAGAAUCAAAGUUUAAAGUCUCACUGAACUUGAGAAUGACAAGUUCCUCAACCUUUCAAUGCAUAGUACACAAACCAAACAACCUCCAAUGGUUUCAAUCUAAUAAAAAUAUUACUUAAAGAUGUCAAUUGUGCUAGCCGAUGUCAAGUCUCAAUACUUUUAACCUUCUAGUUUAAAGCUAAACUUUAAUAUCUCAUACCUUAAGCUAUGAAUUAAAGAUAAAAAUUAUCUCUAUCCAACCUAACUUCCCAAUAAUAAUCUUAUACAAAUUAGUUGCCUAACCAUUUGAUCUCAUUAGCCACAACUAUUAUAAGACACACUUUACUGUGCAUCCAAAACUCCACUAAUACAGAGAAUUUGCAAAUUUGUGCAGCAAGUACUUUUUUUUCACCUGCAAGAAGUUAACAUAUCUAAAAUCAAUUAGUAUCAAUACAGAUCAGAAGUCCCACAACAUGAAUAUGAUCAUUUUUCUCUCUGUACUCAUUGCUUAAUCAUUGUAUCAUCAUAAUAUUUUUUUCAAUCAUUAACUAAUCAAUAGUUUCCACUCUAUCCCUUUAACUCCAUUAGGACCAAUCUUCCCAAACAUUCUUUGUAUGCACAGUUUUCACGCUAAAUAAUUACGAACAAAAUACAUAACUUAUAAAAUAUGAAGUUUCACAAGUCAGUGUUACUCGCUAAUGGUAUUCUACGUCUUUGGCUCGUUCUUUUUCAAGAGUAAAGAGAUCAAUUUUCCUAAUUCUUUUAUUUUCUACUCCUCCGAAGAAGUUGCUUUUGAAAACUUAAGAAGAUGUUUACCCUACCUUUUACUCCCUAAAUAGAACGUGCAUCCACUAGAAUAAAGGAGAGGGUUUUGUCUUUUGUCUUGCCCACUUUAAUUCUAUUAAUUAAUAUCAAUAAUAUAGGAUAAAUUAUCCAUUUAUCCCUCACUAAAAGUCUGACUUAUGACAUUCUCUCUCACAUAAAAUAAUGUUCAUCCUCGAACGGGUCUAGAAUUAUAUCUGAACUACCAAAUAACUAUAUGACCUUUCCAUACAUGUUUUGACAAUGAUAUUUCUGUCAACUCUAUAUACAUAAUAUCUCUAAAAUACUUUAAUUAAAGAAUGCUCAGUUAAUUAUAGCUUGCACGCUUGAAAAUAAUCAUUGAUCCUUAGAGCUUUCUAAUAUAUAGUCUUUUAGAUUUCAAGCUACUUAUAUAGUGAACCACCCAAAUAUCACAUAAAAUCUCAAACGACAUUGUUUGCGAAUCAUAAUUUUCACUUGAGAAACCUUCUUCAAACUCAACUUUGGCACGGAGUCAAUUACCAAUAUCAUGGACUUUUCUCAUAUGUCAAAAUUUUUAUCUAUUAUCAAUUCCUUAGGAUGGAUUUUUUUUUUACUUUUUGCUAUCAUCACAAAUAUAAAGAUAGACACGUGCAAUAAAAGCAGAAAGAACAACAAAAAUGUCAAAUAUAAAACAAAUCUACAUUGAUACCAAACCGGCUUGACUUUAUUCUCAUUCGAACCAACAUAUUUAUUAAGCUUAGUUCAUUUUUUUUAAUAGCUUGUUGGGACCACCAACUAACAAAUAAUACCAGCAUGUAUAUAAAGUCUCAAAGACAUAAAUUACAUACCAAGUUAGUAACAAAGACGAGGUAUAAUCUCUGUCAGAAGUAGCUAAUCACAAAUCACUCAAUAUAAUAUAUUCAUUCUGCUAGUGAUGAUAUUGAACACUCUUUUAUUUUCUCCUUUCGCAAGAACACCUUCGAGUAUCACAAUCACAGUCCUGUAGUGAAACACAUCCUCCAUACUUAUAUAUGUUAGUGUUUGACUAUCAGAAAAUUCCUACCUAAAACUCUCACGUAAAAUAACAUUGGGACACAUUGUUGAGUCUAUACAUCUUGAUCAUACUUAUAGUGGUACAAUAAUACAUUCUUAGACCCCUACUUAACACUCAUGUACGAUAACGUUGGAAUACUUUCAUACACCCCUACAUAAUGUUCCAUGCACUUUUACUCUCAUCAUGCAUGAAAACACAAGCAUCUCGUGCCAUUGCACUACUUUUAGAAUAUAUCAACAGAUAGGCUAAAAUGGCAUAUAAUCAAUACAAACUAAAUUAGGUGCUCAAUUUCACUAGUCUUUGCCCUCUCAUCAUGCUUGUUGAAAAUCCAUUUCUCUAUCCUUCAAGCACUCAGCAGGUUAAUAUGUCUAUCAAAAUUAUCCUAGCUAUGGUCACAUUUAAAAAAAAAUCAAUGUAUAGACUAACCACAAAGUCUAUAGCAAUUUUUCUUAUUUAUUUAUUUAUUUUGCUCAGUGACAACGAUGUUUACGAUGGUAAUAUUUUAUUUUCAACCCUCCUAUUUAAAAUAUGAACAGUUCAAGACAUUGUCGGGCAACAUGUGUAAUACCUCAUAUCACUAUAUGAUGUUAGCUCUAUUUCUUUGAUCUCAUUACAUAUUUAUGAAUCUCAAACGUACUAAAUAUUGAAAAAUAUUUUUAAUCUUAUCAAUUACAAAUCUCCUUAAGUCAACCACCAGAAGUGCAUAUACAUUGAAUUCUCUAAUUGUAAUGCUCUCACUUUGCUUACUAUAAAAAAUUAUCAGUAGCCCCCAGUAUUAUCAGAACUUUUAUCGAUGAGGUAGUUAAGCCUGUAGGGUUUCAAAUUGAAUCUAUUAGAUUCAUUACUAGGCCAAACUUAAAUGAAAGAUUCAACAGUAUUUUUUGACAAUCAAACACAAGACAACAUAAUUCGAGUCCAAACAAAAGAUAACAUCAAGAUCAACUAUUCCAAGUCAUAACAAUACGUAAAUACAUCAUGAUUCUGAUUUGGGUCCGCACAUAUUCAAUAGACCGCUCAAUAAUAGUAGGCCCCUCACUUGUAAAGAUACCACAACGAUAUAUCUAAGUACUUAGGUUUUUUUUUUAAUCUUCAUAUUCAUUGGCUCAAUUUUCUUUUACGAUUCAUUUAUUUUGCGGUAUGAGACAACCUUCAUAAUUCACAUCUUAUUCCUUACAUCAAUAAUUAGUCAUGACAUACUACUCUGAGUAUCAUACGCAACCUCUAAUUAUAUUCGUUCAUAAAUUCUUAGGCCUAAGUUUUCUAUUCACUCUCACAAGUCUAGAAUUUUCAUAGAUCUGCUCCAUGAACGUAUUAAGCAUCUUGAAACGUCACUAUCAUGCUCAUAAUCAAUAUAUUUAAGAGUAUGUAUUUUCAUACCAGGUUCACACCUAUGACAUCACCAUCAUAACAUUACUAACUAUAGAGAUUUUUUUUUUAAGAAAACAUUAAGCUUAGGACCAUACACACAAUGUCCUUAAACUAUGUUUCACCACUAAAUCAAACAAUUUAAACAUGGGUAAGCUAUUACUCUUCUUACUUUCCUACAACACUCCUUUCUUUUUCUAGUCAGACUCAUAAUAGAAAGUUAUAUGUAUAACCUCAAAUUUAAAUAAGUCGCUCUAAUGCAAAAAUUUUAUCAUUUGAUCAAUCUUUUUCUCCAUCCACACAAACUUUUUUAACUGGAAGAUCUACAUUGUAAAUAAAGUAAUCCCAAGAUGUAACCAAUUCAAUAUCAACCAACAUCAAUGCGCAUAUAUUUUCAGUAAUCAGUGUCACUCUCAAUUGAACAUGUAUAAUUAAAUACUUUGAAGUCAACUAUGCCAUCUAGCAAAGGAGGAUAUGUCUAUCCUAACAAUAUGUGAAAAGAACAUUAAAAAAAAAUUAACCUCAAUUCCUCUUAACGCACGAAUGAUGAAUGAAAAAAGGAAAAACAUACUAGAUAUUCGGUAGCUUCAAGGUCAUAAGCAUGAACAUCUACAUACCCAUGAACAAGACUUUACCAAACACUGCUCCACGAUCUAGGACCUAAAGCCUAAGCUUUCAUACCAGCUUUGUCACGUCCCAAAAUCAUUUCUAGGCGUGACUGAUACCCGCUAACACUGCCUGUCGGGAAAACCAAUCUUCCAUAUGCUUUACUACUAGUUAAUAAACACUAAGAUAAGAUAUUCGCAACUCCAACACAUCAAUAAAUUGUGGAUAAUAAUUCAACAAAAUUUUAUAAUCAAACUAUAAAUUCAUCAAUCAUUGGAGAAUUAAUUCUCUAGCCGAAAUCAGACGCUAAAAUUAUGAAGCAUCUAAAAUAGAGUUAGAUAAUUUCAACUCUCGAACAUGCAAAUUCAAUAAAGAGAAAUACAAGCUAAAAUAGCUAGAACUAAAACAAUAACCUCCAUGAAUAAUGCGAAGGCUCACCUCAGCAACAUAAUCCUCAUAAAUGGACCGCCAGCCACUAAUCUCAUCUUUCACAAAAUAUCUAUAGACAUGCAAGUAAGGAGUGAGCUAUAUAUAAAUAUAAUCUAGUAAGAUCCUUUACCUGCUACAUUAAUACCCCUGAAACAAGUGUUAGAAAAUACAACACACAACGAUUAUAUAAAUUAUAUGCACAAUAUAUAUCUUCUAAUAUAAUGUUCAAUAAGGUUCAACAUAUGUUUCAAAAGGUAUCAUGUAUUUCAACUCAACCCAUCCUCACAGCUUAUCAUAAAUGGCAGUGAAGGUGAUUAGACUAGCACCCCGACAAGUCCACGAAAGCAUAUAUAAUGCCCCAAAAGUAUAUUACGACAGCAAGUACAAGGCCUCUAACAUAUUACGACGACAUAGAUAUGUCCCUAAUAUAUUACGGCAGCGCAUGUAUGCCCCUAGCAAAUAUAUCACGACAACAAGUACAAGACCCCUAACACAUUAUGGCAGCAUAGGUAUGCUCCUAACAUAUUAUGGCAACACAUGUACGCUCCUAGUAAAUAUAUCCAAUAUCCCAACGUCACCUCACAACGCACUAUCAAAUGAUUCUCAAUAUUUUUAAUAAAUACAUAUCCGCUAUUGAUCAAAGACCACCUAUCAAGAACACGUUUGUCCCAACACAUGGACUAUUUAUAAAAAAAUAUUUUUUUACAAAGCAGAUUUGAAAAACAAGCAUCAAAGUUUAAAGUCUCACUUACCUUGAGAAUGACAAGUUCCACAACCUUGCAAUGCGUAGUACACAAUCCAAAUAGCCUCCAAUGGUUUCAAUCUAAUAAAAAUAUUACUUCACGAUGUCAAUUGUGCUAGCCGAUGUCAAGUCUCAGUACACUUAACCUUCUAGUUUAAAGCUAAACAUUAAUAUCUCAUACCUUAAGCUAUGAAUUAAAUAUAAAAAAUUUCUCUGUCCAACCUAACCUCUCAAUAAUAAUAUUAUACAAAUUAGUUGUCUAACCAUUUGAUCUCAUUAGCCACAACCAUUAGAAGACACACUUUACUGUGCAUCUAAAACUCCACUAAUACAAAGAAUUUACAAAUUUGUGCAGCAAGUACUUUUUUCAAUACAGAAUCAGAAGUCCCACAACAUGAAUAUGAUCUCUUUUCUCUCUCUACUCAUUGCUCAAUCAUUACAUCAUCAUAAUGUUUUUUUCAAUCAUUAACUAAUCAACAGUUUCCACUCUAUCCUUUUAACUCCAUUAGGAUCAAUCUUUCCAGCUAUUCUUUGUGUGUAUAGUUUCCACGCUAAAGAAUUACGAUACCUUAUAAAAUAUGAAGUUUCAUAAGUCAGUGUUACUCGUUAAUGUUCUUCUACGUCGUUGGUUCAUUCUCUUCCAAGAGUAAAGAGAUCAAUUGCCCUAAUUCUUUUCUUUUCUACUCCUUUGAAGAAGUUACUACUUUUGAAAACUUAAGAAAAUAUUUUCCCUACCUUUUACUCCCUAAAUAGAACAUGCACCCACCAGAAUAAGGGAGAAGGUUUUGUCUUUUGGCUUGUCCACUUUAAUUCUAUUAAUUAAUAUCAAUAAGAUAGGCUAAAUUACCCAUUUACCCCUCACUAAAAGUCUGAGUUAUGACACUCUGACAGCAAGAAGAAGAGGUACGACAUGACAAACGCAAAAGUGAUGAUCAACCAAUCACUUGAAACUUCUGGUGGUAAAAUAUACAUGUUUUUAAACUAAAAUAUAUGUUUAUGUUUACAUUAUUAUAUUAAAGUGUGAAGAAUAUUUUAAAAGUGAUUUAAAUUUUUACACUUCAUUAAAAAUCUCCACAAUAGAUAAAAUCAUUUAACUUUAAAUAAUCAAACAUUGCACGUGCAGUUAAACUAGUUAUACUAAAAGUACAUGGUGAAUGUAUAAUAUAUGCAUAAUGUGUAUAUUAAUAUAUAAUUAUAUAUGCUAACAAGAAAAGUAAACAAUAAAUCUAUUCGACUAUUUAUUAUUCUUUUUUCAAAUUGUUCUGUUACAGGUUGUAUUUUUCUUAUAAUUUAGUAAAGUUGCUUAUAACCUUAUAAUUUUAUUCUUCCCGACUAUAUGCUUAAAAAAAUUCUCUCUUUUCGUAAAAUAUUUGGUUUAUUGACCUACCAAUCUUACAUCUUAUUUUGCAAAAUGUCGGGGACCUUACUUCAAAAUUGUUUUUAUAACUAUUAAGGUAAAAUAAUAUAAUUACUUUCCUUUAUUUCAAAUUCUUUUUUUAGUAAAUUAUUGUGUCUAGAAUAAGUUGUGCAUGUCUCGAUUAAUUCUACAAAAUACUUGUUGUUUUCACAGCACAGUACAGGUAGUAGAUAACUCAAUCCAUCAAGAAUUAACUUGAAAGGUUGAGUUUUAUGAUGUUAUUCUCAACUCUAUUAAGUUUUCCUUUUCAAUCAUAUUUUCUAACCAACAUGUCUAAACAAAAGGACCAUGGGAAAUAUCAAUAAUCAAUGUGUUACACAUGAAACAUAUCGUAUGUGUUAAGUGUUUUCUUUGUUUUUAGCAGAAUAAAAGAAUGGGUUUUGUUGGACCUAUUCUUUGAAAAAUUUAUCCGUUGCUUUUUUUUAGGAAUUUUAUAAGUUUAGGAGUUACAUUAGUCGUAGGUCAGUUAGUUGCUAAGUUAUAGGAACCAGUUUAACUUGUAAUCUCUAUUUUUUGGAGACUUUACGUCAAUAAUAUUCAAGCAAGUUUCUGAUAUUACUGAGUAUUCAAUCAACAGUGACAUCAGCACUAGACUCAGAGUGACCCGUGAGUAAAAGAAGUAGAAGCUUCACCUGUUAUCUUGUAGAGUGCUUAUGGCAUCUGAGAGUAAAAAUUUUGUCCAACCUGUUAUUCCCCACUUUGAUGAUUACUAUGUUAUUGGAACAUGUUGAUGGAUAACCUCUUGAAUUCAAAAGAGUUCUGGAGCAUUAUAGAGACUGAUUUCAGUGAACCAGAUCAUGGUGUGGAGAUGACAGGAGUUCAACAAAAGGUUUUGGAUGACCAAAGACUGAAGGAUUUCAAAGCUAAAACUAUCUAUUCCAAGCAAUAGAUCGUGACAUACCGAAGACAAUUUUUCAAAAGGAUACUUCCAAGCAGAUUUGGGACUGAAUAACCGAAAAGUAUUCAGGUACAACAAGAGUAAAGCCGCAAAAACUUCAAGUAGUUAGCAAAAAAUUUGAAGCUAUGUACAUGAAAGAAGGGGAGUCAGCAGAUGAGUACUUCACCAAAACAUUGACCAUUGUUAACAAGAUCUGUGUUUAUGGUCGAAAACUAGAUGAUGUUGAUAUUACUAAAAAGAUUCUACAGUCUAUGUCUUCAAAAUUUACAUAUAUGGUUUGCUCUAUUGAGGAGUCAAAGAAUAUUGAUACAAUGUCAAUAAAUGAACUACAGAGCUCUUUAUUGAUACAUGAGAAGAGAAUGGCACCUCCUCCUAUCAAAGAACAAGUCUUAAAAGUGACAACUCAAUUUGAUUCUUCCAGUGGGAAUGGUUUUGACAGAGGUCAUGGUCGAUCUCAUGGUAAAAACAUGAGUUCAAAUGGUAGAGGAAAUAUACAUGAUAAUGAUCAAUACUCUACUUAUGAUCCGACGUUUGACAAGUCGUAAAUAAAGUGUUAUUAUUGUCACAAGUAUGACCACUAUAAGUCUGAAUGUAGAACUAAUUUGUAUUCAGACAAGGGAGAAGGAGAGAAGUCAAAUUUCACGGAAUAAGAAGAAGAAGAAGAAGAAACCUUGUUGAUGGCUUACCAUGUGCAAGAGCAAUCUCAUUCAAAUAAGUGGUAUCUAGACUUUGACUGCAACAAUCAUAUGUGCGGUAACAAAUUUUUAUUUUCUGAUUUGGAUGAAUAUUAUAAAGAUAGUGUCAAGCUUCGCAACAAUUUCAGUAUUUUUGUCAUGGGAAAAGGCAGUGUCAGAUUUCAGGUGAAAAGGACAUUUUUUCAAAAUUACUAAAGUUUUUUGUGUUCUCAAAUUAAAGAACAAUCUUCUUAGUAUGGGGCAGCUACAAGAAAUGAACUACAAAAUUAUUUUCAAAAGUGCUCCUGCACGGUACAACAUACACAGAAGGGAACAAUUCUUGAAGUUAAGAUGACAGUCAAUCGGUUAUUUCCUUUACACAUUAAUGACCAAACAUGCUUGACAACCAAAAUGGUAGACUACAUGGUUAUGGCAUAUGCACUAUGGACACCUCAAUUUCAAUGGUUUGAGAACCCUGCAACAAAGUAAUAUUGUUGGUGGUCUUCCUUAAAUCAAUGCUACUAUCAAAGUUUGUCAAAAUUAUGUUGUUGGUAAAUCACAUCGUGACUCUUUUUCGGUUGGAAAGGCGUGGAGGGCUAAGGAAUUGUUGCAAUUGAUUCAUUCAAACCUUUGUAAUCCAAUUAACCAAGCCCCAAACACCAAUAGAAAGUAUUUUAUAUAUUAUACUGAUGACUAUAGUAGGAAAACAUGGGUUCAAUUUUUGGGACAAAAGAAUGAGGCUUUAAGCGUAUUCAAGCGAUUCAAGGUCUUUGCUGAAAAGGAAUUAGGGAAGAAAAUCAAAAUUCUUCGAACUGAUCGUGGUGGUGAGUUUAAUUCAAAUGAGUUCAUAAGCUUUUGCGCUAUGAGUGAAAUUUGGAGGAAGCUGACAAUAUCUUAUACACCACAACAAAAUGGUGUCUCUAAGAGGAAGAAUCGUACAAUUUUGAACAUGGUAAGAUGUAUGUUGGCAACUCGGAGCAUUCUAAAAAGUUUCUGGCCAGAGGCAAUUAAUUAGAGUGUUCAUGUAUUGAAUAGAUGUCCUACUUUUGUUGUGAAAAAUAUGACAACGAAAGAAACUUGGUCCUCUCAAAAAUCAACUGUUGAUCAUUUUAGAAUUUUUAGGUGUAUACCAUAUGCUUAUAUUUCUUAUGAAAGGCGAAAGACACUCGACGAAAAAGGAGUCUAAUGAAUUUUUCUUGGAAUAAGCGAAGAGUCAAAGGCUUACAGAUUAUAUGAUCCACACACAAAGAAGAUAAUUGUAAGCCGUGAUAUCAUUUUCGAUGAAGUAAAACUAUAGGAUUGGAAUAGUGCAAAAAAACAAUCAGCUUCGGUACAUGUUGACGAGGAAGAAGUGGAAACAGAGAUUGAAGGGCCAAAUCAACAAGAUGGAUCAAAUAUUCAGCAACAGUUAUCUAAUGAUGUAAUAACCAACCAGAAUGCAAGGUCAUCAAGUGAAGAACAAUCAUCAAAAGUUACAACUGAACGAAGUCGACGUCAAAUGAGGAGGCCAUCUUGGAUGAUUGGUUAUGUAAGUGAAGAUGAACUAUCGGAUGAUGAUACUACUGCCAAUCUUAUUUUAUUUAUAGAUUGUGAUCCUGUUGCAUAUAAAGAUGCAAUAAAAGACUCAAAACGGCAAAAAGUUAUGGAUAUAGAGAUUGAAUCAAUUAAAAGGAAUGAUACUUGGGAGCUGACUGAACUUCCACAAGUCCAGAAGAUCAUUGGUGUAAAGUGGGUUUACAAGACCAAACUAAAUGAAAGGGGAGAGGCUGACAAGCACAAAGCACAACUGGUGGUAUAGGGAUACACUCAGAAGUUUGGCAUUGAUUAUAAGAAAGUGUUUGCUCCAAUUGUUAGGCUCGAUACCGUUCGAUUGAUAAUAGUUAUGGCUGCACAAAUUUUGUGGUUGAUUUCAACUGGAUGUAAAAUCGACAUUUCUUCAUAGAAAGUUACAUGAACGGGUAAUAUUGAUCAACCUCCUGGAUAUCUAGAGCAAGAUAGUGAAGAGAAAGUAUACAGUUUGAAAAAAACUCUAUAUGGAUUGAAACAAGCACCUUAGCUUGAUACACUCAUAUAGAGGCUCAUUUUUUAAAUAUGGAAUUUCGAAAAUGUCCAUAUAAGCAUUCACUUUAAAGAUGGGAUUUUGAAAAUAUCCACAUAAUCAUUCACUUUUUACUAAAACUUGUACCUAAUCAAAGUUUUUGAUUGUUUACCUAUAUGUAGAUGAUUUGAUCUACACAGAAAUGAUAAAAGUAUGAUGGAUGAUUUCAAAAAAUCUAUGAUGACGGAAUUGUCACACUCCUUUUUUUGCCUGAGGGUCGAGUCAAAAGAUUUUUCCAAUUAAAGUGACGAUAUUGAAUAGAGAUUAUUUGAUUUACAGAGUCACUACUUGAAAUUGAGUUAAGGUGUUCCAAGUCACCUUUUUGAAUCCCUACUCAAAAGGAAAUGACUCUUAAUUAUGGUCUAUGAAAACAAAAGAUUGGGUAAGAAAUUUUAUUGACCGAGAGAAGGUAUGAGGCACCCCUUGAGUCCCGUGGUUCUAACACGAUCGCUUUUAUUAACUUAUCUUGUCUUAAAUUAUUUUAAUAAAUUAUAUUAAGGCCUAAAAUCGCUCAUUUUUUAAUAAUACCGAAAAUAUCUAUUUACUCUUCUUAUCUUAAAUAAAUCAUGAAAAUUAAUUUUAGAAAAAUAUUUGUCAAGAUGCAUUAUUACAUCCUUGAAUUUUUAAAUAUCUCAUUAAGAUACGUACACCGCAUUCUUAAUUGAGACGAAUAUUUUAAACAUGCCUAAAAAUUUGACUAGCGCUAAAGACUUUAAUUUAAUUUUGUAAACUCAUAACAAUUUAUCUGUUUGAACUACUAUUUAACCUUAACAUUAGACUAAAGCAAUAUUCAAUUAAAGCAAAUAACUAAUUUAAUAAGUAAUUAUUAUGUUUUAUUAAUAACAACAAAUAAAAUAAUAAAAUAAAUAUAAAAAAAUACAUAAAGCUUUAUCAUUUAAACUUUAGGCAACAAAACGAGAGUAUGAGUUAGGUUAAACAUGAAUUUCAUUUAAAAAAAUCAAAAUUACGUACAAAAUAAUACAUUAAAUAAUUUAAACAACUUUUUUUUCACUUGCAACCAAACUGGCCAGAUCUGGCCUGAAAAUAGUGCGACAGGGUCGACAAAAGGAGAGAAGGGGGCGGUGCGGCGUCAUUGGUGGGUUUCCGGCGAGUUGAUUCGCCGGUGGGAUGAUGGAAAAAGGGGAGAGGAAAAAGGGGCUGCGCGGUUUGGGAUAUUCCGGUGAAUUAUCACCGAAAUCGACUAUUGGGAUUGAGUUUAACCAGUUUUCCGGCGAACAGUGGAGGCUAGCAGCAUUUUUUGGUGGAUCCGCCGGAGGUUUUGCGUGCCCGUUCGAUCGUUUUCUGGCAAUGGUUCGACGGAAAUGGGAUGGACGCCGGCUAGAUCUGAUUUUUUUAUAUGUUUUUUCCGGUGGUGGGCUGAUUUGGUUACUGAUUUAACGCUUGCCGAUGUAUUUUAAUGGAUUUUGGGGUGGUUUGACUUGUUUUUCGGCGAAUUCGUCGCCGGAACAAUGACAAACGUCGGAACAGUGUGUGUUGCAGUGUGUGUGCGUGAAUGUGUAUUACAGUGAUAUAUGAGUUUGUGUGUUCUGUGUAAAUGAAUAUAUACAUAUUUCCUAUUUACAUGUUUCUGUAGUUUCUAAACUUUAAAUUUAUUGCUCAUAUAUAUAUUUUCUAGCAAAAUAUCAUGCAUAAAAUUAUGUCAUUACGAAUAUUCAUACACAGAAAAUAUCUUGAACAUUCAUUCAUGCUUUUCCAUAAUAAAAUUGAUAACAUUACAACAUGUAGUGGAUUAAACCAAGUGAUAAAUAAAGAAAAAUCCGUCACCGGAAAUUUUAAGCGAAACUUCGAAAUUCGAAUCACCACUCUUUCUUCUUUUUCUUUUUGUGUUUCUGCCGAUGAUUUUUCUCUCCAUUUUUUCUGCUUUCUUUUUUUGUUCUAUCUAUCUUUUUUUCUUCUCAGUCUGUAUGAUACAGUGUAUAUAGAUAGAAUGUACGUAGUUUUUUUGUUUGGGAUGGGAAGUUCUUAAAUAGGGAGAUUUGAAGGAGUAGUUUGAGUAGUUUAGGAUUUAAAUUUGAAUUUAUUUUUUUAAUUAUUAUUAAUUGUAAUAAUAAUAAUAAUUAAUAAAUAAAUGAAUAAACAUAAAAAUAAAAGUAAAUAAUAAUAAUAAUAAUAAAUAAUUAAGUUUAUUAAGAAAAUACAGAAAAAGUUUAUAAAUAUUUAAAAAUAAAUAUAAUUAAGGUAAUAUUAAAACUCCUAGCUUAUUUAUUAAAAUUUAAAAGAAAAAUAUAUUUUUAAAUUUUUUGUAUUAUAAAAAAAAUAUUCCAAAAUUAAUUUUAUUUAUUUAUUUAUUUUUAACUAAAACAAUUUAUUGAAAAUGAAAUAAAAGUUAAAAUAAAAUCGAACCAAAUAUAAAUAUUUAACAUCGAAAAAUAGAUUAAAAUUUGGGGAAGAUCAAAAUUCACGUGUCUACAGAAAUUUGAGAUGUCUGAUCUAGGUAUGAUGCGCUACUUUCUUGGUGUUGAAGUAAUACAAUCUGCUAUUGGUAUUUCUAUUAUACAGAAGAAGUAUGCUCAAGAAAUCUUGGACAACAUUUAGAUGAGUAGUUGCAACUCGAUUAGUACUCUAACUAAUCCAGGAGUAAGGUUGAUAGUGGAUCCUGAAGGCAAGAAGGUUAAUAGCACUUUAUUCAAACAAAUCAUUGGAAAUUUAUUGUAUUUAACUGCUGCUAGACUAGACAUAGCAUAUGUUGUGAGUAGGGGUGUACAUAGAUCGGGUUGGUUUGAUUUUUUAUUAAAAUAUAACCAAACCAAUAAUAUCGAUUUUCUAAAUCUAUAAACCAAAUCAAAUCAAUAUACAAUCGAUUUUUUUAUUUCGAUUUUAAUCGGAUUUUUUCGGUUUUCAGUUUUUUUGGCUUUUACAAUUAUAAUGUGAUUGAAGAAAAAAUUAAAUGUUUUCACUAAAAAUAUAAAAAAACAAUGGUCAUAGAGUAGUGUCAAUAAAAAUUAAGUUGGCAAAUUACUAAGACGUCUAAACUACUAUCUUUCAAAGAAAUAUUAUGUGGAUACCCAGUGGUUCAAUUUCUAAGUCACUAGUCAUAGUAGCUUAUCUGAAGGUUUCCUUCACAUAAAAUGUGAGCAUACAAAAGAAUGAAAAAUUGGAGACAACUUAUUAAAAGCUUAACUCCAUAUAAUAAUUAACUAUAACAUAAUUUCAUAAGAAAAAAAAGAAACAACCCAAAUUACAACUUGAUGGAUGAGGAGAAUGAGAAGAGUAAGAUGAAAGUAAGAUGAGGAAAUAAUGAGAACUCUCUGAAAACUUGGAAAGUAAAAUGUAAAGUGAAGCAAUUGAAGAGUUUUAGUUUUUUAUAUUAAAAUGGCAAAAUGACCUUCUGGACACCUGUACUAUAUCAGUUUUGUAAGUUGGACACUUCUACUUAUAUGUUUGUUAUCUGGACCCCUGAACCCAUUAAAAAGCAAUAUUUUGCACUCUUUGACCGUUGACCUUGCCUAUGUGGCAAGGUCAUAGUGACCAGGACAAAGAGAGUGUAGCCACUCGCCAGAGAGUGCGAGUGGGGGUCAAUUUUUGGCCAAUUUUACAUUAAAAUAAUUUUAAAAAUAAAUAAAAAUAAUAUUAAAAUUAAAAAAAAAUAAAAAAGAAUCUUUUAUUUCCUCCAUCUUUUUAAAUUUAAAAAUAUUUUUAAAAAUUUAAAAAUAUUUUAAAAAAUUUGAAAAUAAGUUUAAAAUAUUUUUAAAAAUUUAAAAUAUUUGUAAAAAUUUUUAAAAAAAUUCCCNNNNNNNNNNNNNNNNNNNNNNNNNNNNNNNNNNNNNNNNNNNNNNNNNNNNNNNNNNNNNNNNNNNNNNNNNNNNNNNNNNNNNNNNNNNNNNNNNNNNNNNNNNNNNNNNNNNNNNNNNNNNNNNNNNNNNNNNNNNNNNNNNNNNNNNNNNNNNNNNNNNNNNNNNNNNNNNNNNNNNNNNNNNNNNNNNNNNNNNNNNNNNNNNNNNNNNNNNNNNNNNNNNNNNNNNNNNNNNNNNNNNNNNNNNNNNNNNNNNNNNNNNNNNNNNNNNNNNNNNNNNNNNNNNNNNNNNNNNNNNNNNNNNNNNNNNNNNNNNNNNNNNNNNNNNNNNNNNNNNNNNNNNNNNNNNNNNNNNNNNNNNNNNNNNNNNNNNNNNNNNNNNNNNNNNNNNNNNNNNNNNNNNNNNNNNNNNNNNNNNNNNNNNNNNNNNNNNNNNNNNNNNNNNNNNNNNNNNNNNNNNNNNNNNNNNNNNNNNNNNNNNNNNNNNNNNNNNNNNNNNNNNNNNNNNNNNNNNNNNNNNNNNNNNNNNNNNNNNNNNNNNNNNNNNNNNNNNNNNNNNNNNNNNNNNNNNNNNNNNNNNNNNNNNNNNNNNNNNNNNNNNNNNNNNNNNNNNNNNNNNNNNNNNNNNNNNNNNNNNNNNNNNNNNNNNNNNNNNNNNNNNNNNAAAAAUAAAAACAUGAUUAUUCAAAUUUUUCUUAUUUAAUUAAAUUAAUUUUAAUAUUUAAUUUGUUAUGUAGCAUUUUAAAAAUGACUUGGAAUUUAAUGUAAUAUUUUUUUUAUUUUUUUUAAAUGAUGUGGUAGAUGACGUGGCAGACGUGGCAGCAGGCGUGACAGCUGACAUGACAGCUGACGUGGGGGAGAGUGUGUUACACUCACCAAAAAAAGGUUUAAAAUGUUGCUUUUUAGUGGGUUCAGGGAUCCAGAUGACAAACAUGUAUGUAGAAGUAUCCAACUUGCAAAACCGACAUAGUACAAGGGUCCAGAAGGUCAUUUUGCCUAUUAAAAUUGAGUUUUGUAUUAAUUUGUUACUAAUGAAAAAAUAUUAUAAUUAAAGGCCAAGAAUAUAUAUCUAUUUUUUGAAUAUAAAAAAGUAAUAAAAGUAAUUAGAAAGUAGAUUAUAAGUAAUAAUUUUUAACGUAUAAGAAAUUAAAAUUAUAUAUGUAUAUGUCGGUUCGAUUUGGGUUCGGUUUGAUUUUAUUUUUGCUAAUACCAAACCAAACCAAGAAUGAUCGGUUUUUUUUACCCAACACCAAACCAAUCAAAUCAAAUCAUAAGUCGAUUUUUUUCCUCGGUUUGAUUUGAUUCAUCGAUUUGGUUUGACUUAGCGGUUUGAUUUGUACACCCCUAGUUGUGAGUUUAGUUAGUAGAUAUAGGAGAUAUUCAAUCGAAUUUCAUCUCGCUGCUGCAAAAAAAGUGUUGCGUUAUGUGAAGGGCAUCAUUAAUUUUGAUAUUACUAUCUAAUAAGAGGGAAAGGAAAGAGAAAAAGGUAACUGGUCGCCAACAUGCCUGCUUCAGCGGUUUGUCUUCUUACUCCAUGAUUUUAAAAUAUCACCCCUAAUUAACUAUUUAUAAGUUAAUGUAUUACAAAAUUAAUAACAUUUAAUUAAAAAUAAAAUAGACAUUUAUGACUGUCUGCUUCAGUUGUUUCAAUCAUAAUUUUACUAAGUAUCAUCCCUAAUUAAUUAUUAUAAAUCAUCUAAGUGUUAAAAAAUUAAUAAUAUUUAAUAAAAAGGAUAAAAUAGAUAUAGAAUGAUAAAUUAACUCUUGGUGUUUUAAAUUAACUUGACAUCUUAUAUGAGGCCCGCUUAAAAUUUUUUCACAAGUAAUUUUUAUAAUAAUUUUGCUAUAUAACUUAUAAUUAGUUGUUGUAAAUCAUUUAAGAGAUGUCUGUUUCGCUGCUUCAAUUGUGAUUUUACUAUAUCACCCCUAACUAAUUAUUAUGAUCAUUUAAGCAUUAUGCCACUUAAAUUGAAAAAGAAGAAAAAGUAUUAUGAAUUACAAUAAUUUAAAACUUAAAUUAUUUAAGAAAUAUAAUUGACUAUCAAUGCUACAAAAGUUUGGAAAAGGAGAGUAGCAUAUAGUAUUUGAAAAAUGCAUAAAAAGUACUAAAUUACAAUAAUUUACAACUUAAAAUAUCUAAAAAUAAACUAAUAUGUUAUAUAUUUAAAAAAAAAAAUACAUAAAAAUACUAUAAAUCACAAUAAUAACAAGUUAAAAUUUUUUAAAAAUAUAUAAUAUUUGAUUGACUUUCGAAAUUAUAUUAAUGCCACUUAAAUUGAAAUAGAAAAAAAUCACAAUAAUCAAAAACGUAAAUUAAUUUUAAAAUAUAAGUGACUAUCAACGCAAUACGAGUUUGGACAGGGAGAGUAAUGUAUAUUAUUUGAAAAUUACAUAAAAAAUAUUAUAAACUAAAAUAGUUAACAACUUAAAAUAUCUAAAAACAUAUUAAAAGUAUGAUUGAUUAUCUAAAUUCUAUUUGUGUUGCAUAAAUUGAGAUAAAAAAAAUAACAUAUACUGAGCCCGUGUUAUUUGAAAAACAGUAAUAUAGACCCAUCGAAUUUUGCUUUUCACACUCUUUACUAAUUCAUACAUUUGAGUUUACUUUUGAUUGUGAAUUAAAUUUUUUAAACAAAAUUAUAUAUUUGAAUAAUAAAUCACAAUAAUUAAUAACUUAAAAUAUUUUAAGAAUAUAUGCAAAAAUCACUCUGAAAAUUAAAUUUAUUUAAAUUUCAAAAUUCAAAAGAUGUCACAUUAAUUGAUAUGAUUAUUAUUAUAAUACUAAUUUAUAAUAGAUGUUGGGCCCGUGCUUUGCACAGACUUAUCGUGACUAGUUUUUUAAUAAGAAAGAAGGAAAAUCAGAUCUUGUUGGUUUCACAGUGAUUAUGCAGGUGAUUUGGACGGCAGAAAAAGUACUUCUGGUUAUGCUUUCAUGUUAAGUUUUGGGGUUGUAUCGAGGUCGUCAAAGAAACAACAACUUGUUACUCUUGUCAACAACUGAAUUGGAGUACAUUGUUGCAGCAUCAGGUGCGUGUCAAGCUAUUUGGUUGAACAGAAUACAUGAAAUGCUACAUCAUUUUCAGUCAGAACCUACAAGAAUUUACUGUGAUAACAGUUCAACAAUCAAGCUCUCCAAGAAUCCAAAUUUACAUGGGAGAAGAAAGCACAUCGAUGUGAGAUAUCAUUUUCUUCGAGAUCUUGUCCACAAUAAAGCCAUAGAAUUGGUAUUUUUGCAGAAGUGAAGAUCAGGUUGCAGAUUUAUUCACUAAGCCUCUUAAGUUGGAUCCAUUUGUGAAGCUGCUCUCGAAAAAUGAUUUUAAACAAAUGUUAUAACAUGUGAGGCUGUUGAGUGUUUUAUUUGUUUUUAGCAGAAUAAAAGAAUUGCUUUUGUUGGACCUAUUCUUUAAAAAAAUUUAUCCUUCGUUGUUUUUUAGGAAUCUCAUAAGCUUAGGAGUUACAUUAGUUGUAGGUCACUUAGUUGCUAAGUUUUAGAAAUCAAUUUAGCUUGUAAUGUGUAUUUAUUUGGAGACUUUACGUCAAUCAUAUUCAAGCAAGUUUAUGAUAUUGUUGAGUAUUCAAUUUCAACAAUAUGAACAAGUUUAAUUAGAAAAAUGAAAAUAGUACAGAUGAACGUAGUAUCUCAAAAUGAGAGAGAAUACCGUUACAACGACAAACCAUGUAGGAGUUCUCACAAAAAAUUUCCUUUUGAAUCUUUUGUUUUCCAAAAUAAGAAAAAGUUAUUUAGAGAAGGGUUCUACACUAUCUCAUCUACACUUAGUACAGAAAUUGAGACUUCAUCUAACUUAGCUGAAUUUUUGAAGUAUAGGUUGGAAAACUACCAAAUGCAAGAGCACUAAACCAUGAUACAGCAUCAAAAUACACAGUUUCUCCCCAGAGGCUCACUGCUUUUAAAUUAUGCUUCUUUCAAGCAUUUUCUGCUCACCUACAUUUGAAUAUGAUUACGUGUUUGAAUCUUGAUUCUAUGCAAACCACCUUUAUAGAGGUCUCAGGAUCAGCCAAUAGAGUAUCUACAUAUUUGUGGAUGCCCGUUAUCGAAAAGUCUUAGUUAUUUAGAUUGCAGACUGUGACUCUUACUUGAUAGAUGCCUUAAUGAGAGAGGUGAGUGAUGGAUGCAUCCGUGCUGUUCUCAUAGAGCGAGCUUCACUUUUUCCUUCAGCAUACUCCUCACCGAGUGGCCACCUUGGACGCAAAUCAAGCUGAUCAAAGGAGCAAUGGGUUAAAAAUUAAACAUGGUAAGGAGAAGGGAGUGGGGAGGGGGGGCUUCGGGGAACAGGAAGUAGAGCAACAGAAAUUCCAUAAAGCAGAUCAUUUAAACAUGUAGGCAUUUAUUUUGACUGAAUACUCUCGCAUGACUUUUGACAAGCUUAACUUUCAAGAUGCAAAUUUAUGGCUUGUAAUGCUCAAUCAACGUAAACUGUGGGACAUUAUGGCCAGUUUAACAAGAGGAAAGAAAAAAGACUAACCACAGCAUCUUCUGGUUCAUUUACAGGAGGUGGAAGAUCGAACCUGCCCAGACGAAAAUGCUCUAUGCCAGUCCACGCAACCAUUACACCUAUUAGAACGGGUCAAUGUAUUAGAGUGCAAUGUCAAGCCAUGUCCACUUUUGAGACCUUUCCGCUAAAGCCUUGAAAAUUUCAAAAAUAAGAAACCAAAGUUCCUGCAUGAAAAUGAGGCAAUGCAAAGUGGAGAAUUAUCCAACCAUUGUCAGUACAAAGGCUUGGUGGGGGGCAUACAAGUUUCAGCCCUUUCCUGUUCACAACCUCAUCAAGCCGAGCUCUGACAUACUUGUUGGAUGCAACACCUCCAGACACUACCUGUGAAACGUAAAUUGGACAACUUGCAUAGUUGACAUUAAUCUUAUAGGAGCGCAUGAAGUUAAUACAAUAGAGUAAAGCCAAGAAGGAAGGUAUUAGUCAUAUAUUUCAGUAAACAGAGAACACUGACCAAAUGAUUUAUAGAAGGCUCAAUGUUCAAAGCCCACUCAAUUGCCCGUUCACACUUUUCCUCCAAAUGUAACACCGCAACUCGCUGCGUGAAACGUUGAUUGCAAACGUGAUGAGAUUAAGAAUACGGAGGAGGUAUGGAAAUUGAUGCAUUGAUUUGUUAACCAACAAUUCUUAAUCAUAAAAUUUUUUCGACAAGAUCAAUAUUCUAAAAAAACUAUAUACCUGGAAGGAGGCAGCAAUAUCUGCCCGAGCCUGUCUCUCUUCAUCAGAAGCUGAAGCAAGAGAGAUUUCAGCAUUGCUGCAUACAACCAAUAAAAUGUGAAUAGCUAGGAAGACGAGGACAAUGACAACCAACUGGUGUGCAUUGCUGUGAGUUGUCCUAGUGAAACUUACAAUCAUAAGACAAAGCUAAAAAGAUACUGAACUUUAUGGACCAUGAUCUACGGAACACUAUACUGAAGUAACAUUGUAAAAAGAGGAAAUAACAAGAGAAGAUUCUUUACUCUUUCCAAUAAUUUCUGCUUUGACGCAGACAGUUUGUUUCCAUAUAUUGGAUAAUUCAUUGUUUACAUCAUUGGGAAUGAAAAAUCAAAUUCUAUAAUUCGAAAGAACAAAAAACAAUGGUGGUAAAAUUUUAAGAUGAAAUGAAAUGGAAAAUGAUUUGCAAAGCAGAUCAAUUACUUUUCCCCCUAAUGAAUCACAUACAUUCUUUUUGCUUCAAUUGCCAACCUCACUUGCGUCUUCAGACCAGCAUAUGAGAAGUUGCAAUCCUUAUGUUGUUUCAUAGGGACCUAACAUUUGUUCAAGCUUUUAGCCAGUGUAGUAAACAAUAAAACUACUAAAAUACCUUAAUAAAGAAAAUCUAGCCACGUGUUGCAUAUAAGUGCAAAUGUCUCUAGUAACUUACUUUAAAUUUGACAGACUUGGCAUCUCCUUCUCGAGCUAGCUCCUCCACAGCAGGGCCGCCACUCCUCCUCAUAUCAAGACCAAGCCAUUUUGCUGUUUUGUCAUAUGCCUCACCAAUUGCAUCAUCAAUUGUUGUCCCAAGUUGUAUGUAAUCGCCAAGAUCACGUGCAAGGAUUAAGAGAUUGUGUCCUCCUAAAGAGCAUACAAAUGAAAGAAAAUUCAUGAAGUCAUUGAUAUCUAAUUCACAGGAAAAUACAACUGGUCAAAUUGUUUUGCACUAAGAAUCCACAAUUAUAUUGUUGAAUUGAGAAACACUCCAAUAUUUGGGAUAAAUUGGUUUAAAGGUAAACAAAUCAUUAUUCUUAAAAGUCAGAUCCCAUGUCAAAAGAAAAGCACAAAGGAAGAUUAUAAAUAAUGCGCUUGAAUUGAAUCAAACAACAGAUGUUUGAAUGUUUAUAUGAGAGAUUUCCAUUGUACAGGAUACAAUAGGAGGACUCAUAAACAUAACAUGAGCAUCAUGAGCAUCCGGACAAGCAUAUGAAGACCUUUAGGCACAAAUUGAACUGCAAAAUGACAUCAGACUCUCUGGGUAGUGGCUGUUCAUGUAACAAACCAUAGAUCUGUUAUAUUCAAGUGAUCUUCCAAGGUGAACUGAUAUAGAUAGCACCAUAUGAUGGCCAAGCAAUUAGAAUUAGCGCAAAACUGUAUAUCUCUAAAAUACAAGAAUAGAUAACCCAAUGUAUUUUAAGUAAGAGUAAAUAAAAUAGACCUAUAAAAUUGUAGGAGGUUAUCUAACCUGAAACAAGUAGCGCCAUAAAAGGAAACUGCAGCUCUCUUUCCACUAGCCUAUAAAAGAGAAAACAUUAGCUCCAGGUGAUUUACAGUACACUGUUUGCAAAUUUCUUGACGCAUACGGUCUUCAUAGACAUUAACUUAUCUGUAAGCACAAGACAUGCAGUUUUUUUAGAAGCUUUGGCAACUUUCCAUAAGAUAAUGUAAAAAGCAAUGGUGGGGUUGGGGAGCAUUCCACUGACGAUUACGUUUUUCUCUUAUUUGCUUAUUCAUAUUUGAGACUCCAAAUUGAAGAAAUCAUCUGUAUUUACUAAAUAAAAGAGUUCCAGAAGAAGCAAAGAAAGGGGGAAAACGACGUAGAAUACAGACAGAAAGCCCUAUUAACAUCUCAUACCAUGCUGCCAAUGUCUAUAAUUAAUAAUCGUUGUUUUCUUAAGGAGAUGGAUAAGAGCUCUUAAACAAGGUAUCCCAUGAUAUAUCUAAGGUGACAAUAGAGACCUCUGCUGCUGCACAUAGACCCUAGGUUAUCAUCUCGCUAAAACUGAUGAUGCCACUAGAAAUAGAACAUAGAAGAUUAAAGAAACUUAUCCAGCCUAUUCAUAUGAUUCGUUCUGUACCAAAUAGAGAGCAGGAAAAUCAAGAAUAAGUAACUGAAAAUGGGAAUGGUGUUACCACAGAGGACAAAUUCAUUUUACCAAAAAAAGGGCAUCCCGGUGCACAAAGCAUCCCGCGUUAGCGGUGUCUGGGGUGUCUGGAGAAGAGCUGCACCCAAAAGGGGUGUGAUGUAGACUGCCUAUCCUAAUGCAAGCAUUAGUCAUUUUUCUUUAGUUUAUUCUUAUUAUUUUCUUAGAAGUAUUCCAGAUAAAGUUAUUGAAAGCUAGACAAUUCACAGUCCAGUAACUAUCUGCGGAAUUGGAUAAAUUCCCAACAAAUUUUCGCUGUAUGCACUACUCUACUGUUUGCUACUAGCAUGAAUACAGUGCUACCUGGCAACCAGAGUAUGAGCUUCCAUAUGAUGGACACCAACAAGAGGUAAAUUAUGAGAACCAGCAACUUUUCUUGCUUUCCGCACACCAACUACACAGAAAUUGCACAAAUAAGGUACGAGCACGUACACAACAUUCAUUAGCUGUCACAAAAUUCAUCUAUGUAUCCCACAUGAAUGUUCCCAAUAUUUAAUUUUCAGAUUCAUAAGUAGUUGAUGUUACAAUUCGACAAACUUUAAAUAAUUAAGAGCACUACUUUAUUCUAAACAAAAUAGGUACACUAAUUGGUGCAGGAAGGAGGUGAAAAAGAAAACAAGAAAAAAAGAAAGAAUAAGAACACACUGAUCAUCCCUCCCAAAGAAUUAGAACAAAACCAAGAGAAGAAAUGAAAGAAAGGCUACUAAAGAAAGAGAUUGAGUAAAAACUUACUUCGCAGACAAAGGCUUAAACCAGGACCAAUCGUGACAGCAACUGCAGUUAGAUCCCUCUCAGUCAGAUUAGCUUUAUCUAGUGCUUCUUGUACCACCUGAAGGAAAUAAAUCACAUUGAUUGCACAGGAAACACAUGCCAGAAAUAUGAUGUGUCAAUUCAGAUUAAGAAUUUCACAAACUUAAAACCGAGAUAGAUGUGGUAAAAUAAGUCAGAAGUGUAAGAAGGGAAUUUGAGGCUGGGUUCUUUGGAAUGGGAAUUUGAGGCUGGGUCUUUGGAAUGACAUUCAUCGUGUUCCUGGAGAAACAAUCAUUGGCAUGCCUCAGAACUCCAAAACCGGAGAGAAAGUUGAACUUUUUUUUUUAAAUAUGGAAUCAUAGUCAAUAUAAUUAGUCCCUAUUAUAUGUUGUUCUUUUAUAUUCUUAAUAUUACUGUUCCUUAUCUUAGAUUGUUCUAUUUUGAGCCGGGGGUCUAUCGGAAACGGCCUCUCUGUCUCACAUUUGCGGUAGUGGUAUGGACUGCGUACACUUACGCUCCCCAGACCUCACUUGGUGGGAAUAUACCGGGUAUGUUGUUGUUGUUGUUGUAGUCAAUAUAAUUAGAACCGUGAUUAAGAGUAUCUAUUAACUAUCGUCUUAAGGAAAUAGAUAAUCAACCAGUUGAAUUCGUUCUACUUCAUUGAAUCAAUCUGUUAUCCAAAAAAUCAGAAAAAGAAGGGAACUCAGAUUAUUACUUUUUUCUUUGUUGGUAGAGACCCACUGAUUUUCAGUUCAUUAGAGAGAGUUUUACGGAGUGAAAAUAGCAAUAUCCUUCUUCAAUCAUUUCUCAAAAGUUGCUAAAUAUGGCCUUAAUGAAGAUGAUUUAACAAGAAAAGCCAUGAGGGACCUCUUUAAAUCUAAAGCAAAAAUAAGCCCAGACCAGAACUUCUCUCAGCUUUCCAUUUUAUCAUACAAAUCAAAUAUGGAAUAAAAAGGACAGAAUCUGAGAGAGAGAGACUCUAAGUACUGGAUAAACCCCAGGUUAUGUUUUUUCAUGAGAUUUAAAAUCUAAUCAUAUUUCUCAGUACCUACACUUAGCUGGGAAGUUUAGUUGGAUAGCUGUCUUGUUCUAAGUUGCUCGGACUUAGAUGUGGGUGUCCGAUACGGGUACGGAUCUAGAGGUCGGAUCCUUCACGGUCUCAAUUUAAAGAUACAGGGAUAUGGAUCUAGGGAUAGAUACAGGUGCAGGGAUUCGGCAAAAAAUAAUUUAAAUAUCUAAAAAUAGAGUUAUAAAACAUAAGUUAUGAGAUAUUAUGUGGAUAACUUGAGGAGAAAACAUUGUUCAAGAAGAAAAUCCUGAAAGAAGAUAAAAGGAAAAGCAAUAACAUAGAGAUUUCUAUAUACAAGGUAUUCCAUUUUCUUCAUUUUCACCUUACCUUUUGUUUUGAUCACAAAAUUUCUUAAAUCUGUCCGGAUUUUCCCAGUCCAUUUUGGUCAAAGUACCCAAAAUCGAUUGACCAGAUCAGGUGCAACACCAAAAGUGAAGAGUCCAAGUAACUUAGGUCUUGUUACUCUUGUUUGACACUCAGAGAAAUUAUUGCUGAAAAAGUGAGACUUCAAUUGUUUCUCAACAAGGGAUGGCGUGGGGACUGGUUUGUCAAAGUCGUGCAGACUUCUAUUUAGUAGUGGUGGCGGCAUCUACCAUCAGCUUUUCCUCGGGGUGUUUUAGUUAAGUAUUAGGUAACAGUUAGUGACACUAGACAGUUCAUAAAAAGGAAGUUGGAAAUUUGGUACUUGAUGAACUUUGUUCAGUUUAUGUUACUACUAUGAAGCAUAGACUGGAUCCUGGAGGAGAUUCUAAAGAGGAGCUAUUACCCGGGAACUUAAUAAUUCCUUUAAAAUCCAUCCUGUGAAAUAUCUAGAAGAACUGGAAAAACAACCAAAAGAUGACAAUAAGAAAAAUUCUGUAGUCUAGUAAAGUGGGAAGUACGAAAGUGUCCAAAAGCAAAUCUUCUUGCACUCAGCAUUGCUAAAAAGAAUAUGACAUAAUGAUGCCCAAUGGCAAUGUUCAAUCAAUUUAGUGAAACAUCUUGCAUGUGAAAUCAAAUAAAUCACUUGGUCAGAGUUCAUUGACUUUUUUUAAAAACGUGAUAGCAUUGAUGUUAGCAAGAAAUUGAUUACUUCGCAAAUUGAUGUAUUCUCCACCAGACUUUGUUAAAAAACAUUAACAUGCAGGGAUCAUGAUAUAACAUCUGAAAAAGAUGCACUCAAUACUAUCACAUUCACCAGUCAUGAUGUUUCCAAGUUCUUGACAAACUACUUCAGAGUUGAAAGCGUAUACCUGAUCAAUCACCAGGGCAUGUGCUUCCUCUGCCAUCUUAGGAGCAACUCCUCCAUAUCGAGCAAGCAGUUCUGCCUUGAUGAAAUACAGAAAUUCAAGAUUAGAAAAAGAACCACAGGAUGUUGGCAAACAAAAGUAGUCUAGAUAGGAUAACUACUCGAAGUUAAAUCAAUGGAAGAGAGAACUCCAACCUCUUGCUUUUUGCUGAAAUACGACUUAUCAAUUUAUUCUCCAAAACCCCCUUUAAAUAGGAGUAUUACAUCAAUAGUCUAAUCUGAAAGUAGGAAAAAUAAAAUCCUAAUCUAGAAAGUCUAAUCCUUAUGAAAGUAGGAAAUAUAAAACCCUAUUUUAGAAAGUCUAAUCCUUAUGAAAGUAGAAAAUAUAAAACCCUAUUCUAUAAUAAUAAAUAAAAUUGCUAAAAUAUAACUAAAUAUUUAAUAAGUUGGCUUCCACAGAUCCACAACAAAGAGCAAAGAGUGGUGUGACGUGUGAACAUAUAUCAAAUUAUAUGGUAUAAGAAUAUAAAGGAAAGCUAGCGUCACUUCAAAUAUUAUGUUGACUACUCUGCAAUGCAUAGUAAUACAUCAACAUCUAAGUGUGUUCCACAAACAAACAUCCCCCUACUGCUAUUUGCUUUGUAUGCAUAUAUCACACUAUCUGCCCGAUCGGUGAUCCCUACAGAAGGUUACACUCCAGCUAACAUUUUAUGUGUGGAUUUGUAGAUCAUACUCUAACCAAAAAAGAGUGUCAGAUGACAGAUGACAGAGUGAUCUGUGAGGCUGCAUUACUAAUUAAGCACAGCUAUCUGCUGCAAAUUCUUGCUUAAACACUCAUCACCUUUUCGGAUUAAAAAAAUUUGUCUUCCAAGAGUUAGCUGCUACUACAAUGCAUCUGUGAGUCUUAUGUGAUGCCACAACACUUCCAAUGAACAUGUGAUCCUAGACAACAUUGGCAAUUGGCACUUUGGCUAAACUAUUGGCUUUUCAGCUCUAUUAUCAACCAAAACAUAUUGGCUUAAUCUUUAAUAUACUACUUCUUUGUUGUUUGAUUUGCCUUUUAUGUGCAACUUGCAGAUUUUCCAACACUUCAACAAAAGCAUCAGAUACUCAUACCUUUAUAUGUAUACUAGAUGUCGACAGCCCGUGCUAGCACGGAUCCAAUAUAUAUUAUUUUUUUUAUCUCAAUUUGUGUGACACAAAUAGAAUUUAGAUAAUCAAUCAUUGAAAUAAUUUAAGUUUUUAAUUAAUGUAAUUUAUAAUAGUUUUUCUUCUAUUCCAAUUUAAGUGACAUAUAAUGUCUCGAGUAACCCAAAUAUUUCAUAUCUUUAAAAAAUUUUAAGUUGUUAAUUAUGUGACCAGAUAAAAUUUCGACUAUCAAUAUAUAUAUAUAUAUAUAGAGAGAGAGAGAGAGAGAGAGAGAGAGAUAAGUUCUUAAUUAUUGUGAUUUAUAAUAUUUUUUAUCUUAUUUUUAAAUAAUAUAUGUUACUUUAUGUUUUCCUCUAUCUCAUCUCAAUUUAUGAGGCACUAAUAUAAUUUCGAUAGUCAAUCAAAUUUUUUAUGUUGACAUAUUAUUUUGUGUCUAUUUUACCUUUUUAUGAAAUAUUAUUAAUUUUUUAAUGCUUAGAUGACUAUAAUAAUUAAUUAAGGGUAAUAUUGUAAAAUCAUGAUUGAAGCAGAGAAGUAGACAUGUCUUAAAUAACUUAUAAUAACUAAUAGAAAGUAAUAUAACAAAAUUACUAUAAAAAAUACUUGUGAAAAAAAAUUUAAGUGGCUCUCAUAUAAGAUGUCAAGUUAAUUUAAAACAUCAAGAGUAAAUUUAUUAUCUUCUGUCUAUUUUAUCUUUUUAUUAAAUAUUAUUAAUUUUUUAACACUUAGAUGACUUAUAAUAAUUAAUUAGGGGCGAUACAGUAAAAUUAUGAUUGAAGCAGUUGAAGCAGACAUGUCAGAAAUGUCUAUUUUACUUUUUUUAACUAAAUAUUAUUAAUAUUCUAAUACGUAAAUGACUUAUAAUAAUUAAUUAAGGGUGAUAUAGUAAAAUUACGACAUGGGUGAUGGUGUAAAAUUACGGUUGAAGCAACCGAAGCAGACAAAUUAGAAAUAUCUAUUUUACUUUUUUUAAUUAAACAUUAUUAAUUUUCUAAUACGUAAAUGAGUUAUAAUAAUUAAUUAGGGGUGAUAUAGUAAAGUUGCGGUUGAAGUAGACAACACAUGCAGGUAUGUCGACCUGUUGUGUGCUUAUUCAUACUUAUUAUUAAGUAGAGAAAAUAAUUUAAGUUUUAAAAUUAUUGUGAACAUUUUUUCUUCUAUUUCAAUUUAAGUGGCAAGAAUAUAAUUUCGAGAGUCAGCUAAAUAUUUUAUAUCUUUUAGUUUUUUAAAUUUGUUAAUUAUUGUGAUUUAUAGUAUUUUUUAAUAUUCUUUUUUAAUUAUAUAACAGAUUAAACAAAAGUUCUGUGACAUUGAUAAUCAAUUAUAUUUUAAAAAUAAUUUAAAUCUUGAAUUAUUGUGAUUUAUAAUACUUUUUCUUCUAUUCCAAUUAAGUGGACUGAUAUAAUUUCAAGAGUCGUCAAACACUUUAUAUCUUUUAAAUUUUUUAAGUUGUUAAUUAUUGUGAUUUAUAGUAUUUUUUAAAAGUAUAUAUCAAAUUUUAAAAAAUAAGACAAAUAAAUUAAAAUGGAGAAAAAAAUCAAUGAAAAAUUGCCAAAGCAGGCAGAAGGUCAGGUCAACAUGCCUGCUUUGGCAUUUGAUGAUUGAGCUCGUUCCCCUUUAUUAUUAAGUAGAAAAUAGUGAAGUGAACAGAAACCUCGCAAACCAGCAACUAAUGUGGAACAUGACCCAUGUCAUUCUAGACAUACCCCAAUGUCCAACUAUACAAAUAAACAACAUACCUAGUGUACUCCUACAAAUAGGGUAUGGCAAGGGUAAGAUGUACACAACACCCCAACCUUUGCGGGUAGAGAGGAUGUUUCCAAUAUACCCUCGCUUCAAAAGAUAAGAUACCGAAGCAGGGUAAAAUACAUUGAAGCAACUGAUACUAAAUACUACUACUAAUUAGGCUGCGAGGAGAUAGUGCUAGCCCUCAUCCUAUCCCACCUAAAGGGGAUAACACUAGGCUACCUACUAAUCUUCUGCCUUAUCCUCAACCUCUAUAUCUUUCUAUCUAGGGUCAUAUCCAACUAUUAAGAUAAUGAUGCAAAAUAAAUUAAUAAACACAUAAAUAAACCUAUAAUUAGAACAACGCAAGCAAUACUAUAAGUGUCCAAUAAAUUAACAUGGAUCAGUCAUUAACUUAAAAGAACAAGAUGAUGAUAUAAACUAAAUGGCAUUUCUCCAGAGACUUUCUGUAACUAUAUAAAUACAUAUAGAGUACCUGGGAAGAGAUAACUUGGCUGAGAAUUUCACCAUUGCUAUUUACCUACAAUAGGAUAUAUCAAGCUGAAAAAAAUCAAAACUUCACAGCAGCUUCAAACCCCCAAAGUAUAAGAAACAGCCCCACAAACAGGGGCGGAGCUAGAAGCACACUACCUUAGAGGCACAGAGACUUUUUCAGAUAGACCCUGGGCUCAAGGAAACUAGUCCACAAAAGUCCAGAAAAAAGAAAUAACGAAAAUACAAGAAACAACAGAUAACUGAGAAAAAAAGAUAGGGACAAAGCAGAAACUACAAUACUAAUAUGCCAUAAUCGAGGUACAAGGAACAAUAGAGAGAAGGAUAAAAACUACGGAAUAACUUACAGCAUAGUUCUGUGUUAAACAUAUCCAAUAUCAUUACUAUACAGCACGGAAAUAUUUAGACAAUACACACACAUAUUACAAAGUAGUCCAGAAAAAGAAGCCAGGUUAGACGAAUACCUAACAGUUUUAUGUAUUUGUAUUAAAAUAUUCACUAAAUAUGUAAAACAAAAAUUAAUUUUAGAACCAAGUUACUUAACUCCACUAUCCAGAAAUGUAGAACUAGUUUAAAUCCUAGCUCCACCUUCUUUUUUUCUUUUUUAUAACCGUGGUGGUCAGGCCAAUUUGCGCCCUUUCGUCCACAAAAUAAAUUCCAAAGAAACAACCAAGACAUGUUUUUUUAAAAAAAAACUUACCACAGCGGCAGCAGUAUCAUCGCAGCUCGUUUCAAUCCCUAAAACAACUAAAUUCUCAUUUUCAACCAGCAUUUGUUUCUGGGUUUGACCCAUUGAUAGAUUAGAAACUGAACAAUAAGGUGAAAAAGAUUUGAACCACUGGGGUUUUACUGCUUUUUCAUGCAACUGAAAUUGCAAUUUGGUUGUAGAUUUGAUAGUGAAGUGAAGUGAGGGUCUCCAUAGUAAGCUUAGACGCGAAAUUGGGGAUGAUAAAUUGGGUAAUAAAGAUACCAUUUUUAGAGAGUAGCAAAUGAAAGAUGAUAGAUGAGGGCUUUACCGCAUAGACGCGCCUCUCCGGUAACCCAAGUUAAAUCACAUUGAAGAAUCAAAUUAAACUGAGAAAAAACCUGAUUUAUGAUUUAGUUUGAUUAAUUUGACAUUUGAAAAAAAAAAAAAAAAUUUGAGCAUUUUUGAUUUAGUUUGGUAUUUAAUAAAAAAAAGAGUCAAACCAAACUCAAAUCAAACCAACAUAAUAUAUAUAUAUAAUUUAACUUUUUAUACAUAAAAUAUUAAUUAUAAUCUACUUUUUAACUACUUUUUCAAUUAAGUUUAUUAAUUUUCAAUAUUUAGAAAGUAGAUGUAUAUAUCUAUAUUUAUAAUCUAUAAUAUAUUAAAAGUGUGAAGGCAUUAGAAAUAUUGUUUGAACUUUUUGUCCUUCAUUAAAAGUUUUGUUUUAGACAAAAUCAUCUUUUGACUAUUUUUUUCUAAUAUUUAAGAAUUAAAAAUUAAUUAAACAUAUUUAUCAUAAAAUAUUUCCUUAUUAGAAGUCAUGAGAAUUUUAAUAUUUUUUUCUAGUUUAAGAGUUAAAAAUUAAUUAAAUAUAUUUACGGUAAAAUCUUUCUUUAUUAUAAGUCAUCAAAAUUAAUGACAAUUAAUCUUUUUUCCACCAGUUUAAAAAUUUUAAGUCAACUAAAUUUGAUUUUAAAAAAGAUUUAAAAAAUUAGAGAUAAAUAUAAAACUAUUAGAAUAAUAAAAAUUUAAGAAGUACCAGAUUUUCAAAAGUUUUAAGUACAUAAUAGGAAUGUAACAAUGAUUUUGUAAAGAUUUGACUUUAAAAUAAGAAAGAAUUUUAAAUAUAAAAAAAGAGAAAAAAAUUGUAACACCAACAUGGUUCAAGUUGAUUCGUUUCUCUUAGCAUGUGGCAACAAGGAAAAAAAGUAUUAUAUGACAAACGCAAAAGUAAUGAUACAUCAACCACUUGAAAUUUGUAGUGGUAAAACAUAUAUGUGUAUACGUUUAUAUUUGUAAUAUUAUAUUAAAGUGUGACAAAUUUUUAAAAAGUGAUUUGAACUUUUACACUUUAUUAAAAGUCUCUGUAACAGACAAAAUUAUUUAAUUUUAAAUAAUCACACGUUACAUGUAAAUCCAAUAUAAAUUUAAAACCUACACUUUUCACUCUUCAUCUUAUUUUUUAAUGUCAAAAGAACUUUUCGCUCCUCAAUUUUUCAUAAUUGUGAUUUUUCAUUAGCACAUGAAUGAAAACAUACUUGAUCUAAACUUCAAUCACAAUAUAAUUGUAAAAAAUAAAGAUUAUAAAAAAACUCGAGAAAAAUUGAAAAAAUCGAGAAAAAACAAAAAAACCGAGAAAAAAUUAAACCGAAAAAACUGAUUUUAUGUUAGUUUGAUUUGGUUUAUAGUUUUAAUAAACCGACAUAAAUGGUUUAUUUUUUUUUUAAUAGAAAACCAAACCAACCCGACCUAUGUACACCCCUACUCUCCAGUAUUGAAAAUCUUUGGACCCAUUUGCCCAUAAAGUUCCUAACUCGAAAUUAUCUAUUUUAAUUUAAUUUAGAAAAUACUAUUUUUAACUUAUUUUUCAAUUUUGAAAAGUAUUUUCAAGAUGAAUAUUAUUUUAAAUAUUCUUUGUAAAAGAUAUAAUUAAAUAUCACUUUUUCUUUACUCUAAUUUCAAUUUCAUAAAUUUCAAAUAAAUAUAAAAAUAAAUUCUUGGGCCAUAAUGGCCCAAAUUCUGUAAUCAUAUACAUAUUAACAUCAUAAAUUGAUUUUUGUGUGAUAUUUAUAUCUCCUCCCCGGAACGGCUCUCUCUCUUUCUCCCUACCCUCUCUCUCUCGCUCGCCCCAGUCCCCGGCCCCCAUCGCCGUCGCCGACCUGACCUCCGGUCCCCAGCGCCGACNNNNNNNNNNNNNNNNNNNNNNNNNNNNNNNNNNNNNNNNNNNNNNNNNNNNNNNNNNNNNNNNNNNNNNNNNNNNNNNNNNNNNNNNNNNNNNNNNNNNNNNNNNNNNNNNNNNNNNNNNNNNNNNNNNNNNNNNNNNNNNNNNNNNNNNNNNNNNNNNNNNNNNNNNNNNNNNNNNNNNNNNNNNNNNNNNNNNNNNNNNNNNNNNCCGGGCGGGGUACACCAGCCCUCCCCACCUCGGCCUCCAGCCAGUCGUCGCCCGGUUUCCAGCCGCCAACUCGGUCUCCAACAGCCAAAGCUCGGUCUUCAGCCGCAGCUCCAUCUCAGGACCGAAAUCCCCCGGAAGCCGGUCAACACUGGGAUUGGUUUUCGGCUUGGUCUACAAGCGUAAUCCGGUGACUUCUAACCUUUGUUAUUUCGUUAUUUCAUAUUUUAUUUUAUUUCAUUAUUUCAUAUUUCAUUCUUCGUAUUAUGCUAGUAGUAGCCCCUGUACCUUGACUGGCGUGGGAUUUGUGGAUAUUGUCUGUUGUCUGUUGUUGCUGUUGCUGUGGUCGUUUCUUGCACUGCUUUGGAUUGGGUUAUCGGCUGGAAAGCUGUAUUUGGGGUUGUGGCUGUUGAGUCCAGUGGUGUUUGCCCCCUAAUUGAGUAUAGUUUUAUUUCGGGAGUAUUUCUUUGAAUUUGUGUGAGCCUUGUAUUUUUUGCUGCUGCUUUGAUACUACCAUCGUGUAUAUCUUUAUAUUUCCUUAUACUUCCGUGUAGUUGUGGCUGUGGGCGGUAAUGGUCGGAUAGGGUCAUGUCCGAGGGGGUUGAGGCGUGGGGCCGUGGUGGGGGCGGGGGAUGAGGAGAGGGCNNNNNNNNNNNNNNNNNNNNNNNNNNNNNNNNNNNNNNNNNNNNNNNNNNNNNNNNNNNNNNNNNNNNNNNNNNNNNNNNNNNNNNNNNNNNNNNNNNNNNNNNNNNNNNNNNNNNNNNNNNNNNNNNNNNNNNNNNNNNNNNNNNNNNNNNNNNNNNNNNNNNNNNNNNNNNNNNNNNNNNNNNNNNNNNNNNNNNNNNNNNNNNNNNNNNNNNNNNNNNNNNNNNNNNNNNNNNNNNNNNNNNNNNNNNNNNAGUGGGGGGCGCGUGGAUAGCGACGGUAGGCUGAGGGUUGGGUCUUGGAAUAUAGGGACCCUUCAGGGGAAGUCCAUAGAGCUGGUGAAGAUUCUUAGGAAGAGAAGGAUCAACCUUGCGUGUGUCCAAGAGACCAAGUGGGUAGGGUCUAAGGCUAGGGAUGUGGAUGGUUACAAGCUGUGGUACUCUGGGAGCGACAGGCGUAGGAAUGGAGUUGGCAUCUUAGUAGAUGAAGAGCUUAGAGGUCAGGUAGUAGAGGUGAAGAGGAUCAACGAUAGGUUGAUGACUAUUAAGUUGGUCAUUCGGGGGUUUACCCUGAACGUGUGUAGUGCUUAUGCGCCGCAAGUGGGAUCGGAGGGGGAGGAGAAGAUGCGGUUUUGGGAGGCUUUGGAGGAGGUGGUGAGAGGCGUGCCUAGUUCGGAGAAGAUUGUUGUAGCAGGGGAUUUCAACGGGCACAUCGGGGCGUUACCGGGAGGCUUUGGUUAUGUGCACGGUGGUUUUGGUUUUGGGGAGAGAAAUGAAAAGGGGAUACCCUAUUGGAGUUUGCGAGGUCCUUUGGGCUGGUGGUGGUGAACUUGGGCUUCCCGAAGAAGGACGAGCACCUGAUCACCUUUCGAAGCGCGAUAGCCAGGACCUAGAUUGACUUUUUGUUGCUUAGGAAAGGGGAUAGGGCGUUGUGUAAGGACUGUAAAGUCAUCCCGAGUGAGAAUCUUUCGACCCAGCAUAGGCUCUUGGUUAUGGAUUUGGGUAUAAAGAAAAAUAGNNNNNNNNNNNNNNNNNNNNNNNNNNNNNNNNNNNNNNNNNNNNNNNNNNNNNNNNNNNNNNNNNNNNNNNNNNNNNNNNNNNNNNNNNNNNNNNNNNNNNNNNNNNNNNNNNNNNNNNNNNNNNNNNNNNNNNNNNNNNNNNNNNNNNNNNNNNNNNNNNNNNNNNNNNNNNNNNNNNNNNNNNNNNNNNNNNNNNNNNNNNNNNNNNNNNNNNNNNNNNNNNNNNNNNNNNNNNNNNNNNNNNNNNNNNNNNNNNNNNNNNNNNNNNNNNNNNNNNNNNNNNNNNNNNNNNNNNNNNNNNNNNNNNNNNNNNNNNNNNNNNNNNNNNNNNNNNNNNNNNNNNNNNNNNNNNNNNNNNNNNNNNNNNNNNNNNNNNNNNNNNNNNNNNNNNNNNNNNNNNNNNNNNNNNNNNNNNNNNNNNNNNNNNNNNNNNNNNNNNNNNNNNNNNNNNNNNNNNNNNNNNNNNNNNNNNNNNNNNNNNNNNNNNNNNNNNNNNNNNNNNNNNNNNNNNNNNNNNNNNNNNNNNNNNNNNNNNNNNNNNNNNNNNNNNNNNNNNNNNNNNNNNNNNNNNNNNNNNNNNNNNNNNNNNNNNNNNNNNNNNNNNNNNNNNNNNNNNNNNNNNNNNNNNNNNNNNNNNNNNNNNNNNNNNNNNNNNNNNNNNNNNNNNNNNNNNNNNNNNNNNNNNNNNNNNNNNNNNNNNNNNNNNNNNNNNNNNNNNNNNNNNNNNNNNNNNNNNNNNNNNNNNNNNNNNNNNNNNNNNNNNNNNNNNNNNNNNNNNNNNNNNNNNNNNNNNNNNNNNNNNNNNNNNNNNNNNNNNNNNNNNNNNNNNNNNNNNNNNNNNNNNNNNNNNNNNNNNNNNNNNNNNNNNNNNNNNNNNNNNNNNNNNNNNNNNNNNNNNNNNNNNNNNNNNNNNNNNNNNNNNNNNNNNNNNNNNNNNNNNNNNNNNNNNNNNNNNNNNNNNNNNNNNNNNNNNNNNNNNNNNNNNNNNNNNNNNNNNNNNNNNNNNNNNNNNNNNNNNNNNNNNNNNNNNNNNNNNNNNNNNNNNNNNNNNNNNNNNNNNNNNNNNNNNNNNNNNNNNNNNNNNNNNNNNNNNNNNNNNNNNNNNNNNNNNNNNNNNNNNNNNNNNNNNNNNNNNNNNNNNNNNNNNNNNNNNNNNNNNNNNNNNNNNNNNNNNNNNNNNNNNNNNNNNNNNNNNNNNNNNNNNNNNNNNNNNNNNNNNNNNNNNNNNNNNNNNNNNNNNNNNNNNNNNNNNNNNNNNNNNNNNNNNNNNNNNNNNNNNNNNNNNNNNNNNNNNNNNNNNNNNNNNNNNNNNNNNNNNNNNNNNNNNNNNNNNNNNNNNNNNNNNNNNNNNNNNNNNNNNNNNNNNNNNNNNNNNNNNNNNNNNNNNNNNNNNNNNNNNNNNNNNNNNNNNNNNNNNNNNNNNNNNNNNNNNNNNNNNNNNNNNNNNNNNNNNNNNNNNNNNNNNNNNNNNNNNNNNNNNNNNNNNNNNNNNNNNNNNNNNNNNNNNNNNNNNNNNNNNNNNNNNNNNNNNNNNNNNNNNNNNNNNNNNNNNNNNNNNNNNNNNNNNNNNNNNNNNNNNNNNNNNNNNNNNNNNNNNNNNNNNNNNNNNNNNNNNNNNNNNNNNNNNNNNNNNNNNNNNNNNNNNNNNNNNNNNNNNNNNNNNNNNNNNNNNNNNNNNNNNNNNNNNNNNNNNNNNNNNNNNNNNNNNNNNNNNNNNNNNNNNNNNNNNNNNNNNNNNNNNNNNNNNNNNNNNNNNNNNNNNNNNNNNNNNNNNNNNNNNNNNNNNNNNNNNNNNNNNNNNNNNNNNNNNNNNNNNNNNNNNNNNNNNNNNNNNNNNNNNNNNNNNNNNNNNNNNNNNNNNNNNNNNNNNNNNNNNNNNNNNNNNNNNNNNNNNNNNNNNNNNNNNNNNNNNNNNNNNNNNNNNNNNNNNNNNNNNNNNNNNNNNNNNNNNNNNNNNNNNNNNNNNNNNNNNNNNNNNNNNNNNNNNNNNNNNNNNNNNNNNNNNNNNNNNNNNNNNNNNNNNNNNNNNNNNNNNNNNNNNNNNNNNNNNNNNNNNNNNNNNNNNNNNNNNNNNNNNNNNNNNNNNNNNNNNNNNNNNNNNNNNNNNNNNNNNNNNNNNNNNNNNNNNNNNNNNNNNNNNNNNNNNNNNNNNNNNNNNNNNNNNNNNNNNNNNNNNNNNNNNNNNNNNNNNNNNNNNNNNNNNNNNNNNNNNNNCGGCAGAGGAUUAGGGCCAGUUUGGGUCGCUAGUGUAGGGAAUUACUUGGUGGGGGUUUUAUUCCUGUUAUGAUUCCGUGUUCCGUGUUCCAUGUUUUAUUACGAAUCUGUGUGUUUUCCUCUGCUUUCCUCUGUUUUAUAUUACUUAUGGGUGCCGUAUUUAUGUUAUGUUAUGUAAUCUGCUUCUGUGCUUUACUAUGUGUUUGUGUGGUAUCUCGUGCCUUGAGCCGGGGGUCUAUCGGAAACAGCCUUUCUACUUCUUUAGAGGUAGAGGUAUGGACUGCGUACAUCUUACCCCCCUAGACCCCACUAGGUGGGAAUACACUGGGUUUGUUGUUGUUGUUGUAUCUAUAUCUCCUCCCCCUUUAUGGAUGUGCAUCGCUUGGUUCGAUUUGAUUUUGUGGAUUAUCGAUUUGAGUUAUUGAUUUUUGAUUUAUAAACACUAUAAAUAGAUAACCAAAUCAAUAAGAUAUUCGUUGUCGAUUUUUGGUCUUUAUCGGUUCGAUUUUACCCAUAAGAAAUUACUCCCUUAAUUUUUCUUUACUUUCUCUUAGUUUCAUUUGUUCUACGCUAUCUUCAUGUAUAAAGUCUACACAAAUUAAAAGAACUAAGUCAACAAUUAGACAAUAAGGUAUGUAUAUAGAAUCUAAAAUCACUAUUGUAUAAGUGCGAAUAAUAAUAUAAUUGUAAUAGAGGAAAAAGACUUGUGUAGCACUUUCUCAAACAAAUAGCCUUAGUUUGAGAUUUUACCAAAAAGUGGCCAGUCGGAUAAAGUAUUUUCACUUUAUAGCCAUUUCCUAAUUUUGGUCACUUUGACUCAUGUAGUUCAGAUACAGUCCAUAUACAGUGUUGAUACAAUCUAUAUACAAUACUGAUAUAAUUUUCAACUUGGACCAUUCAUCCCUUUUAAAAAUAUUUCAGUUUUUUCUUUUGCUAUAAAUUUUUUAACUGAAAAAUAUAUUUUUUAAAUUUUUUUUAAGAUAAUAAUUAAAUAUAAUUAUAUAAAAAUUAUAUAAUUGUUAUAUAAAAUAUGUAUCUAUACAGGAUAUUUGUAUAUAAAUUGUAUAGUUCUAUCAAAUAUGUAUAUGUAUAAAAUAUAUAUUUAAAAAAUAUACAGAAAGUGUAUAAAAAUUAUAAAAUUGUUGUAUAAAAUGUGUAAAAAAAGUGUACAAUUAUUGUAUAAAUUGUGUAUCAAAACUAUAUAAUUUUCGUAUAGAAUAUUUAUAUGUAUAAGAUAUGCAUAGAAACUGUAUAGAAGGCGUGUAGAAACGGUAUAGAACAAGCCAGCAAAUUGAAAUGGCUAGAAAGUGGAAUUUAAAUUCUAUGACCAUUUUUGUGGAAAUAGUUUAAUUUGAAGUGUCGUUCUGUCCUUUCCCGUUUAAUAUAAUCUUAUUGGGUUAAUGGGUUAAUCAUUAACUAAAACGUUAAAAUCAAAAAUUAAUCCGAUGGCCCAAUAAAAGAAUUUAAAAAAAUAUUAACCCAAUAAUCCAAUACCAAUAAACCAAUAAAAUUUUUAUCGGUAGAAUCGUUUUUUUGCACACCUCUACUCCCCUUCUAAAAUUUAGGUUGUCUUAUUUAUUAUUCUCUCUGUUUCUUUUACUUGAUUCCAUUGACAUGUACACCUCAUAAGAAAAUUUAAAUUAUAUGUGUAUUUUUACUAAAUUUGAGAUUCUCCCUUAUAUAUAGUAGUAAUAUACAUACAUAAACAAAUAUAUACAUACAAAUAUGUACAUAUACAAAUAUAUAUAUAUAUAUAUAUAUAUAUAUAUAUAUAUAUAUAUAUAUAUAUAUAUAUAUAUAUAUACAUAUAUAUANNNNNNNNNNNNNNNNNNNNNNNUAUACAUAAACAACUAUAUAUACAAAUAUAUAUAUAUAUAUAUAAAUAAUAUAUAUAUACAAAUACGAGACACAAGUCUCAAGAAUACACUCCAAGUCUGGUUGUCAUCAGUACAAGCCUCUAAAUACAAAAUGAUAACAAUUGCUAAAUAUUAUUAUAAACGCGGGUAAGGUAAUAUAACAACGAGAGAUCUACGUAAGCUUGGAGUCCGCUAACACUACCUCGAUCUCAGCAACAUUAAUGCUGGGAGAAAACAAUCUACAAGCUACCAAACGGCCCAAUAUCUGCACAGAGUUCAGAAAAUAAAAAAAGAAAGAGAAACAAGGGUGAGUAUGAAACUACAUUUACUCAACAAGCAUUAUCGAUAACUGAUCCUAAUCCAAAGCGAUGGAAAAACCACCACCCCAACUACCCAAGGCUUCCCAGCAAUCUAAGAUUCAGUAUAUACAUCACUUUAUCCUAAUCCGAGUUACCCAACACAACAGUCAACAUAUUUAUUAAAAACAAGGUAGGCACACUAAUCUAGGUGAUUCAAAACUAUUCAUUUCAUGAUCAAUAUAUAAGAAAAAUUAUUUAUGAAGAAGACUCACUAAUAAGUUAUAUCAGGCUUAAUCAAUUAUAAUCAAUCAAUAAUAUGAGAUAAAAAUAGAGAGAGUGUAUAUAAAAAUGUAUAACAUGCUAUCGAAAAGUGUGAUACGAUGGUCUCUCGGAUUACUUUAUAGCCAUACUCCAAGUAUCAUACUAUCUCAAUCUCUCAACCAAGAUAAGAUUAUUGACCCCCAAUUUUGACCUCCCGAUAUCCCUUCUAGGUUGCUAUUUUUAUCGAAAAUUAUUAUUUUUUAAUAACUAUUAUUUCUUUACUCAUUAUUGUAGUAUCAAAUAAAUAUUGGCAUUUUACAUUCACAAUUUUAAGGUAUGCAAUUUAUUUUAUCAUUUAAUUUUAUACCAUAAUAUAAUAUAUCAAUUUAAAUAUAAAAUAAUAUCUAUUAAAUUAUUUUUGCAAAUAUGCAUACUUAUAAUUAACAAACACAAACACAUAGCAGGGCUCCAAAGGCAACCUGCUAAUGGCAGGCAUAUAAAUUUCUUCACUGGCUCUUGGCUCGGGCCAAACUUUUUAUUUCGUAGUCUAAUUCAAGGCCUUCUCCAGAGGCACAAGACUAAAUCCAAAAUUGCUUGUUUUAGGGAAAAAAUCUUUGAUCAUUCACGUUGUUUUCUUUUAACCUCCCCUGCACCAUAACUUCCCGCAUUAAAUCUAUUUAUUUCCCACGCUAUGAUCUUUUCUCCGCAGAUAGGAUAAUUUGGGGACUUAUGAACUCUAAAUUAUUUAUUGUUAGCUCUUGUUACACUGAGUUAAUUAAGAAUGCUACACCAUCUAGCUCAUGCGAAUUAAAUUUUUCAUGGAUUUGAAAGUUAAGCAUUCCUUUCAUGCUUAGGCAUUUCGUGUGGCUGACCAAUCACAAUUGCCUACCUACAACCUCUUACCUCCAUGACAUUUUUUGUGUUUCCUCUUCACUCUUUACUCUUCGUCACUUUUCCUUUGAAACUGUCACCCACCUCUUCUUCAAUUGUAAAUCUGUAGUACCGUUAUGGAUAGAACUAAGAAUCUUAAGCCAAAUCAAGUCCUUCACAACAUCUCUUACGAACCUCACCCUCACACAAACCUUUGGUCUCAUGUUUUUUUUUUUUAAAAUAAAACUUCACCAAUCCUCAAUUCUGAAAAUACCUACUAAGGUUCUUCUCAUGUAAUGACCUGAUUUUUGGUGACUUAUGUGAAAUAAUUUUUUUGUGUGGUUUGACAAUUUUACCUCUCCCCGUGAUUGCUUUAUGGUAAUUCUAGGGUGUGGUGAUGAUUGACAUUAUUUUCAAUGCAUUUUUGUGGGGUUUAUAUAAGAUUGUGGUUUUUGAUGGUCUUAAAGGCUUAUUAGUUAAGUUCGGUCGACAUCUUUUGAUCUGUGUAUCGGAUGGCAAACAGACUAAGCGAGCAGAUCCGACAUAUCAAUUUUAGGAUGGUAACAUGGUUGAUGGAUUUUAUGGUUUUUAUAUCUCAUUUAUAUCCUCCAUUCAAAAAUUUUUGAAAUUGGGUUUUGGGGGGCAAUUUUGUAAAAAUAAUAUUUUUUAAAAGUUAUCGCUAAUAAAUUUAGAGCAUCGAAUUUAGUAGGAUAGCAUAGUUCAUUUGUGUACUCGGGAUUCUGGAUGAAUCUCAAGGGGUCUACAAAGACUGAUGCACCACUCAGCUGGUGCACCUACUUAAGAGACAUUUUGGUCGCUUAAGUGACCCAGCUGAGUAGCUGAGAUAUCUCUUAUGUGACUUUUGUGUCGCAUACGCGACCGUUUCUUAAGCAACAAUAGGGUCACUUAUGCGACACUUGUCUACAAAUAAAGUAUCACGUAAGCAACACUUGGUUUCUUAAGCGAUAGUCGCUUAAGCGACCGAGUGAUUGCUUAAGCGAUGCCUAGGUUAUUUAUAUACCCGAUUUUUGCAAUUUUUCACCAUUUUUGUGACUUGGAGCUUGGGAGUCAAGUUUUUGAGCAUUUUCUUCUAUUUCUAAGCGUGAGUUAGCUCCAAAACUCCUAUUUCAACUUCUCUCUUUGAUUCUAAUCAUUUAAAUUUUGUUUAAAUGUGACAUUAAAGGAGGAAUUUGGGAAUUUUGGCUCGGAAGACCCAAAUCAUCAUUUCUUUGAUUCAAACCCCAAUUUUUCUCUGCUUUCAGUUGGAUUUUCUCCUAUGAGUUCCUUUAAUCGUGGAAAAUAUAUUUUCAGACUAAAAAUUUUGAGUUUACCCUUCUUUUUCGAAAACCAUUUUGAGGGUCCAUUUUGACCCUGAUUGGGAAGUGGAAAAUAUGGGUAUCGUUGGCUUUUUUUUGAGGAAUAGAUUCUAUAUUUGUGUGUUUUAGCUGAUUUAUGAGUUCGUACGAGAGGUGAAGCUCAGUGAUAGAGGUUUAUUUAUUUUGGUUUCAGCAUUUGAGGUAGGUUAUGACUUAACUUUCUUUAUAUUGGAUUGGGUAGUUAAUAAUAAUGUAAAAGCAUGCCAUGGUUAUAUCAUGGAAAAUGUGUUAGGUGCUUUAUGUGCCAGUGUGGGGGCCUGCAUGGAUAAUAUUUGGUGGUUUUGAAACGUUAUUUUCUAUGUGUGACCGUGUGGGCUUUUAUAUUAUGUUAUAGCCUGGUAUUUAUAUAUAUAUAUAUAUAUAUAUAUAUAUAUAUAUAUAUAUGUUUAGUUGUACUCUUUUUGGUGGGAAAAGGCCUAGAUUUUAGGAUUUAUGAGGUUUCUAUGACUUUUCUUGCAUGUUUCACUUGAUGGUUUCUGGAUUAUAUUGGUCAUGCAUGAUUCGUUCAUUUGAGUGGAUUUUUGGCUCAUCCGACUGGUAUAUUAGUUGGAUAUUGGCUAUUUUCAUUUUGGUUGGUUGUGAGCAUUACAUCCUCAUAGCAUAUUCAUUUAUGAAAAAUUGGUAACCCCAUGGAAAUACUGAAAAUACUGGAAACACUGGCUUUUUCUGAAAGAAAAUAUGACAUCUUUAAGAACCCUCUACCGAUGUAUAUGCCGGAGAGGAGUCAUGGAUAUUAUAUUUAUAAACCCUCUCCAAGGGAUUUGCCGGAGAGGAGUAAAGGAUAUUGGUUGUAUACGGGUUGACAAACUCCCAUGGGUCCCACAUCCUUAGUUGAGCUCUAUAGGUAUAUAUGAGGGUUGUGCAAUGAGCUAAUGCAUCAUCAUCAUCAUCAUCAUCAUCACCAUUGCAUUCCAUAUAUUGUGCUUAUUCUGUGAUUGUACUCCUGUUGGUGACUUGAUAUUUGUCCAUUUGUCUAUUUUUUUAUACUUGUAUUUGGUGUAUGUGUAUAUUUGUUCUUCUUUUCACUACUUGUAUUUAUUAUAUUUAUAUAUAGUAGAUCUGUUAGUGGAGACGGUGUAACACCCCUAGUUUUUGAGCUCUAGACCCAUUGAAAGAUAGACCAUUGAUUUAGCUUCCAAAUACCUCUAGUCUCGCUUCAAUCCAAUAUUGGGCAAAAAGUUAUGGAAAAAUUUCUUUAGGGUCUGUCAACUGCCAGUGAUAACGCCUUCGAAAAUGACCCUUGUCAGACACAAUGAGUCAUUUUGUGGAGUCAUUACAAUAGUGAGGGAUCCUAGAUUCCAGACCAGGGAUAAUAACUCUACACUAUGACUCAUUAUAAGUGACAACGAGUCAUUAAGUGGACUCGUCGUCACAAUAAAAAGAAAUCCAUAAAUCUCGUCUCCAACCACACUUCUCCUAGCGACCCGUUAUUAGUUGUAAUAAGUAGUUAGGAGGGAAGUCAUUUUUAUAACAGAUAGGACUCAGAAUCCAGGUCAUCAGGUCAUGACUUGGACAAUGACUUGUGGUCAAUUGAAUCAUUACCCAACUCGUGACGACAGCUUACCAAAAAUUUCUAAAUGAUUUUAAAAGGACUUUUAAGUAUUUUCCCAUUUUUUUAACCCCAAACCUACAUCGUUUGGACACUCAAAAACCAACAAUUGAGGGUUAAUAUUACCUUAACACCUCAGAAACUCUUAAUCACUCAACAGUUAGCCAAAAAGAAGUAAUUCUCUCAUCUUCAAAAGCAAGUUGGGUUUCUCCAUCCCAGGUUUAAUUCCAAGGAUUUCUCUAAGGUUUCCACUCCAGGUAUGUGGGAUUUCAUCAAUGGGACCCUUUCACCUAUUGAAUCCUAAAGAUUCCUCUAAUCCUCAGGUUUAUUUCCCCCCCAAGAAUUUAUUUCUAGGUUAAAUAUGAGUUUACUUAACCCCUUCAGUCUAUUUUUAUAAAUAAACCAUGAGUACAUAUUUUCCCACAGGAUUUGCAUCUUUCCAUACUCAGCAACAUUAAUUUUAUUAUUAUUGAUAAAUUAUUGAGUUUGGGAUGUAUUUUGUGAAAUUCUCUGCUAUGAUCAGCUUUAAAUUAUUAUCAUGUUCAGUUGAAUUAGACAAAGCUGGUGGGUUAUGAACACUCGAUACCUAGGAUUUUAUGCAUGUACCAGUUGACAUGUUUUAAGCACUUUAGAUUAUUCAUAUGUUUCUAUUUUUAAUAUUUUACUAUAUUGAGCGCGCGCGCAUACACACACAUAUAUAUAUUUCAAUUUUCAGUAUUGUUCAGUUAGGAGUGCUACUUAGCACCAAAUGAAUGUAGGGAUGAAGGCUCACCCACCAGUUAAGGAUUGAAACCUUUAGUAGAAGUCCCUAGGUUCUAGAACUAUGGCACCACUAUAGGUUAUAAGGGGUCACCCACCAGUAGAGGACUUACACCCUAGUCCUUUGGGACAUUAGUUUAGUGGAUCCAUACCAACCAGAAUUGGUACCCUUGGUAAGGUACUAGCACCCUUCCAACUGGGCUACAGGUUAGACCCCAGUUUGCUCAGAUUGGGGCAAGUCAGUUAUUGUUAGCUCCCUCAGUCUUUAAUUUAUUUUCAUUUUAUGUUCAAUUCUGGUUUGUUUGACCAAGUGUUCAGUAUUUUGCUUUUAAGUUAUUUAGUUAUUCAAUUUUACCUAGCACAUGUUUAUACUUAGUCUUGCAUUCAGUUUACAUGUUCAUGCAUUCAUGUUCAAUAUAUUAGCUAGUUUUUCUUCUCACAUACUCAGUACAUUCAAAGUACUGAUUUCAUACUUUUUUGUGCUAUAUUGGCUCAUAAUAUAAUGUUCCGACUCUCAGCACUCGAACCACUCUUAGAACGUUCCCGCACUACUCAACAUAAAUAGUUAGUCCUCAUUAUUUGGGGACUAGUUAUCAAUUCUUUAAUUUCUUGUCAUUUUAUUUUAGUUUCAGUCGGUGGCAGUUACUAAGGGGCUUGUCCCAACAACUCACUAUAAGUAGAAGCUUUCGAAUAGAUGUAUAGAUUUUCAACAUAUUGGGUUGUUAGAUAGUUCUAUUUCUAUAUUUUGAUUGGCACUCAGUUUUACAUUACUAUUAUUUCUAUCAGUUACAUCAAUUAACUUCCUCCCAGUAUUUUGUUAAAUUAUUUACUAUUCUAAUGCAUGCCAUGUCAUGGGUUAGCUUAAGGUCACUUAUGACCUUAGGUACCGUGAUACGACUAGGGGUAGUCUCGGGGAGCAGCAGGUUUAAAGUGUCCUAGGGUGUCUGAAAGCUGUGUUGAGUAGAGUCUUAAGCAUGUGUGUGAAGCGUGCCACACUUAUGGGCGAGAGGCUACGAAAUAUUUUAGGAAGGUCUCACUUCUUUCAUGAUUCAUGUCUAAUAAUAUAGUGUGAAACUCUAUUAAACUUCUCUUUUAACUCGUCCUCUAUCUGUUAACAUACAAUGCUUUCCAAAAGUACUAAUAAAAGGAAAAACGAUAACCGCCAAGCACCAUCGCCAGUUCCCGAAGACCCUCUAAAUAAAUAGGUUACACACGCUAGUUUAAGGCUUCUUUUACUGCCCUAGCCUAAUCAAUGACUGCUUAGAAUAACCAGCAAGCUGUUGCCCUAGCUAACCAAGUAAUAAAUACAGUGGUAGCUAAAAUUUAAGAUUUCACUCGGAUGAAUCCGCCAGUAUUCUUUGUCUCUAAGUUUGAGGAUGAUCCACACGAGUUCUUAGAUAGUGUUCAAAAAGCGACUGACAUUAUAAGUGUGACUUUGAGUGAAAGUGAUGAUUUGACUUCUUAUCAACUGCAAGGAGUGGCUCAUACUUGGUUUAAGCAGUGGAAGGAAGACAGAGGUGUAGAUGUAGGGCUAGUAAAGUGGGAUGAGUUUUCUUUAGCAUUUUUGGAUUGGUUCUUUCCAUUUGAGUUGAGGAUGCCAAAGUGUAGGAGUUUAUCAACUUAAAGUAGGGUAACAUAAGUGUUAAGUAAUAUUCACUCAAGUUUACAUAAUUAACGAGGUAUGCUCUAACUAUGGUGGUUGAUUCUAGGGUCCGAAUGAGUAAGUUUGUGUCUAGUAUUUCUGAUGAUGUGUUAAAGAAGUGUAGGAUGUCCAUGUUGAUUAAGGAGAUAGAUAUCUCCUAGUUAAUGGUUCAUGCUCAACAGAUCAAAGAGGAGAAUAUCAAGAAAAGGGAAAGGGAAAAUAAGAGGACCAAAACUAGUAGAUUUAAUUUCUCUCAGCCGAAGUUAGAUAGUGGGAAUCAUUCUUUGUUCUGCUUGAAAUAUUCAUCCCCAGCCCCAUCUUCUACCAAUAUUUUAGUGCUCAAGUUCAGACAUGAUACUCGUGAUAGGGCGCCAGACUCUAAGUCCCAAGGUAGCAUGAACAGUGGUUGCACCAACCCAGUUUGUAUGAUAUGUGGUAGGAACCACAAGGGUGAGUCAUGGUUGGUAGUGAUGCUUGUUUGGGGUGUAGUAAACCAGGCCAAAGAAUAAAGGAUUACCCGGUGGUUAUGCAUAGGUGUAAGGAUGUUCGUCGGCAGGGUUAGACUAACUCCUCAUUAGUUCCAGUAGGUCGCCUAACUCAGUUGGGUGCUACUUCUAGUACAACCAAUGGACUAUAUUAGAUAAGGCUUUAUGCCCUUCAGACUCGAAAGGAUCAGGAGGUUUCUCCUGAUGUGGUUACUGGUACGUUACGAGUCUUUCACAUUCAUAUAUAUAUAUAUAUAUUAUUAGAUCCCAAAGCCACACUCUCCUUUGUGACUACCUAUAUAGCAGUAGAUUUAGGUGUCAUCCCUAAAAUCUGUGUUGAGCUCUUCUCGGUUUCUACUCCAGUCAUUAAUUCAAUCAUAACUAGCUAGGUAUACAUAAAUAGCCUAGUCACAAUAUCCCAAAAAGUUCCUUUAAUCGAUCUUAUAGAGUUAGAGAUGACCGAUUCUGAUGUCAUUCUUGGCAUAGAUUGUCUUUAUUCUUUUUAUGCCUUAGUUGACUGUAGAAACUAAGUAGUCCAGUUUCAGUUUUACCAAUAGGCCAUUCUUAGAAUGGAGGGGUAUUACCUUAGUGCUCAUAGGUCGGUUUGUCUCUUUUCUUAAGGCAAGGAAAAUGAUUUCCAAAGGCUUUAUCUAUCCUCUUCUCUGAGUCAAAGACUCAUGUUCCUAAAUCUCAAGUCUUGAAUUAGUUCUAAUAGCGAACAAAUUUCCAGAUGUUUUUUAGGAAGAUCUACCCGGAGUUCCUCCCGAUAGGUAAAUUGACUUUGGGAUAAAUCUUAUUCUAGAUACCCAACCUAUCUCAAUUCCACCUUAUCGAGUGGUUCUAACUGAGCUUAAGGAAUUGAAAGAAAAACUGAAAUAUCUCUUAGACAAGGGUUUUAUCAGGUCAAGUGUCUCUCCAUGGGGUGCUCCAGUACUAUUCGUGCACAAUAAAGAUGGUUCUCUCAAAUUUUGCAUUGACUACUGUCAAUUAAACAAAGUCACAAUUAAGAAUAAGUAUCCUAUACCUAAGAUUGAUGAAUUUUUUGACCAACUCCAGGGUGCAAAUUAUUUUUCUAAGAUAGACCUCAAUCCGGCUAACACCAGUUCAAAUUCAGGGACUAUGACAAUCUGAAAUAGCUUUCAGAACUCAGUAUCAUCAUUUUGAAUUUGUAGUUACGUCUUUUAGACAAAAGAAUGCCCCUGCAAACUUUAUGGACUUAAUAAAUAGGGUGUUUAAGUAUUACUUACAAAUGUUCAUUAUUAUGUUCAUAAAUGACAUUCUUUUUUAUUCUUGGAGCGAGGAUAAACAUGUAUAUCAUUUGAGGAUUGUCUUGUACACUUUUAAAGACCACCUACUAUUUGCUAUGUUUAGAAAGUAUGAAUUCUGGUUAAAAUUAGUUGCAUUCCUUGGUCAUAUUAUUUCCUGCAAAGGAAUGGGAGUUGAUCCUCAAAAUAUCGAAGCAAGGAACUGGCCUAGACCCAUCUCUCCAUCAGAUAUUAGGAGUUUCUUAGAUUUAGCUAGCUACUACAGAUGGUUUGUCAAAGGAUUGUCCUUUAUUGACUCUCCCACAUCUAGACUGACUCAGAAAAAAGUCAAAUUCCAGUGGUCCGAAUUAUGCGAGAAGAGUUUUCAGAAUUUAAAGACUCGGCUCACCUCUACUUUAUUUUUGACUCUAUCAAAAGGUUCAGAUGGUUUUGUGCUAUAUUGUGAUGUUUCCAAAAUUGAUCUUAGGUAUGUGUUGAUGAAACGAGGAAAGGUUAUAGCAUAUGCCUUCAGACAUCUUAAAACCUAUGAGAAGAAUUAUCGGACUCAUGAUCUUGAGUUGGCAGCAUUUGUAUUUGCCUUAAAGAUUUGGAGGCAUUAUCUUUAUAGGGUUUAUGUUGAUAUGUACACUAAUCACAAGAGUCUUCAGUAUUUUUCUCUUAGAAAGAUCUAAAUUUUCAUCAGACAAGGUGGCUAGAGUUGUUGAAGGAUUAUGAUAUGAGUGUCUUAUAUCACCCGACUUAGGCCAAUAUUGUGGCAGACACCCUUAGCAUAUUGUCUAUGGGAAUUGUUGCUCACGUGAGGAUGAUAAGAAAGAGUUAUUUUGUGAGGUUUAUCGGCUUGCUAGGUUAAGAUUUCAAUUGGUUGAUUUGGUCGAAUAUAGUGUUUAGGUUUAGAAUGGUUCAAAAUCUUCUUUAGUAGCCGAAGUGAAGGAAAAGAAUGACAAAGAUCUUAUUUUGCUUAGGUUGAAGAAAGCAGUUCGAAAUCAUAAGGUUCAGGUUUCUUCCAAGGGAGAGAUAAUAUUUUUUUCUGUUAGGGUGGAUUAUGUGUUCCAAAUAUGGAUGAUUUGAGACAACAGAUGUUAGUAGAAGUAGAAGGUUCCCAAUAGUCUAUUCGGCUAGGAGCCACUAAGAUGUUUCGCAAUUUACGGAAAGUCUAUUGGUGGAAUGGCAAGAAGAGAGAUACUGCAGAAUUUAUGGCUAAGUGACCAAAUUACCAGUAGGUUAAGAUUGGGCAUAAGAUGCCUAGUGGUACGCUUUAGGAAUCUAGUAUUCCUACUUGGAAGUAGGAAGUGGUGAAUAUGGAUUUUAUUAUAGGGUUGCCUUGUACUAGUCGUCAACAUGAUUCUAUCUAGGUAUUGUAGAUCGAAUAACUAAUUCAGAUUAUUUCUUUCUAGUUAACACUUCAGAUUCAAUUGGAGAUUAUGCGAGACAUUACCUUAUGGAGCUGGUGAAGUUGUAUGGAGUCCCUUUGACCAAUAUUUCAGAUAGAGGUACCCAUUUUACUUCUUAUUUUUGGAAGGCUUCUCAGAAGGAUCUUGGUAUCCAAGUUUAUCUUAGCACAAGUUUUCACCCGUAGAUAGAUGGUCAGGAUAAAAGGACCAUUCAGACCUUAAAGGAUAUGUUGAGGGCCUGUGUAAUUGAUUUCAAGGGUAGUUUAGACGAUCACUUGCCUUUCAUUGAGUUAUUUUACAAUAACAACUAUCACUCUAGUAUUUAGAUGGCUCAGUUUGAAGCACUGUAUGGCAGAUGGUGUAUAUGUCCUAUUGGUUGGUUUGAAGUUGGUGAAGUUUUCUUAAUAAGACCAGAUUCAGUGCAUGACGCAAUGGAGAAAGUCCAUCUUAUUAGAAAAGGUUGAAAACUUCUCAGAGUCAUCAGAAAUCCUAUAUAGAUGUGAGAAGAAGAUAGCUUGAGCUUGAUGUAGGUGCUUUUAUCUAUCUAAAAAUUUUUCCCAUGAAAGGAGUGAAAAGGUUUUGUAAGAAAGGAAAGCUCAGUCCCCGUUAUGUCAGUCCUUAUAAGAUUUUGAGUUUUUAUGGUAAGGUAUCCUAUGAGUUGGAUUUGCCUGCAGAGUUAGCAUCAAUGCACCCAAUUUUCUGUGUCUCUUUAUUGAAGAAAUGCAUUGGUGAUCCAGCCUCAGAGGCCUCUUUAGAAAGGAUUGACAUAGAAAAUAGUCUCUCGUAUGAAGAAGCCCAAGUUGAGAUCCUUGAUCAUUAGAUUCGUAGGCUGAGUAAUAAGGAGGUCACUUUAGUAAAGGUUUUGCAGAGAAACCAGUCAGUUUAUGGAGUUACUUGGGAAGCAAAGGCAGAUAUGAUGACCAAGUACCCCCAUCUUUUCUCUUCGAACCUUGUUCCAUCUUGAAGUACUAGUUUUUCUUAAUUAAUUAAUUCAUUAAUUAUUUUAUUUCUAUCUCCGACCAUCCAUCUAUUUCCAUAUCAUAGCAUACAUUCAUGAGUUUAGUUUAGCCUAAGCACCAGUCACAAAUUUAAAUAUUAAUUCACGAUAAUGAUCCCAAGGGAGAGAUAUUGUAUACCCCAAGUUUUUGAUCUCUAUACCCAUUAAAAGAAAGGCCAUUGAUUUAGCUUCCAAUUUCCACUAGUAUCGCUUCAAUUUAAUAUCAUGGAAAAAAGUUAUGGAAAAUUUCUUGAGAGUUUGUCAACUGUCGGUGACAACGACUCUAGCAAUGACCCAUUAUUAGACAUAAUGAGUCGUUGUAUGGAGUUGGUGCCAUAAUAGUAAGGGAUCCUAGAUUCCAGACCAGGGAUAACGACUCUACCCUACGACUCGUUAUUAGUGACAACGAGUCAUUUGGUGGUCCCUUCGUCACAAUAAAAAAAAUUCAAAAAUCCCAUCUCCGACCAUGACUUUUCCUAACAACCCAUUAUUAGUCCUAACGAGUCAUUAGGAGGGGAGUCAUUGUCAUAACAGAGAGGACUCAGAAUCCAGGUCCUCAGGUCACGACUCAGAUAAUGAGUCAUGACCAGUCGUAAUGAGUCGUUACACAAGUCAUGAAAACUACUUACCAUAAAUUUUUGGAUGAUUUUAAAAAGGCUUCUAAGUCUUUUCCCAUUCUUUUAAUCCCAAACCUACAUUGUUUAGACACUCAAAAACUAGUUAUUCUGGGUUAAUAUUACCAUAACACCUCAUAAACUCCUAAUCACUCAACACUUAACCAAAAAAGAAGCAAUUCUCUCAUCUCCAAAAGUAAGCUAGGUUUUUUCCAUCUCAAGCAAAUUUCAGGGAUUUUGCCAUGGAUUGCACUAUAGAUAUGUGGGAUUUCAUCAAUGCGUCCUAUCCAUCCAUUGAUUCCUAAAGAUUCCUCCAAUCCUCAAGUUUAUUUUCCUCUCAAGAAUUGAGUUCUAGGUCAAAUAUGAGUUUACUUAACCCCAUCAGUCUAUUUGUGUAAAUAAACCAUGAGUACAUAUUUUCCCACAGAAUUUACAUCUUUCCAUACUCACCAACAUGAAAUUCCUUGUUAUUGAUAAAUUUUAGAGUUUGGGAUAUAUUUGUGAAAUUCUCUACUAUAAUCAAUUUUAAAUCAUUAGCACGUUCAGUUGCAUGAGACAAAGCUGGUGGGUUAUGAACACCCGAUACCUAGGAUUUCAUGCAUGUACCAGUUGACAUAUUUUGAGCACUUCAUAUUAUGCAUAUAUUGCUGUUUUUAAGAUUUUAUUAUAUUGAACAUAUGUAUAUAUUUUUGAAGGCCCACCUACCAAUUGAGGACUGAGAUCUUUAGUAGAAGUCUCUAAGUUCCAGAACUAUGACGCCACCAUAGGUUAUAUGGGGUUACACACCAGUAUAAGACUGAUACCCUAGUGUUUUGGGACAUAAAUUUAGUGAUCCACACCAGCCAGUGUUGGUACCCUUGUCAAGGUACUAGCACCCUUCUAACUAGGGCGACAUGUUGGACGUUGAUUUGCACAGAUUUAGGUAUUUCAGUUAUUAUUAGCCCCAUAGUCCUCAGUUCAUUUAUAGUUCAAGUUUAGUUUAGGUUAGCUUGACCAGGUGUUCAAUAUUUAGUUAUUCAGUUAUCCAAUUAUUCAGUUUUAUGAAGCACAUGUUUACACUUGGUCUUGUAUUCAGUUUACAUAUUCAUGCUUUCAAGUUUAGUUUAUAUUAGUUAGUUUCCCAUCUCACAUACUCAGUACAUUCAAAGUUCUAAUCGCAUACUUCUCUGUGCUAUAUUAUCUCAUAAUAUAGGUUCAGAUAGUCAGUACCCGGACCGCUCUUAGCAUGUUCCCGCUCUACUAAGCAUCAGCUUUGGUGAGUCCUUAUCAUUCUGGGACUAGUCUUUUAGUUCUUUACUUUCUUGUCAGUUUAUUUCAGUUUCAGUUGGUGGUAGUUAGUUGGGGGCUUGUCCCAACAACUCGCUAUUAGUACAGACUUUCAGCUAGAAGUUUAGAUUUUUAGCAUAUUGGGUUCUCAAAUAGUUCUAUUUCUAUAUUUUGAUCGACACUCAAUUUUAAAUUACUAUUAUUUCUAUCAGUUACAUUAGUUAGCUUCUACCUAAUAUUUUGUUACUUUAUUUACUGUUUUAAUGCAUGCUAGGCCAUGGGUUAGUUUGAGAUUUCUUGUGACCUUAGGCAUCGUGUUACGACUGGGGGGGGUAGUCUCAGGCCAUGAUAAACAGCGUGGGUUACCGUUUGAACAUUUUCUAAUUGUAGAUUAUGUGCCCAUAGUUUGUAUUUAUAUGCCUUAAUUUCUACUUUACUCAGUCAGUCUAUGAUACCUACUGAGUAUAAGUGGACUAUACUCAUCCCUACUGUGCCUUAUUAAUGCAGAUCCAGGUAUGAGUGCACCACACAAAUGUUGAUUUAGGUGUCAUUUGGAGUCUAUUCAAGGUAGUGGAUGAUCUAUGAAUCCGGAGUUGGCCACUAGAUUUUUUUAUCUAGACUCUGUCUUAUUAUAUUCAGAGAAAAAGUUUGUUCCUUUUUAGAUAUCCUAUGUAUAUUCUGACUUUGAGAUGUAUUAGUGGUUCUUACACUGCUUGGUUUAUUAUCUUGAUUAUGUUUCCCUUUCACUCUAUAUAUAUGUGUGGUUCGACUUCAUUCUAGGGGAUUUGCCUUAGGUUUUGGUAUUGAUUUCUUAUUUCAUUUCAGUUUGGAUGAUAGGCUUACUUGUUAAGGCUUGCUGCGAUAAAUGCCAUCAUGACCCUUGAUUGUUAGGUCAUGAAAAAUUGGUAUUAUAGCCAAGUUCAUUGAUCUCAAAAGUGUAAGAACGGGGUGUCUAAUAGAGUCUCGCGGAUCGGUAUGUAGAUGUUUGUAUCUAUCUUUGAGAGUCUAUAAGUUGUCUUUAGGAAACUUUCUUAUUUUUUCCUCAUCAUGCAGAUCUUUCAUCCCUUAAGUUCUAAGUCAUAUUUCACUCUUUUCUGUGUAGAUGGUGAUGACUAGAUCCAUUGAGGCUAGAGAUACAAAUCCAUUAUCAGCGGAGAGAGCCCUACCAAAAGGGCGAGUUAUGGAUCAUGGAUAGGACUGAGGUGGAUGAUGGGUAUGCGAAUCUGCCCUGUCUAGAGGUAUCACUAGGGGACUCUCCAUCGACCUUUGAUAUGUACAUGUUGGGGAUAUAGGUCCUACUUAGGUCCCUUAGAGUUCUUCUACCUCGAUCUUAAAGGGGUUAUUGGUCCAGUUGCUGACUCGUUUGGAGGGUUCUCUUUUGAGUUUGCUUGGUGUUCCUCUAGCUCUGAGUGUUUUUCCUCCUUUUAUUUUGGUAUUUUAGUAUGGCAUUCUGAGAUUAGGAGUUUAGCCUUCGUCUAUCUUACAUUCUAAGGUGGGAUCUUAGCCAGCCAGACUCGUUAUGCUUUCUGAUAGUCCUGAUUCUGUAGAAUUGAACUGUAUUCUAUUCUGAAGACUGAGACUAAAACUAAAACUGUGGGAGGUAAUCAUCUAACCAACAUGCUCCAAAUAAGAUGGAUAACUGAGCAGGGGUCCAAUAUGUAACCCCAAGUGGAAGGGAGUUAGUACCGUACCACGGGUAAAGAUAAGCGGAAAAGUAACCCUCUACUGGUAGGUUCCCUAAACGAGAAUGGUGGUACCCUAUACUAGUAGGUAGAACACCUUAUCAACCCUCAACUGGCAAGUUUGAUGUCUCAACCUACGCUGGCUACGUAUUUCUGGAACGCAAGUAUUACUUCUAAGUAUCUCACCCUCUACUAGCAGAUGAGCCCCCAUCCUUGGGUUCACUUGGUGCUGAAUCCUACUCCCAAUUGAAUGACACUGAAUUGUUAUACUAGACUGAAUUCACUGAGAUUACUGAGUUUUCCUAAGUUUUGUAACUAACUGAAUUCUACUGAGUUCUGUAACGAACUGAGAGUACUACUGAUUGUGACAUGAUUGAUACUAUUCUGUAACUGACACUGGCUCUAAAUAAACAACUAAGUUAUCCGGUAUUAAAUACUCCCAGGACUCGAUAGCAUGAAAUGUAAAGAAAAACAUAAUCUUGAAUAACAUAACAAUGUUCACUUGGUCAUAAUUCAUUCAUAGAGAUAUUCCAUCAAAUGCUUGUAGUGAAUUAACUUGUACAUGAAUGGGAAAUACAUGUUAGCAUGCUAUAAUGGCAUUAUUUCAUUUGCAUAGACAAUUUAUCAAACACAUAAAAAGUAUAUUUGGUUCAUUAAAUCAUAAACACUUAGGGUUAACAUGGUUAUAAUAAUUAACUUGCAAAUUGAAAGGUUUAUCAUGAAUAUCAUGUAAUUCAUUACACACUAGAAUCAAUUCUUGGAACUUGUAAUCUAAAUCAUGGAUUAAAACUCAAACAACAUCAUUACCAUAAAUUUACUCUAAUUUAAAGAUGGAAAUCAUAAAUCUUGUAUUUUGAAAGGGGAUUCUUGGGCUUCAUGGAAGGUAAGGAUCCAUGGAUAAACAUCUAACAUACCUUAAUUCGAUGAGUUCUUGGAGAAAUUCUUGUGAUUGACCUUGAUUCUUGAGUGCUAGGGUUUGUUCUUUUGAGAGAGAAUUAUCUUUUGAUUUUAGGAAAAAUUGAAUAAUGAAGGGUUUACAUAUUUUAGGGCUUAAAUUCCAUAUCUGAGCGAAAUAAAAUCAUGGAAAAAGACUGGUUUAAGCCUGGGCGCAACUUUAAUUUUUCAUGAAAUUUUUCUGAUCUGGACCCUUAGCACAAUGCGCCACUAUCGCGCUAGGCCUCUGAAAAAUGAUGACUGGAAAAUUGCAUGGUGGCGCGACCAGUGGUAUCGCGUUGCCACUUUGUUUGUGAACUGGAAGUGCACCCAUGAUGCGGUGGAAUCGCGUUGGUACAUUGAAAAUUGAUAAUUAUUAAUUGGGUGUAUGGCGUGAUGUGUCAAUAUCACAGAGCAACACUGAAAAUUGACAAUUUCUAUGUUAACACACUCCCGACCCGCUACUGGCCUGAAUGACGAUGUUUAAUGACUGAAACUUAAAAUCGCCAUAACUUCUUACCCGGUUGUCAGAUUUAGGCAAAUUUUGUAUCAUUGAAAAACUAAUUAAAUUUCCUAUGCAAUGGCUGGCUCAAAUCUGAAAAUUGCUAAGUAUUUCAAAAAUUUUAUUUAGGAUAAUCCAUUUACUGAGGGUUAAUCUAGUCUAGGGAAAUAUGAGGUAUUACGCUAUGUUUGUGGUGAGGUUAGUUAUUUGGAUAAGGACUAUCCUUCUUGUGUUUUCAAGGCAACCCUAAUAUCGACUAUGAGAGGUAAAGGUUCUACUAAGGGUGCGAUAGUCAGAGGCAGUGGUGCCCAUGGCUGUGGUCGCAGGACUAUUCCGCUGAGUGGGGGGCGUGGAGAGUGCUAUGCUAUACCUGCCAGGAUAGAGACAGAGGCCUCCAAUACUAUUAUCAUAGGUAUCAUCGCUAUUUAUUUUUGAUCUAUAUCUAUAUUAUUUAAUCUGGGAUCGACUUUUUCCUAUGUAUCUACAUAUUUUGCUUUGGGUUUUGAUUCUGCUUGUGAGUCUCUUGAUGUGCCUAUUUAUGUAUCUACACUCAUAGAAAACUCUUUAGUGGUGGAGUAGGUGUACCAAUCUUGUGUUGUGACAUUUACUGGGCAUGAGACCUGGGUAGAUUUGAUUGUAUUAGAUAUGGUAGAUUUUGAUGUCAUCUUGGAUAUGGACUAGUUAACUCCGUAUCAUGUUGUUCUAAAUUGUUAUACUAAGAUAGUUACCUUAGCUUCGUUGGGUGUGCCGAGGAUAGCUUGGAAAAGUGUGCUUUAUUUGGGUCCCAAUAGAGUUAUAUCUUUUCUUCAGGCCUAUCACUUUGUUGAGAGAGGGUGUUUGUCUUAUUUAGAUCAUAUUUAUGAUAGUGUUGCUUUAUUUCCUUCUUUGGAUUCUAUUUGAUUUAUCUGUGAAUUCAUGGAUGUUUUCCAUAUGACUUUGCCUGGUAUGCCUCUAGAUUAUGAUAUCAACUUUGCUAUUGAUAUUGAGCCAGGAACCAAGCCCAUUUUUGUUCUUUAUUAUAGGAUUUCCUAUUUUUAUUCUUUAUUUUAUGAUGUCCCCAACAGAGUUAAAGGAAUCAAAGGAUCAGUUGUAGUUACAGGAUUUUUUAGAUAGGAGUUAUUUGAUAAAGAAUUUAUCUGACCUAGUGUAUCCCUUAGGAUGCAUCUGUCUUGUUUGUGAAGAAAAAAGUUGGGUCGAUGUAUAUGUAUAUUGAUUGACAUUUAAACAAAUUGACGAUUAAGAAUAAGCAUCCUUUUUCUUGUAUUGAUGAUUUGUUUGGCCAACUUUUGGGUGCUUUGAUAUUUUCAAAGAUUGAUUUGAGGUUCAGGUAUCACCAGUUGAGUAUUAGAGCUUCGGAUAUUCCAAAGAUGGUUUUCAGACUCGGUACGAUCAUUAUGAGUUUGUGGUCAGGUCUUUUAGGUUAACCAAUGCCCUUGCCACAUUUAUGGAAUUGAUGAAUUAGGUAUUUCAAUCGUAUCUCGACUCUUUUGUCAUUGUAGUUAUAGAUGAUAUCUUGGUUUAGUCCAAGAGUGAGGCCGAUCAUGAUGAGUAUUUAUGGAUUGUGCUUCAAAGAUUAAGGGAUGAGAAGUUGUAUGCUAAGUUCUCUAUGUGUGAGUUUUGGUUGGAGUCUAUCUCUUUCUUGGAUCACAUGGUGACCAAGGAUGGUAUUAUGGUCUAUUUGGUCAAGAUUGCAAUAGUUUGUGAUUUGGAUAGGCCUACUUCUCCUAUCGAGAAUCAUAGUUUUGUUGGUUUAGCAGGCUCUAUCAGUGCUUUGCUUAGGAUUUUUCAUCUUAUUGCAGCUCUUCUCUUGACUUUUCCCAAGGAGGGCAUGAUGUGUUAAUAUAGGAAGGUAAGGUGAUUGUGUAUGCUUCUUAUUAGUUGGAGACCCAUGAGAAAAAUUACCCUACCCAUGAUUUGGAGUUGUGUGCAGUUAUUUUUGCCUUGAAAUUGUAGAGGUACUAAUUUUAUGGAGUCCAUUGUGAGAUUUUCUUGAAUCAUCGUAGCUGUCAGCAUUUCUUUACCCAGUGAAAUCUUAACAUGAGGCAAUGCCGUUGGCUUGAGUUGCUUAAGGAUUAUGACUUGACUAUUCUUUAUCAUUCAGGAAAGGCUAAUGUGGUUGUGGAUGCCUUAAGCCGUAAGUAGACUAGCAUGGGUAGCUUGAUGCAUCUUUUGACUUAGGAGAGACUUUUAGCCUUGGAGGUUCAUUAUUUGGAUAACCAGAUAGUUAGGCUUGAUAUUUCUACACCUGGGUGUGUUUUGGCAUUCAUGGGGCUAGGUCUUCCUUGAUAGAACAGAUAUCAUCAGUUUGAUGAUGUUGGGUUGAGAAUGGUGAUUCUAAGGAAGCCUUGCUUGAUCCAAAUGAUGUGUUGAGGAUUGAUGGCACAGUUUAUGUGUCGAGAGUGGGUGAUUGGAUUAGAUUGAUUUUGGAGGAGGCUCACAGUUCUAGGUAUUUUAUUUAUUUGAGAGUGACUAAGAUAUAUUAGAAUUUGAGAUAACAUUACUGUUAAGGUGGUAUGAGGAAGAAUGUAGUGGAUUUUAUAGCUCGUUGCUUAUGUUGAUAGUAGGUGAAGGUCAAGCAUUUGAGACCUUGUGGGUUGCUUCAGAGGUUACCCAUUCCUGAAUAGAAAUGACAACGAAUCACUAUGGACUUUGUGACUGGGUUGCGUUGUACUUCUCAUGAUUCUGAUAGUUUUGGGUUAUUGUGGAUCUGUUGACCAAAUCUGCUUAUUUUAUUUUAGUUUAGGUUUCUUUCAGUGCUGAGAGUUUGUCCCAUAGCUACAUUAGUGAGAUAGUCAUCUUCAUGGUGUGCUAGUAUCUAUCAUCUUUGAUCAAGGUUUAGUGUUCACAUCUCACUUUUAAAGGACUUUUUAGGAGGAGUUGGGUACCUAGGUUGAUCUUAGCAUACCUGUUCACCCCUUACUAAUAGUCAGUCGGAGUGGACUAUUUAGAUUUUGGAGGAUGUGCUCCUUACUUGUGUUAUGGACUUUGGAGGUCAGUGGGAGCAACAUCUACCUUUGACAGAGUUUAUGUAUAAUAAUAGCUACCACUCUGGUAAUGAGAUAGUUCCAUUUGAGGCUUUGUAUGGUAGAUGUUGUCGUUCUCUGGUUGGUUAGUUUGAUGUUUUUGAGAUUAGACCUCAAGGUAAGAACUUUCUUCAUGAGCCUUUGGAUAAUUUUGAGUCUUACAAAAUAAGCUUCGAGCGACCUAGAGUAGGAAGAAGUGCUAUGCAGAUUGUAGACUUCAUUCCCUGAGAUUAAUUAUUGGUGAUCAUAUCUUUUUUUGUAUUUCACCCAUAAAGGGUGUGAUGAUGUUUGGGAAGAGGGGCAAGCUUAACCCUAGGUAUAUUAGACCUUUUGAGAUCCUUCGAACUAUUGGGGAUGUGGCCUAUGAUUUAGCAUUUCCUCCAUAUUUAUCAACUGUUCAUCCAAUUUUUCAUAUUUCUAUGCUUUGACGUUACAUUCCAGAUGAGUCUAAGGUCAUUCGUUGGGAUUUAGUCUAGUUAGAUGAGCGAUUGUCUUUUGUCGAGGAGCCUGUAUUCAUUCUAUCUAGGUAUGUUAGGCGGUUGCGUUCUAGAGUUAUUCUUGUGGUUAAGUUCUAGUGGAGGCAUCGACUUACAAAUGAGUGCACAUGAGAAGUCGAGUCUGAUAUGCGUAGUAGUUAUCCCUAACUUUUUGCUGAUUCAGGUACUUCUAUUGCCUUUAGUUCGAGGACGAACAAGAUUCUUAGUGGUGGAUGAUGUAAUGACCUACUUUUUGGUGACUUGUGUGAAAUAAUUAUUCCGAUGUGAUUUGACCAUUUUACCCAUCCUUGUGGUUUCUUUGUGGUAAUUCUGGGGUGUGGGGAUGAUUGACAUGAUUUCCAAUGCUGUUUGGUGUGGUUUGUGCGAGAUUGUGGUUUUUGAUGGUCUUAAAGGCUUAUUAAUUGACUUCGAUCGACAUCUUUUGAUCUGUGAGUCGGAUGAAAAAAUGGACUGUGCAAAUCCAUACAUCAAUUUUAGAGAGGUAAUAUGGUUGACAUAGUUUUAUGAAUUUUAUAUCUCAUUUCGACCCUCAAUUCAAAAGAAAUUAAAAUUGAGUUUUAGUGGUUAAUUUUGUGAAAAUGAUGCUUUUUUGUGAAUGAGUCCGGAGCAUUGAAUUUAGUAGGGUAGCAUAGUUCACCUGCGUACUCAAAAUUUUGAAUGAAUCCUGAGGGGUACACGGAGACUUGAAAUUUCAAGUCUCCAGCUGGUGCACCUACUUAAGAGAUAUUUUGGUUGCUUAAGUGCCCCAACUGUGCAGCCGAAAUGUCGCUUACACGACUAAUGUGUCACAUACAUAACCUUCACUUGCGCGACAAUAGGGUCACUUACGCGACACCUACCAACAUGCCAAGUAUCGCGUAAGCAAUUGGUCACUUAAGCGAUAGUCGCUUAACCGACUCGGUGAUCUCUUAAGCGGCGCCUAGGUCAUUUAUAUACCCCAUUUUCGCAAUUUUCACCAUUUGCUUCCAUUUCUAAGCUUGGGUAAGCUCCAAAACUCCUAUUUCAACUACUUUCUUCGAUUUGAAUUAUUUAAAUUUUGUUUAACUAUGGUACAAAAUGUGAAAUUUGGGAUUUUGGCCCGAAAGGCCCAAAUCAUCAUCUCUUCGAUUCAAACCCCAAUUUCACUCUGUUUUUUUACUUGGGGUUUUUCCUAUGAGUUUCUUUAAUAUUAGAAAAUACAUUUUUGGACUAAAAUUCUGGUUUUACCCUUUUUUUUUGAAAACUCAUUUGGGUGAUCCCAAUUCGAAAAGAGACAAUAUGGGUGUAAUACCCCAAAAAUCCAAACCAAUAUUAGAUCCAUGCUUCAAACUCAUGAGAAAUAAAUUAUAGUUUUUUGGUAGUUUUAUGAGUGAGUUUUAUGUAUAUUAAGGCCUCAAAUAACUCCUAUCUAUUAGCCGAAUCAAAAUACCCCUUACCGAUUGAGUUCUUAAGAAGAAUGUUGCUAUAGUCAACUUCAAACAAACAUAUCUUUAGUUUUACAAAGAAUUUUUGAGCUCAUGACCCACCAUCAGAUAGAUAAUUGAAUUAUCUUUCCAAUGAUACAAAUUUUGCCUAAAUUCGAUAACCGAGCGAAAAGUUAUAGUAUUUUUCGUGUGAGGCAGUGGGCUGCCGCGAUAACACCGCUCGACGGUGCAAUAGCGGUGAAGCCAAUACCUCUUAGAGGUAAACUUUUAAAUCAGAGUUGUCCCAAGGUAGUAGGUCACUGCUAUUAGCCCGCUCAGCGGUUCUAUAGUGGUGGGACCAAUAUCGCUUAGCAGUAAGCCUCAAAAUUGGGAUUUUUAAUGUCGAGGGAUCAUUUGGUCUUUUUCCAUAGCUCCAAAUCCGUCCAAACACGGGAUUUAAGUCCCAAAAGAGCAUUAUAUACUCAUUAUUUCACAAAUUACUCAAAUUAAGUAGACCUCUUUCAAGAACAAAAACCCUAGCCUCCACAAUUCAAGAACAAAUUCAAGAAUUCACUAUUAACUUUCACGAAUUCAUCAACCCAAGUAUGUUAGAUAUUCAUCCAUGGGCCCUUUUCACUUAUGGAAUCCAAGAAUCCAUCUUUUAUGUUUUAAAUCAUGAAGUUACAUGCUUAUAAUGAUUUAUCUCCAUGAAGCUUUAAUGAAUUUUGAUUAUACAUGAUGUUUACAAACUAUUUUCAUUGAAAGCAACCUUUAUUACAUAUUUUAUGAAUCAUGUCCAUGAACUUACAUGAAUUUUGAAUCUUUAUCAUAUUUCCAUGAAAUUGUUGGUUAUAUUAAACCCUACAUAUUUGAAUAGUGUUGUAUGUUUAAUUCAAACCCUAGUUGGUGAUCUUAGAAGUAAAAUCAUGCUAUUACUAUAACUUUUAACACUAUUCCCAUGCUUAGCCUAAACCAUGCAUUGCAAGUGUUUGAUAAAAUGCCUAGAUGAAAUGAUUUUGAAUAAUGACUACUUAAUAUGUCCCUAAAGCUUUAGUAUGUUUUAAAUAUUGUGAUUUCCAUAUCAUGUCCAUGAGAAUUUUAGAAUAAAUCCUCAGUUUAUAAUUUUUUCAUAUGAUCGUGCUAUCUCAUCAUGUCUAUAAAUAUCCUCACUUUACAGUCUUGUUCUCCAUGUGUUUGACGAACUAUCUCAGCGAAUGAAUUAUGAACAAUUGACUAUUGCUAUGCUUUUUAUAUUGUGGCAUGUUUUACUAUUGAUGCUAUUGAGUCCUGGGGUAUUUAAUACCCAAAAAAUCUAGUUGUUUACCUAGAUCAUAGUAGCUACAGAAUAGUCUCAAUAAUGUCACAAAUAGUAGUACUCAGUUAGUUACAAAACUCAGUGAAACUCAGUUCAGUUCAGUUUAAUACUCCGUGUCAUUCAGUUGGGUGUAGGAUUUAACACCGAGCGAACCCAAGGAUGGGGGUUCACCUGUCAGUAGAGGGUGUGAUCUUUAGUAGUAGUCUUUGUGUUCCAGAACUAAGUAGCCAAUGUAGGUUGAGAUAUCAACCUGCCAGUUGAGGGUUGAUAAGGUAUUUACCUUCUAGUUGAGGGUAACACCGUUCUCAUUUAGGGCACCUACUAGACAAGGGUGACUCUUCAGAUUGCCUGUGCCCGUGACACGGUACUGACAGCCUUCCAACUGGGGUUAUAGGUUGGACCCUAAUCAGUUCAGAGAGGGGCAUAUUGGUUAGAUAAUUACCUUUCUCAAUUUCAGUUUCAGUAUUCAGUAUAGAGCUUAGUUCAGUUUUCUUGACCAUAACAUAUAUUUUAUCAGUUAUUCAGUUAUAGAUUUCAGUAUUUCAGUUACAGACUAUAUCAAAAACAUAUUAUAUGCUUGGUCAUGCAUUCUCAUAUUUUAUAGCUUUCAUGCAUUCUCAGUAUUUACAGAUUUCAAGCAUUUUAUUUAAUACUUCCUGCUAUUCAGUUAGUUAUUAUUCAUGCACAUGAAACCCUGCAUAUCAGUCUACCUUAUUUAGCAUACUAGUACAUUCAAAGUGCUGAUCGCAUACUUUUUUCUUAUGUUAUGACGUAUCAUAUCAUAGGUUUGGACGCUCAGUUCCCAAAUCGCGCAUAGACUUUCCAGAUUAUCAGCCAUAGCAGUUGUGAGUCCUUAUAUUUUGAGGAUAGACUAUAUUUAUUUUUAUGCUUUUAGUUUAGUAGUAAGUUGGAGUUAGUUGGGGCUUGUCUCAUCAACUCUUAUUAAAUUAGUAGAGCCUUUUCAAACUAGUACAGGCGGUUAGUCAGUUUUUAAAUUUCAGUUGUCAUUAUUAGCAUUAUUAUUUUUGUCUUACAAACUUAUCAGAUUUAUGACUUAAAACCUUAUGACAUUUCUCAGUUUAUUUCCGCAUAUGAUCUUUUGAUAUUAGUUUUACUUAGUGUUCACAACAGGUACCAGCUCAUGGGUUAGCUUAUGGUCCCUCAAGACUGUAAGUAUAGUGUGGCACUCAAGUGUACUCUCGAGACAUUACAAUGGGUAUCGUUGGCUUAAUUUUGAUGCAUAGAUUUUAUGGUGAAGCUCUGUGAUAAAGGCUUAUUUAUUAUAAUUUUGGCAUUCGAGGUAGGUUACAAAUUAACUUUUUCAGACUGGGUUAGGUAGUUAAUAAUAAUGUAAAAGCAUCCUAUGGGUAUGAGGUUGUAUCAUGGAAAAUAUGUUAGGUGAUUUAUGUGCCCGUGUGGGGGCCUAUAUGGAUAAUAUUUGGUAGUUUUGAAACGUUAUUUGCUAUGUGUGACCGUGUGGGGUUUUAUAUGAUGUUGUAAUCUAGUAUUGAUAUAUGUAUGUUAGGUUGUACUAUUUUUCAUGGUAAAAGGCCUAGAUUUUGGGAUUUAUAUAGUAUCUUGAUGGUUUAUGGAUCAUAUUGGAUCAUGGAUGAUCAGUUGAUUUGAGUGGAUUUUUGUCUCAUAUAGUUGGUAUAUUUGUUGGUUGUGUGCAUUACAUCCUUAUAUCAUAUUCAUUUAUGAUUUAUUGGUACCACCAAAAAAUACUGAAAACACUAGAAUUUUCUAGUAGAAGAUAUGAUAUUUUCUUAAAAACCUCUAUGGAUGUAUGUGCGGGAGAGAAAUCAUGGAUAUUAGUAUUGGAUAUUGAAUUUAUAGACCCCCUUGAGGGAUGUGCUGGAGAGAAUUCAUGGAUAUUAGUGUUGGAUAUUGGUUGUAUACGGGUUAACGAACCCCCCGUGGGUCUUACGUCCAUAACUGAGCUCAGUAGGUGUAUACGGAGAUUGUGCAAUGACCUCAUACAUCAUCAUCAUCUUUAUUACAUUCUAUAUGUUGUUCUUGUUCUAUGAUUGUAUUCUUGUUUAUGACUUGAUAUCUAUCCAUUUGUCUAUCUUCUUACGCUUGCAUUUGGUGUAUGUGUAUAUUUGUUCUUCUUUCCCCUACUUGUAUUUGUUAUAUAUGUAUAUAAUAGAACUGUUAAUAGAGAUGGUGUGAGCUACCAUUUGGGAUAUUUUUUUAUUGCAGGUGACAUGUCCAUAUUUUGUAUUUAAAUGCCUUAUUUUCUAAUUUACUUAGUUGGCCUAUGAUACCUACUAAGUACGAAUGGAUUGUACUUAUCCCUACUGCGCCUCUUUGGUGCAGAUCUAGGUACGACUGCAGCACACGGACAACUAAUUCAGGUUGCAUUUGGAGUUUAUUUAAGGUAGUAGUUGAUCUAUGCAUCUGGAGUUGGCCACUACCUUUUUUAUCUAGAUUAUAUUUUUUUGUAUUCAGAGAUAGAGUUUUUUCCCUUUUAGAUAUCCUAUGUAUAUUCUGACUUUGAGUUGUAUUAGUGGUUCUUACACCGUGACAUCAGGUUUUGGGAUUUGGUUUGGUAUCUUGAUUAUGUUUCCAUUUUCAUUGUAUAUUUAUGUGUGGUUUGACUCCAUUCUAGAGGUCUUUCCUUAGGUUUUGUUAUUGGUUUCUCAUUUCAUAUCAGUUUGGAUGAUAUGCUUACUUGUCAAGGCUUGCUGUGACAAGUGCCAUCAUGACCCUUAAUUUUUGGGUUGUGACAUCUCUCUUGCUACUUAUGGUCAAUCUGUUAGGUCAUAAUAAAUGCACUUUUGAGGGUUUACCUUUUCAAACUACCCUCGCAUCUGUCUUAGCUUUUGCCACAAAAUUUUGGUUUGUGCCGGGAAGUCAAAACCCACAAAGCGUACUAUCCCUAUGUAUGUUAAAUGGAAUCCACAAGCACGUGACUUCACAAUGCUUAUCAUAGAUACGACUUUUAGGCCUACAACAGACUAUGCCUUUAUAGCUUGAGUCUUUAGGAACUCCAAUGGAGCCUGGCUUUUAGGGUUUGUUAUUGAGGUGUCCACACUUAGACCCUUGGAGGCUAAACUUCAUGCUUUCCUCUACGGUCUAACUGUAGCUACCACGUAUCAUUUCACCCCUCUAGAAAUUAGUCUGGAGUGUUGGCAAAUAAUUAGCCUCCUGCCAGAAUCAUCAUGUACUAACUCCUACCAGAAUCAUCACAUACUAACUCAUCUUUAAUAUCUUAUUGUAGGUGCCUAAUUCAUGCUUUGGAUAGUCCACAAAUAAAGCAUGUCUACAAGCAAUAAAAUAAGUUGGCAAUGCGCAGACAAAAAUGGAUGUAAAUACUACUAUUUAUGCUAAAUAACUACUGCUUUGGGAUCCUCCACCAUUCAUAAAGGAUGUUUUGGAAGUUGAUAUAAACGGAGGGCCAAGUAUUAGAAGGUUAGGAGUAAAUUACCUGCACAUACUUUGUAAAAUACUAAUGAUGGAAAUGUUUUGCUUUUGUUGGUGCUUGUACAGUGGCUAUGCCACAAACUACUCCUACGUAGACUUUGCUUGUUUAUAUAAUACUAUCGUGUGUUUACUAAAAAAGCACAUAAUCUAUUAUUCAUCAGCAUAGUAUUUUUAGUGCUUGAUUUAUAAUUUAUAGGUGCCUAACUUAAUUCAAAUUAUUAUCAUUAAUUUUAAAUAAUAUAUUAUGUGUCAUUAAUUUUAUUUACAUAAUUUAUUCCUAACGAUUUUUAUAAUGUUGGUUAAUCUUGUAAUUGUUAUUAUAUACAUUAUUUAAUAGAAACAUCAUUCAAUUCAAUUUCUUGUGAUUUUCUACCUAGUUGAUGUCAAUUGUAACCUAAUUUGAUUUUUAUUUUAUCUAAUUUUAAUCUUCGAUUCAAAUUUCAAUUUUCAAAUGACCCAAUGAUUGCAUUCCCGUAGAACACUUUUAAUUAACCCGUCCUUUUACUAUGAUGAUUUCACCACCUUCUUUCUUCAAGAUUUUCUAUCAUCAUUUUUUAGUAUUGUAAUUUCCUUUCCUUUUGUUUUACUUAUUGUUUCAGUUACUAAUUGAAUUAUUUACAAAAUAAUUAAAUUCCAUCAAUUAAGAAGGUGAAAUCUCCAUCAAGUUUGAUAUGCUCCGCACAUUCCUCCUCUAUUUUGCUUAAGAUACUAAUAACUUGGUACAAUUUUCUUAAACAUGACAAUUUUGGUGCUUGAUUAAUUAUAAUUUUUUUACUGUUCCUUUCCUUUUUAACUAUAUGUGGUAGUUCAACACUUGCUUAUUUUUUAUGAUAAAUUUUAAUUAUUGUUACACUUAAGUGAUUUGAGUCUCGUGAUUUUGGUUGAAUUAUCAAUAUUUGCUUUCCUUUUCCGAUUCCUUAUUAACAAGUAUUUUCAGCUAUUUUAAGAACAACUCAUGUUAUUCUUGAGAAGAGGUGAGAAAAGGGAGGGGAGGGAGGAGGGGGGAGGGGAGUUCUUGACAUAUCAAAAAAUACGCUUCUCUUUCCAUUCCAGACGAAGGAAGAGGAAAAUAUUUUCUCUGUUCUUUUAUUCUCUGCCCGCUUAAGCCAGUAAACUUGGCUACCUCGUUCAUACUAUCUCUCUCAAUAGGAGUGACUUUUGAAAUCAUUGAGAUUCUUAUGAUCUUAACGUAUUGAUAUUCUAUCGUCGCAAUGAACAUUCUUAUGUGAUAGUUCUUUAUAGUUUUAAGCAAUUGCAUUUUCGAAAAAUUUGGACGCCUGCAAGCAAUGCAAAACAGUGAUUUCCGGAUGCCUUCUUGUUUAUUUGCUGAUAACAGAUUAGUUUUCUGCCGAACUUAUCUUUCAUUUUCUAAAGUGUUAGUUUCUAUGGUUCUAUUUUCCAUAAAUUAGCCUAAUAAAUAAUUGGGUGACUGGAACAUGUUGAUCACUCAAUCGAGAACUUAUGCCAUUCUAAAGUUUAUAUAUGCUUUAAAUGUGUAACGAUUAUGUCCAUGACUAUUUUGUUAUGUUCAAUUUUGGAUCUGUUUUUGUUUUCCAUAACUCUAAUCUCUUGAUAUAUAUUCAAGGAUCCAUAUAUAUUUAAAUUAGUUGAGCCUCUAUCAUAAAUAUUUUUUUUAGCCAUAACCGAUUGUGUGUGACAUUCCUGUUUCAAGUUUGUCACUAUGAUAUUAGAAACUAGGGUUGUCCAUGGACUUGUCAAUUAGUUCUCUUAUAUUUGAUAAUCUAGAUAUCAUUCCGUUAGAAUAAAGUUUUAAUGAGUGAAUUUAUUUUAUGUGGUUUCAUGUGAUCUUAUAUUCUCUCAUACUCUGCGUGCUCUGCUACUAUGUGAACUCCAUUAGACUAUUAUGAAAGAACCUUAGUUUGAGAUCUGUAUAGACUUAUUUGAUGUAGCCUCAUUUAUUACAUAAUUAGUUACACUUAUAAUUGUGUGCUAAUAUAAUGGUAUAGCUUGGUGCUUUAUUUUAUGUGCCAUUGUUUGAUAUAUGCUAGUACUUAAUAGGGGUGAAAAAUGAUCUGCUUGGGUUGCUGAGGAGUUACAUAUAGGUUUGUUCUGUAGAUGUCACAUGUUUGGUCCAAUUUGCGGAACCAUGUUUAUGAUUUUAGUUUUAGAACCUACUCGAUAUGUAAUAACAAUUCUAAGAGAAUUAGAAACUGUCACGGACGGGAUUUAUGAGUUAAAUGUUAAUUACAUGUUACAAUUUUCCUAUACAUUGCAAACGCAUCCUCUAAUGACUUUAAUAUGUUUAAUAUAUUACUUAAGCAUUAUUAUUGUGAGACCCCGAGAAUCCCAACCGAUAGUAGAACCAUGCUUCAAGCUCAUGAGAAAUAAAUUUUAGUGAUUUGGUAGUUUUAUGAUCUAGUUUGAUGUAUAUUAAGGCCUCAAAUACGUCCUAGCUAUUAGACGAAUCAAAACAUUCCUUACCGAUUGUAUUCUUGAGAAGGAUAUUUCCAUAAUCAACUUCAAACGAGCAUAUCUUCCAUUCUACAAAGACUUUUUAAGCUCAUGACACACCAACAGAUAUAAAAUUGAAUUAUCUUUCCAACGAUACCAAUUUUACCAAAAUCCAAUAUCAGAGUAAAAAAUUAUGACCGUUUUACAGUGAGCUGUCCGGGCUGCCAAAGUGCGAUGGGAAGGCCGAUGAACCGUCGUGCCUACGACGGACCGUCGCCCAAACCGUCAAAACUGAGGCAAUAAGCCUAUUUUCCUGCCAAAAAGUGAUGGGUUGAAGGGACGGUCUGUCCCCAAAGGGACGUUCUGUCCCCAAGUCGACGGUUCGUCGCCCAAACCGCCGCGGACCUCUGUUUAGCGAUUUUAAGCCAUUUUUAAAAGGAUUUUUGGGUCUUUUCCCACCCUUUUUAAAACCUAAUUGCAUCAAAUCAAAGCACACAACUCAUUAUUUAUCCAUAACAUCAAAAUUAGGGUUUCUUUUAAGAUGAAUCUCCAAGAACAAGAUUCACACCUUUCUUCAAGAAAACUCAAGAGUCAAAAUGUCACCAUUCAAGAACCUUCGAUAAAAGUUGUUCUCUUUCAAGAUUCAGGUUUUUGAGGUAUGUUAGAUGUUGAUUCAUGGGUUCCUUCCACCUAUGAGCUCAAGAAUCCUUUUUGAAGUGAAAAUAUUGUGUAUUUAUGAUUUCCAUGAUUAUGAUUGAAUUAAAGUUUAUGUUUAUGUUAUUGUUGGGUUUUGGUUCAUGUUUUAGAUCUCAAAUUUCAAGAGUUAAUCCUAGAAUGUGAUGAUUGGUAUGAUUUUCCUGAUAAACACUUCAAUUUGCAUGUUGAUUGAUGUAGCCAUGUUAUUUAGAUGUAUUGUUGGUUGUAUAAUUAAAGCAUGCUCCCUAUAUAUUUGAGUAAAUGCCUAGGUGAAUGAAGUAGUGCCAUUGUAGCAUGUUAAUAUGAAAUUCCCCUUUGUGUACAAGUUAAUAUAUGUUAAGUGCUUGUUGAAAGGAUUUGGCGAAUGAAUUAUGAUACAUUAGUAUGCAUGCCUAUACAUCUACAAGUUUAUGACCUCAAAUACUUGAAAGGAUGCUUUAGUGAUUGUAUUGCAAAUGAUGGACGAUUACCAUGUUAUUCAAGAAUUGUUAUGCUUUACUUUUAUGCUAUCGAGUACUGGGGGUAUUUAAUACCUGACAAUUUAGCUGUGUGCCUAGAGCCAGUGUCAGUUAUAGUACUCUUAGUCAAGUCACGAUUAGUAGUAUUCUCAGUCAGUUACAGUAUUCGAUAGAACUUGGUCAGCUUCAUGACUUAGGAAAGUUCAGUAAUCUCGGUAACAUCCCUGUCCAAUUUAGUAAUCAAUUUAGAACUUAGUAAAAUUCAGUCAGCUAAUAGAACUCAGUAUUAUUCCACCAGUUAACGAAACUCAGUGAACUCAUCUCAACUUAGAUAAUCAGUACGAUCAGUAACUAAUUCAGCUCAGUUUAGUACAGUCUAAAAAUCAGAUCAGUGUCUAUUUGGUUGGGAGUAGAAUUCAGCACCGAGAGAGGGAAGGGAUGAGAGCUUCCCUAUUAGUUAGGCAGAUUCGUUAGUAGCAGUCCCUGUACUCCAGAACUACGUAUCCAGUGCAGGAUAAGGAGUUACCUAUUAGAUUAAGUCUUGACUACCUCCAAAGAGUCACCCCUUGGCUCUGCCCAGGUGUCACCCGUUAGAUUAGGCUUGGCAUCCUGGUCUUAGAAGUUAUCUUUACCUAUGGCACAGUACUGACACCCUUCCAGCUGGGGUUAUAGGUUGGACCCCACUAGUUUAGAUUCGGGGCAUGUCGGUUAGAUGACUACCUCCCACAGUCUCAGUUUUAGUCUCAGUAUUAGAAUAGAACUCAAAUCAGUAUUACGGAAAUCAAGACUGUUAGAUACAGUCACUCAAGCUUGUAAAGAACUUAAAAAGUUCCAUAUAUGCAGAGAACACCCACUAGAUAGGCUUGAUCUCAGAUUUCAAUCAAUCAUUCUCAUUAUCUGUAGAUUCAGAGAUCACUCGUUAGCUAGGCCUGAUCUCAGCUUCAGUCAAUCAGUAUCAGUAUUAGUAGAUCCAGAGAUCACUCGCUAGGUAGGUCGGAUCUCAGAUAUCAAUAUUAGUAGACUCAGUUAUCAGAAGUAUAGUUAUUAGAAUUCAGUAUCCAGUGUUACUACGAUUUUAGUUAUAGUUUAUGCACUCAUGCAUGUAUCCUCAUUCAGUAGUCUCAUGUUAUUUAGUCAGUAUUGUUCAUACAUGUAAACCCUUGUAUUUAACCUUACCUUAUCUAGCGUACCAGUAUAUUCUCACAUACUGACAUAUACUUUUCUCUUGCGCUAUGGUGUCUUAUACCAUAGGUUCAGAAGUACGGGAUCCAGAGCGUCCUUAGCAAGUCAGAUUCAGCCAGCAGCAGUAGACUUAGCAGUGAGUCUUCAUUAUUCGAGGAUGUUCCUCAUUUUAUUAUUGUAUUAGAGUUAGUAUUUCAUUAGAUGGAGUUAAUUGGGGGAUUGUCCCAUCAACUCUACAGUUCAGAUAGUUUAGAGAUUUUUUAGACUAAAUGUUCAGACAGACUAGAGUAUUUUUUAGACAGUUAUUUUAAUUUCGGUAUUGUUAAGCAUUAUUCAGUUUUAUUUCAGAUAUUGAACCAUAUGGAAAGUUUUUGCUCAUUUUUUGCAUUUAUUUUAGUAUGUUAUUUAGUGCUCAGUUACAGAUAUCAGUCAAGGGUUAGCUUGUGAUCCUUCGGGAUUAUGAACACCAUGUAGCGUUUGCGGUACCAGACUCGGGGCGUUACAAACUUGGUAUCAGAGCCUAAGGUUUAAUAGUAUUCUAGGAUAUCUGAAAAGACGCAUCUAGUAGAGUCUUGUACUGGGUGUGUUGCGCGCCACAUUUAUGUACAAGAGGCUAUAAGAUGUUUUAGGAACAGGUUCCCCUCUUUCAGUAUUCAUGUUAUGCGAGUGAGCAUGAGCUCAAGUUAAACUCUCAGUCUAAUCCAUUUCUUUCUUUCGUUUAUAGAAUAUGCCCCCUCGUAGAGCUAAUGCCCAUAGUAAUAAUAACCAACCACCUCAGCUCGCAAUUCAUUUGAAUGAGAAUGUGUCACAUACAGAGUUUUGGGCAGCUUUUCAGGCACUAGCCCAAGCCGUGACAACUAAUAUUCAGGGUAACUGUCAGCCUGCAGCCCCACCUCAACAAGAUGGGGAUUUAGCUGCAGCCAGAAUAAAAUAUUUUAUGAGAAUAAACCCGCUAAAAUUCUUUAGAUCACAGGUAGGUGAGGACCCACAUCUUUAUCUUGAUGAGGUAAAGAAGAUCACCCAUGUUAUGUAUGUUUUUAAAGAGGAGAGUGUAUAAUUGGUAUCCUAUAGGCUGAAGGAUAUUGCUUGUGAUUGGGUAGUGAUGUGGAAGAAGAGUAGAGGGGAGGAUGCAACUCCCAUGAUUUGCCAGAUAUUUUAGGAUGCGUUCCUAGAUAAGUUUUCCCACUUAAGAUGAGAAAGGAUAAGAUAGAAAAGUUCAUGAACCUGAGGAAGGUCUCUAUGACAACGAAGGAGUAUUGCCUGAGCAGAUGGCUGACCCUAGAGCAAACAUAAGUAAGUUUGUGACUGGUGUGUCUGGGUUGGUGGUUAAGGAGUGUAGGAUUGCUAUACUGAAUAGAGAGAUAGAUCUUUCUGGAUUAAUGAUGCACACUCAAUAGAUUAAGGUAGAGAAAUCUAAGGAAAGAGAUAGGGUAAGUAAGAAAACCAGAACAAGUAGUUUUAGUUUUUCUCAACCAGGGUUACAGGGUAGUAACCGUUCUCAGCAUAGUUAGAAGUUUUUAGUUCCACCUCCAUCUUCAGCUAGUGCACCAGUACCAAAGUUCUAGAAUGACAGUCAUGAUGGGGCGCCAGGCUCCAAAAUCCAGGGUAGUGUGAGAAGUGAGUGUACCUAUCUACUUCAUAAAGAGUGUGGUAAGAAUCACCUAAUUGCAUGUAGAGCAGUAAACAAGGUAUGUUUUUGAUGUGGUAAGCCAGGCCACAGGUUGCGGAAGUGUAGAAUAAUGGCUCAGAGGGGUAGAUAUUUGCGUCAGCAGGGUGCCACUUCCAGUACAACUAGUGGUCAGCGUCAGAAUAGAUUCUAUGCACUUUCGACUUGUCAUGAUUAGGAAAGUUCCCCUAACAUAGAUUCGGGUACGUUAUGAUCAUCUUUAUGAUAUGCUUUGUUAGAUCCCUUACUCCUAUUUAUGCUUAAGUUUUCAGCAUGAGUCGGUCAGUAAAGCCAGUAAUUCAGUUUAGCAGUCAAGCGGUCAAAUCGUAUGGUUUGUUUUCCCCAUCUUUUCAUCUAGUCAUAUUAUCAAGAAUCUUGGGAAUAUAACUAUUACCAGAUAGAGCAUCAUUUUAGUCAUGAGUUUAGCUCAGUUCGUGAUUCAUACAUUAAUUUUAGAUCUCAGAUGUUCAGUCAUGAUCCAGUUCAUAAGAGCCUUGUGCAUCGCCUUAGUUUUCCUAAGUAUCUUAGUCAAGUAAGCAUUCGUAGAAGGACAUAGUGUCCCAAGGGGGAGAUGCCGUAUAAUUCCCCGCUGCUUUCAUAUCUUUAAAUCCAUUCAGUUUCAAGCUCAGAUUUUCCUUACAAACUUCGUAUUAGUUAUCAUUGCAUAAUUCAAUCAUGUAUUCAUGAGUUGAUUAUUCAUGCAUCAGAUAUGCAUGCUUAGUGUAAGAACUCAUUCAUAGAUCCCAUGUAUCAAAUAUGCAUAUCCAGCAUAUAAACUCAGUCUAUCAGGAAUCCUAACCAACCUCAUUCGUAUGAAUGUUCCAAAGGGGGAGAUAUUGUGAGACCCCAAGAAUCCUAACUAAUAGUAGAACCAUGCUUUAAGCUCAUGUGAAAUAAAUUUUAGUGAUUUGGAAAUUUUAUGAUCAAGUUUUAUGUAUAUUAAGUGUAAUACCCCGAUCGCUUCUUAAGCCUAAAUUCAUCUAUUGAGUGGAUAUAUAUGACUUCUAAAGUGAUUGAUGUUUAAACCAUGUUGUAUUUCCAUCGAAUAAGCUUUCCAUCGAUACCAAUUUCAUUGAGAUCCGACAUUGGAUUAGGGAGUUAUGGCCAUUUUACUGAAUGGUGUUAGAUCGCCCAGGUUUAACGGUCGACCUGGCGGACCGUCAGGUUCUUAGUAGAUCAUCAAGUGCCCCGUUAAGCCAAGGCAGUGAAUCCUUUUUCAGGCCAUCGUGCAACGGCCAAGAUGGUGGACCGUCAAAAAAGUUGACGAACCAUCAAGGGGUUCAUCAGGUCGGGACAGAAUGUCUCGUUUCUGGCCCUCGAGUGACGGGCGACUUGGUGGUCCGUCAGUUUCCUGAUGGACAGUCACUUCGAUUGUCACAUCGAGGCAGAAUGUUCUAGUUUUGGCAGUUGAGUGAUGGAUGAACUGGUGGAUCAUUAGGAGACUUGAUGGACCCUUAGAUCAAUCAUCACAGGCCCCGAUCAGCGAAUUUCAGCUUUUUUAAAAGGGCAUUUUGGUCAUUUCCGCCCCAUAAGGUCUUAUAUAUAUCUUAGUAGAGAAUAUCCCUUCAUUUUCUCCUUUUCUCUUUCAAGAAACAUCUAGAAAUUAGGGUUUCUUCCCAAACCCAAAAAUUCAAUCUUCUUCUAAGAAAUUCAAGAAUCUUCCAUAGAGAUUCAAAGUAAUCCAAGAAUCAGCUUUCCUAAUUAAAGGAAUCAAGAAAUCUAUCUCAAGAAUACUAUAAAGAAGUUUAUAUCAAGUUUCUACAUCUCCAAAAUUAUAAUCUAAGGUAUGUGGGGUUUGAAUAAGAACACUCCUUCCGUUCUUGUGCCUAAAAAUUUACUUUCUAUUACUGACUUACAUGAUUUUGCAAGUGGGUUUACAACCAAAUUUCUUUAUUUAUGAUUUAUGAGAUUUGAGUUGAAUAAGUUUGAUAUUUAUGAUUAUUUCACCAUCAUGUUUAUUAAAUUGAGAAUUUAUUCCAUGAGUUGUAUAUUGUCAUUAUGUAUUGAUGAUUUUUAAGUGAUUUGAGACAAGUGUCAUGAGUUAUGCCUUUCCAUGAGAAAUUUGACUAUUGAAUAUAUAUCAAUAUUUGAGAUUGAAAGUCAAGAAUGAGUCCUAAGAUGUUUCCUUGAAGCUUUGAUAUUUGAAUAAUUUGAUAAGCAAAGGUACUUGAUAUUGAGAAAGUUUUGAUUUUGAGUCGAGUUAGGAAUCCACAGUUGUUCAUGAUUUACAGAUGAGACAUAUUUAUGUUUUGGUCUCUAUGAUAGACCCAUGAGUUGAUAUAGAUUAAGGUGGAUUUCCUAACGCAUUUUGAGCUGAGUCUGGGAAGAGUAUUUAGCACCAAGCGAGAAAUAUGGUACUUCCCCAAAACUACGUGCCACCAUUGGAUUGAUGUUGAUAAUUAUGGGACAAAGGCCGAUUAUGGGAUUUUGAUAAUGAGAUUGAGGUUGUACUCCCAGGCAAGAGUACAACACCCCCGCCAAUAUGGGGUUCUCUUCUUAGGAGAGCAAAAUGUUGGAAUCCAUGCGGCUCAUAUGGUGUAGUUAUGUCGAUUAUAAGAAACUCCCACAUCCAUAAUGAUCUAAAUACCAUGAGUUACCAAGUCACUCUACGUCAUGAGUCAAAGAGUUUGAGUUGAGUUAAACUAUUUACGAGAUUUAUGUAGCAUAUGUUAUUACUGAUGACUUCCGCAAAUGAUGUUUCAGAUAAUUCAAGCGAAGAGAGUUGUUAUUGUUAGCAUGCAUGAUUUUCUUAUACAUUUAUGAUAUUAUUUAAAAUAUUGCAUCCACCCCCACAUACUCAGUACAUUCCCAAGUACUUACUUCCAUACUCUUUUACACUCUAUAUUUCCUCAUGAUAUAGGUACAGGUGCUCAGUCUCAGCAGGUACAGUGAUUUUUGAGUACCUUCAUCUUCAUUUCUACGGUUGAGGAGUCCUCAUGGUUCGUGGACCUGUGUCUCUAAUUUUUUAUUGUUAAUAGAUGGUUGUUUACUUUCAGUCCAGUACGAGUCAGUUAGGGAUCUGUCCCAAUGGCUCCUCAGUCCUAUGUAGUAGAGGCUUUGUAAGACUAGUGUGCCAGCAUGUACAGAGAUUUCAGUAUUUUAUUUGUACAGAACCGUAUUACUUUGUAUCUCAGUAUGUUCAUGUCAUGAUUAUUCUUCCCUACUUUAUGAUGAUUCAUGUCGUAGAGAAUUUUGAAAGUGAUGACAGGCUUGGAGGGUUAGUUUGAGGCCACGUGUGGCCUUGAGCACCAUGUGAUUUCUUGGGAUAGGUUCUUGGGGUGUUACAAGCUUGGUAUCAUAGCCUAAGGUUCAAGGAGUCCUAGGGAGUCUGAAAAUCCACAUUACGUAGAGUCUUGAUCAUCGGUGUGUAGCGCGCCACAUCUAUGAACAAGAGGCUACAAAACGUUUUAGGAAAAGUUAUUUCUUUCUUUCAAGAGUCUAUCAUGCCUAUGACUAUUUCUCUCUACUGUUAAUUCAUGAUCUUUUAUGAUAGAAAAUGCCUCCUCGUAGAGCUCACAAAAAUAAUGAACGACCUCAACCCGUUGAUCUUUUAGGUGAGAUGGUAUCCCAUACUGAAUUUUGAGAAGCUUUCCAAGAACUAGCCCAGACGGUCACCGUCAAUGCCUAAGCCAAUACCCAGGAUAUUGUUCUACCUCCACAAAGGAAUAAUUCUACUACAGUUUGGGUUCGUGACUUUAUGCGAAUGAAUCCCCUGAGUUCUUUGGGUAGAAAGUAGGUGAAAACCUAUAAAUGUAUUUAGAUGAAAUGAGAAAGAUCACUCAGAUUAUGCAUGUGACGGAGGAGAGUGUUGAAUUGGCUGCCUAUCAAAUAAAAGAUAUUGUUUAUGAUUGGGUAGAUAUGUGGUGGAAUAUUAGAGGGGAGAAUGAUACUCUUGUGACUUGGCAAUUAUUCCAAGAUGCCUUCUUAGAUAGAUUCUUUCCUCCGGAGCUAAGGGAAGCAAAAUUAGAAGAAUUUAUGAACUUGAGACAGGGCCCCAUGACAGUUAAGGAGUAUUGCCAUAAGUUUAACCAGUUAUCUUAGUGUGCCUCCGGUAUGAUGGCUGAUUCUAGAACUAGUAUUAGUAAGUUCUUGGCUGGUGUAUCUGGUUAUGUUGUGAAAGAGAGUCGAAACGCUAUGCAGGGACAUGGACCUUUUAAGAAUAAUGUUUUAUGCUCAGCAGAUCGAAGUAGACAAAGUGAAGGAGAGAAAGAGUGAGAGGGAAUAAGAGAGUUAGAUUAGAGCAGCAGGGGUAUAGUUAGGCUAGAUUUUUUGGAGGGAUCCGCCCUCAGUUGUAGACCCAUUCACUUGUGCCAGUACCUUCAUCAGCAAGUACUCCUGCAUUUAGAAUUAGGCCGGGGUAGGGUAAUAGGCCUACUAUGUCUAGGUCCCAGGAUAGUGUGAGUAACAGAGUUCAUCCUCCCCCAUGUCUGAAGUCUGGUAGAGACCAUCUCAGUGAGUGCUUAGUUGGUCAAAGGGGUUGUUUUUGUUGCGGUAAAUUGGGCCAUAUGUUUAGGGAUUGCCCUUAUGCUAGAUAGGAGAGCCGCGAUGUUGGUCCCCAGAGUCAGGCUAUUAGUGCUCCAGCCUCUGUAGUUUGUCCUACCCUUCUUCAGGGUGCCUCGUCUAGUACUGCAAGUGGUCAGCGCCAGAAUUACUUUUAUGCUAUACCACCCCGCCAGGAGCAAGAGAAUUCACUAGAUAUUAUUACUGGUAUGCUUCGUGUAUUUUAAUUCGAUGUGUAUGUGUUGCUGGACCCUGGGUCAAGUCUUUCUUAUGUGACUCCAUUGGUGGCUGUGAAUUUUGAAAUCAGUGCUGAAAAUAUUUUCGAGCCUUUUCUAGUUUCUACACCAGUGAGUGAAUCUGUUGUUGCUAAGCAAGUAUAUAAGAAGUGUCCUAUCACUGUUCUUAACAGAGUUAUGUUUCAAGAUUUGAUUGAGCUAGACAUAGUUGAUUUUGAUAUUAGUCUGGGUAUGGAUUAGCUACACUCUUGUUAGGCGUCUAUAGACUAUCGUACCCGGGGAGUAAAGUUUCAGUUUCCUAAUGAGCCGGUCUUUGAGUGGUCCGAAAAUUUUGUAUCUCCUAAAAGUCAUUUCAUAUCCUAUCUAAAAGCUAGGAAAUUGAUAUCCAAGGGUUGUAUCUAUCAUUUAGUUUGAGUUAAGGACUCUAAGUUUGAGACUCCAACUAUUCAGUCUCUUAGUGUUGUCAAUGAGUUUCCUGAUGUUUUCUCGAAAGAUCUCCCAGGGGUACCUCCUGAUAGAGAGAUAGAAUUUGUAAUUGAUCUUCUCCCUAAUACACAGCCUAUUUCUAUUCCUCCGUAUCGUAUGGUCCUGGCAGAACUUAAGGAGUUGAAAGAGCAGCUCAAAGAUCUUCUUGAUAAGGGUUUUAUAAGGCCUAGUGUGUCUCCCUGGGGUGCACCCGUUCUAUUCGUGUAAAAGAAAGAUGGUUCAUUGCGCAUGUGCAUUGACUAUAGUCAGCUUAGCCAGGUCACAGUCAAGAACAAGUACCCUUUUCCUAGAAUUAAUGACCUAUUUGAUCAGCUGCAAGGUGUCAGCUACUUCUCAAAAAUAGAUUUGAGAUCCGGUUAUCACUAACUUAAAGUCAGAGAGUGUGAUAUUCCAAAGAUGGCUUUUCGCACUCGUUAUGGUUAUUUUGAAUUCUUGGUCAUGUUCUUCGGGCUAACGAAUGCCCCGACAGCUUUUAUGAACCUCAUAAAUUGGGUGUUCAGACCGUACCUAGAUAUGUUUGUUAUUAUGUUUAUAGAUGAUAUCCUUGUAUAUUCCCAGAGUGAAAACGACCAUGCAGAUCAUCUUUGAAUUAUCUUACAGACCCUUAAGGAUCAACAGUUGUUUGCCAAAUUUAGCAAGUGUGAAUUCUGGCUAAGGUCAGUUGCUAUUCUGGGUCAUAUUGUUUCUUCUGAUCGUAUUUGAGUUGAACCUUAAAAGGUAAAAGCUGUAAAGAAUUGGCCUAGACCUAUUUCCCCAUCUGAUAUUAGGAGUUUCUUGGGUCUAGCUGGCUACUACCAUCAUUUUGUCAAAGGAUUCUCUUCCAUUGCUGGUCUUUUGACCCGGUUGACCCAAAAGAAGGUUAAAUUCCAGUGGUCAGAUUCUUGUGAGAAAAGUUUUUAGGAGUUGAAGACUCGACUCACUUCAGCCCCUGUGAUGACCCUGCCUAAUGGUGUAGAUGAUUUUGUGGUAUAUUGUGAUGCUUUCAGAAUUAGUUUGGCUUGCGUGUUGAUACAGAAGGGUAAGGUUAUAGCCUAUGCCUCCAGGCAGUUGAAGCCUCAUGAAAAGAAUUAUCCAACCCAUGACCUCUAGUUAGCUGCAGUGGUUUUUGCUUUGAAAAACUGGAGACAUUAUUUGUAUGGUGUUCAUGUUGAUGUCUUUACGGAUCAUAAAAGUUUAUAGUAUGUGCUCACUCAGAGAGAGUUGAAUCUUCAGUAGAGGCGAUGGUUAGAAUUACUGAAGGAAUUUGAUAUGAGUGUGUUGUAUAACCUGGGCAAGGCCAAUAUAGUGGCAGAUACCCUUAGUAGGUCGUCCAUGGGUAGUGUAGCACAUGUUGAGGAAGAUAAGAAGGACGUAGCCCAUGAAGUGCAUUGUUUGGAUAGGUUAGGUGUUAGAUUGCUCGACUCAGUUAAGGGUAAUGUUUGUAUUCAGAGUAGUUCUGAAUCUUCCCUAGUUUCGGAAGUGAAGGAGAAGCAGGAUAUGGAUUCUCGUUUAGCUGAAUUAAAAGCGUCCGUCAAAGACCAAAAGGUAGAGGUUUUCUCCUAAGGGGGAGAUGGUGUAUUGAGAUUUUAGAAUAGAUUGUGUGUGCCUGAUGUUGAUGAUCUGAGGCAGAGAAUUAUGGCUGAGGCACAUAGCGCACGGUAUUUUAUUUAUCUCAGUGCUACAAAGAUGUACCACGAUUUGUGGGAAAUUUAUUGGUGGAAUGGUAUGAAAAAGGAUAUAGCGAAGUUUAUAGAAAAGUGUGCAACUUGCAAGCAGGUAAAGAUAGAGCACCAGAGACCCAGUGGUGUGAUGCAAGAAUUUAACAUUCCUACUUGGAAGUAGGAAGUGGUGAACAUGGAUUUCGUGACUGUUUUACCUCUUUCUCAUCGUCAUCAUGAUUCUAUUUGGGUCGUUGUAGACAGGUUGACUAAGCAUAUUUUCUGCCAGUGCAGACAUUUUUCACUGCGGAGGACUAUGCUAAGCUGUAUAUUUGAGAGUUAGUCAGGUUGUUUCGAGUUCCGUUGUCUAUCAUCUCUGAUAGAGGUACUUAGUUUACUUCUCAGUUUUGGAGAGCCUUUCAGAAGGGUCUUGGCACCCAAGUUUAUCUUAGGUCUGUUUUUCAUUCGUAGACAGAUGGUCAGGCUGAGAGGACUAUCCAGAAUUUGGAGGAUAUGUUGAGGGCUUGUGUUCUUGAUUUCAAAGGAAGUUGGGAUGAACAUUUGCCGUUGAUUGAAUUUGCUUACAACAAUAAUUUUUAUGCUAGCAUUGGAAUGGCUCCAUUUGAAGCUUUGUAUGAGAGAAGAUGUAGAUCGCCCAUAGGUUGGUUUGAAGUGGGUGAAGCCGCUGUGAUUGGACCUGAUGCUGUAUUUGAGGCUAUGGAUAAAGUUAAGUUAAUUCGGGAGAGGUUGAAGACAACCCAGAGUCUUCAGAAGUCGUAUGCAGAUAUGAGAAGAAGAGCUCUUGAGUUUGAAGUUGAUGAAUUGGUGUAUUUGAAAAUUUCACCCAUGAAAGGGGUGAAAAUAUUUGGAAAGAAAGGGAAGCUGAGUCCCAGAUAUGUUGGCCCUUAUAGAGUUUUGAAUCGUGUUGGGAAAGUAGCUUAUGAGAUUGAGUUGCCUGCAGAGUUGUCAGCUGUCUAUCCUGUGUUUCAUGUUUCUAUACUCAAGAAGCACAUUGGAGACUCUGUUGUGGUUGAUCCGUCGGAAGGUUGUGAUAUUCAGGAUAGCCUUUCGUAUGAUGAAAUCCCGGUUAAAAUCCUAGAUUAUCAAGUUCGUAGACUGAGGAACAAAGAAGUUCCCUUGGUUAAAGUUCUGUGGCGAAAUCAAUUUGUCGAGGGUGCCACUUGGGAAGCAGAAGUAGACAUGCGAUCUAGUUACCCUCAUCUUUUCUCCACGAGUUUGAUUCAAGCUGAAGGUACUAUUCCCUUAAUUUAGUUUCCUCCUAAUCUAAUGUAUUCAGCUAUAUGGUUAUUCCAUCUAUGAUUCGUGCAUUUGGUGAAGUACUCAAAAGUUUAGAGUAAAGUGAGCCCUUAGAUGUGAGUCGUUCCACCUAUACGUUCUCAUUUUCUCUUGUUCUUGGCCUAUUUGGCAACAUUCGAGGACGAAUGUGUCCAAUGGGGAGAUAUUAUAAUAUCCCGAUCAUUUCUUAAGCCUAAAUCCAUCUUUCCAGAGCAUUGAAUAAGUUUUCCAUCGAUACCAAUUCUAUUGAGAUCCAACAUCGGAUGAGGGAGUUAUGGCCGUUUUAAUGAACGGUGUCGGAUCGUCCAGGUUUGACGGUCGACCUGGCGGAUGAUCAGGUUCCUAGUGGACCAUAAGUGCCCUGUCAAGCCAAGGCAGUGACUCCUUUUUCAGGCCAUCGUGCGACGGCCAAGUUGGUGGACCGUCAAAAAGUUGAUGGAUCGUCAAGGGGGCCGUCAGGUCGAGACAGAAUGUCUCGUUUCUGGCCCUUGAGUGAUGGACGACUUGGUGGUCCGUCAGUUUCCUGACGGACCGUUACUUUGACUGUCACAUCGAGGGAGAACGUUCCAGUUUUGGCACUCAAGUGACGGACGAUCUGCUGGACCAUCAGGAGACUUAACGGACAAUCAGAUCGAUCGUCACAGGCCUCGAUCAACGAAUUUUAGCUUUUUCAAAAGGGCAUUUUGGUCAUUUCCGCCCUAUAAGGUCUUAUAUAUAUAUCCUUGUUGAGAAUAGCCCUUCAUUUUCUCCUUUCCUCUUUCAAGAAACAUCUAGAAAUUAGGGUUUCUUCCAAAACCCAAAAAUUCAAUCUUCUUCCGAGAAAUUAAAGAAUCUUCCAUAGAGAUUCAAAGUGAUCAAAGAAUCAAGCUUUCCUAAUUAAAGGCAUCAAGAAAUCUAGCUCAAGAAUGCUAUAAAGAAGUUUAUAUCAAGUUUCUACAUCUCCAAAAUUAUAAUCUAAGGUAUAUGGGGUUUGAAUAAGAACACUCCUUUCGUUCUUGUUCCUAAAGAUUUACUUUCUAUUAUUGAUUUACAUGAUUUUGCAAGUGGAUUUACACCCAAAUUUCUUUAUUUAUGAUUUAUGAGAUUUGAGUUGAAUAAGUUUGAUAUUUAUGAUUAUUUCACCAUCAUGUUUCUUAAAUUGAGAAUUUAUUCCAUGAGUUGUAUAUUGUCAUUACGUAUUGAUGAUUUCUAAGUGAUUUGAGACAAGUGUCAUGAGUUAUGCCUUUCCAUGAGAAAUUUGACUAUUGAAUAUAUAUCGAUAUUUGAGAUUGAAAGUCAAGAAUGAGUCCUAUGAUGUUUCCUAGAAGCUUUGAUAUUUGAAAUGAUUUGAUAAGCAAAGGUACUUGAUGUUGAGAAAGAUAGUUUUGAUUUUGAGUCGAGUUAGGAAUCCACAGUUGUUCAUGAUUUACAGAUGAGACAUAUUUAUGUUUUAGUCUCUAUGAUAGACCAAUGAGUUGAUAUGGAUUAAGGUGGAUUUCCUAACACGUUUUGAGCUGAGUCUGGGAGGAGUAUUUAGCACCGAACGAGAAAUAUGGUAUUUCCCCAAAACUACGUGCCACCGUAGGAUUGAUGUUGAUAAUUGUGGGCCAAAGGCCGAGUAUGGGAUUGUGAUAAUAAGAUUGAGGUUGUACUCCCAGGCAAGAGUACAACACCCCCACCAAUAUGGGGUUCUCUCCUUGGGAAGUCAAAACGUCAGACUCCAUGCGGCUCAUAUGGUGUAGUUAUGCCGGUUAUAAGAAACUCCCACACCCAUAAUGAUCUAAGUACUAUGAGUUACCGAGUCACUCUAAGUCAUGAGUCAAAGAUUUUGAGUUGAGUUAAAUGAUUUAUGAGAUUUAUGAAGCAUAUGUUAUUACUGGUCAUGAGUCAAAGAUUUUGAGUUGAGUUAAAUGAUUUAUGAGAUUUAUGAAGCAUAUGUUAUUACUGAUGACUUCCGCAAAUGAUGUUUCAGAUAAUUCAAGCGAAGAGAGUUGUUAUUGUUAGCAUGCAUGAUUUUCUUAUACAUUUAUGAUAUUAUUUAAAAUGUUGCAUCCACCCCCACAUACUCAGUACAUUCCCAAGUACUUACUCCCAUACUCUUUUGUACUCUAUAUUUCCUCAUGAUAUAGGUUCAGGUGCUCAGUCUCAGCAGCGACAGUGAUUUUUGAGUACCUUCAUCUUCAUUUCUGCGGUUGGGGAGUCCUCAUGGUUCGUGGACCUGUAUCUCCAAUUUUUUCUUGUUAAUAGAUGGUUGUUUACUUUUAGUCCAGUAUGAGUCAGUUGGGGAUCUAUCCUAAUGGCUCCUCAGUCCUAUGUAGUAGAGGCUUUAUCAGACUAGUGUGCCAGCAUGUACAGAGAUUUCAGUAUUUUGUUUGUACAGAACCUUAUUACUUCGUAUCUCAAUAUGUUCAUGUCAUAAUUAUUCUUCCCUACUUUAUGAUGAUUCGUGUCAUAGAGAGUUCUGAAAGUGAUGACAGGCUUGGAGGGUUAGCUUGAGGCCACGUGUAGCCUUGAGCACCAUGUGAUAUCUCAGGAUAGGUUCUUGGGGCGUUAUAUUAAGGCCUCAAAUCCGUCCUAGAUAUUAGACAAAUCAAAACAUCCUUUACCGAUUGAAUUCUUGAGAAGAAUACUGCCAUAGUCAACUUCAAACAAGCAUAUCUUCCAUUCUAUAAAGAACUUUUUAGAUCAUGAUCCACUAAUAGAUAUAUAGUUGAAUUAGCUUUCUAACGAUACCAAUUUUGCCAAAAUCCGAUAUUGGAGUAAAAUUUUAUGGCCGUUUUACAAUAAGAUGUCCGGGCUGCCAAAGUGCGACGGGAAGGACGAUGAACCGUUGCCAAAACCAUUGUAACUGAGGCAGUACGCCUUUUUUCUUGCCAAAAAGUGAUGGUUUUAAGGGGCGGUCCAUCCCCAGGGCGACGGUUCGUUGCCCAAAUUGUCGCGGACCUCCGUUUAGCGAUUUUAAGUCAUUUUUAAAAGGAUUUUUGGGUCUUUUUCCACCCUUUUUAAAACCUAAUUGCAUCAAAUCAAAGCACAAAACUCCUCAUUCAUCCAUAACAUCAAAAUUAGAGUUUCUUUCAAGAUCAAUCUCCAAGAAUAAGAUUCACACCCUUCUUCAAGAAAACUCAAGAGUCAAAACGUCACCAUUCAAGAACCUUCGAGAAAAGUUGUUCUCUUUCAAGAUUCAAGCUUUUGAGGUAUGUUAGAUGUUGAUUCAUUGGUUCCUUUCACCCAUGAAUCUCAAGAAUCCUUUUUGAAGUGAAAAUAUUGUGUAUUUAUGAUUUCCAUGAUUAUGAUUGAAUUGAAGUUUAAGUUUAUGUUAUUGUUGGAUUUUGAUUCAUAUUUUAGAUCUCAAAUUCCAAGAGUUAAUCCUAGUACGUGAUGAUUGGUAUGUUGUUCAUGAUAUACCCUUCCAAUUGGAUGUUGAUUGAUGUAGAAAUGUUAUUUAAAUGUAUUGUUGGUUGUAUAACCAAAGCAUGCUCCCUAUAUGUUUGAUUAAAAACCUAGGUGAAUGAAGUAGUGCCAUUAUAGCAUGUUAAUAUGAAAUUUCCCUUUGUGUACAAGUUAAUAUAUGUUAAGGGUUUGUUUAAAGGCUUUGGUGAAUGAAUUAUGAUACAUUAGUAUGCAUGCCUAUACGUAUACAAGUUUAUGACCUCAAAUACUUGAAAAGAUACUUCAGUGAUUGUAUUGCGAAUAAUGGACGAUUGCCAUGUCCUUCAAGAAUUGUUAUGCUUUACCUUUAUGCUAUCGAGUCCUGUGGGUAUUUAAUACCCGACAAUUUAGCUAUAUGCCUAAAGCCAGUGUCAGUUAUAGUACUCUCAGUCAAGUCAUGAUCAGUAAUAAUCUCAGUCAGUUACAGUAUUCGGUAGAACUCAGUCAGCUUCAUAACUUACGAAAGUCCAGUAAUCUCAGUAACAUCCCAGUCCAAUUCAAUAAUCAAUUCAGAACUCAUUAGCAUUCAGUCAGCUAAUAGAACUCAGUAGUAUUCUUCCAGUUAACAGAACUCAGUAAACUCAGAUCAACUCAGAUAAUCAGUACGAUUAAUAACAAAUUCAGCUUAGUUUAGUACAGUCUAAGAAUCAGAUCAGUGUCUAUUCAGUUGGGAGUAGAAUUCAGCACCGAGUGACGGCAGGGAUGAAAACUUCCCCAUUAGUUAGGUAGAUUCAUUAGUAGCAGUAUCUGUACUCCAGAAAUGCAUAUCCAGUGUAGGAUGAGGAGUCACCUUUUAGAUUAAGGCUUGACUACCUUCCAGGAGUCACCCGUUAGAUUAGGCUUGGCUCCGCCCAGGUGUCACCCGUUAGAUUAGGCUUGGAAUCCUGGUCUUAGAGGUUGUCUUUACCCGUGGCACGAUACUGAUACCCUUCCAGUUGGGGUUACAGGUUGGACCCCAUUAGUUUAGAUUCGGGGCAUGUCGGUUAGAUGACUACCUCCCACAAUCUCAGUUUCAGUCUCAGUAUUUAGAAUAGAACUCAUAUCAAUAUUACAAAAAUCAAGACUGUUAGAUACAGUCACUCAAGCUUGUAAAGAACUUAGAAAGUUCCAUAGAUGCAGAGAUCACCCACUAUAUAGGCUUGAUCUCAGAUUUCAGUCAAUUAUUCUCAUUAUUAGUAGAUUCAGAGAUCACCCACUAGCUAGGCCUGAUCUCAGCUUUAGUCAAUCAGUAUCAGUAUUAGUAGAUCCAGAGAUCACCCGCUAGGUAGGCCGGAUCUCAGGUAUCAGUAUUAGUAGACUCAGUUAUCAGAAGUCCAGUUAUUAGAAUUCAGUAUUCAGUGUUACUACGAUUUCAGUUAUAGUUUAUGCACUCAUGCAUGUCUCCUCAUUUAGUAGUUUCAUGUUAUCCAGUCAGUAUUAUUCAUGCAUAUAAACCCUUACAUUCAGCCUUACUUCAUCUAGCAUACCAGUACAUUCUCACAUACUGAUGCAUACUUUUUUCUUGCGCUAUGGUGUCUUAUACCAUAGAUUUAGAAGCAUGGGAUCCAGAGCACCAUUAACCGGUCAGAUUCAGCCAGCAGCAGUAGACUUAGCAGUGAGUCCUCAUCAUUCGAGGAUGUUCCUUAUUUUAUUAUUGUAUUAGAUUUAGCAUUUCAGUAGAUGGAGUUAGUUGGGGGAUUGUUCCAUCAACUCCACAGUUCAGAUAGUUUAGAGGAUUUUCAGACUAAAUGUUCAGACAGACUAGAGUAUUUUUUAGAUAGUUAUUUUAACUUCGGUAUUGUUAAACAUUGUUCAGUUUUAUUUCAAAUAUUUGAACCUUAUGGCAAGUUUCCAUCAUUUUUUCGCAUUUAUUUCAGUAUGUUAUUCAAUGCUCAAUUACAAAUAUCAGUCAAGGGUUAGCUUGUGAUCCUUCGGGAAUAUGAGCACCGUGUAGCGUCUGGGGUAUCAGACUUGGGGCAUUACAAUUAUAGAAUUCAUAUCUAUAGGCCUUCCCAUUUUUUUAGCAUAUAACUUAAGCAUUUUAUCAUUGAGAAAUUAUUUUUUAGGAGUAUGAUUCAACUUUCAACCAAUUUAAAAUAAAUGUCAAGGAUGUCCAUUAACCUUCAGUGCUUAGUUAAUUUUUCACACUUUUUAAAAUAUUUUUCUACACUUAUUGAUAAAUUUUUUGCUCAUUUUUAUUUAAUUUUCUACACCUUUUUAACCAGUUUUCUGCAUAGUUUAAUAAAUUUUCUUCACGUUUUUAUUAAUUUUAUGCACAUUUUAUUCAUUUUUUUUGCAUACUUUGAUCAAUUUUUUGCAGUACUUUUGAAAUAAACUUUCAGUCUCUUUAUUCAUUUUUGGCGAUAAGCAAUCAUUUGUCACUUAGAUAUCAUGCCUAUAAGUUUAAAUCAUAAAAAUGAAUAAGUAUUAUCUAAGCAUGCUAAGUGCUUCGUCCUUACUGUUUUGUUUGACGCGGACCCUGAGCCUAACUAAGCAGUCUAGCUUGCUUUUUGUCUAGACCUAAAUAUAAAAUAGUAAGUCCAAUGCCUCUUGGAUAUAAGUUUGGACAGGUAGGCAUUUAGGAAAUGCUAAUUUUAUCAUUUUCUUUAGAACGCCUCUAAAUUUAAUAACCAAACAAGAAGGGGUGGGUAGAUAUUCGAAAAUGAUGGAAGUUGACCCAAGCAUAAUCCAAAAAUGCGACAUACGACAUUGUCACCCAUUAAUAAGUUGGGCACUAAUCCGAAUAGGUUAAAAAUAAAUCACUUGUCCGACCUUUCGAACGUAUUUUCUCUUUUUCUUUAUUUUGUAUGUUUUAAUUAUUGGGACAUUUUAGGUCUAUUAUCUAAUAGAUCUUUUCUAUAUAAAUUGUGUUCCUUCUAUCUCCUCUCUAUCUUAUUUAUUGUUAUGUUUAUUUAAUGUAUCUUAUCAUCACCUAGACAAUUAACAAUUGUAUAAAUAAUUAAGUUACAUGCCUCGUUUAUUAAUUAUUUUUAUCACUUAAUAAUACUAAAUUAAUAAAAAUAGUCGAUCCUUGUUUAUCACAUAGAAUCUCUAUGUAACAUAGGAAUUCAGUCGAGAAUCACAUUUGUGGACCUUGAAAGGUAUUUAACACCUUUCUUUCGAGAUAACUUGAAACCUUACCCGAUUUUUGGUGAGGUAGACUAAUUAAAUGGUUUGUAAUUAGCCUAGAAUAGUGUCCUAACACACCUUAAUCUGUUAGAUGGAGACUCUUAUCAUUUGAAUUAUCCUGAAAAGAGUCAUCAUGUCAAAAUCCUCUUUUCGCGAGAAAAAUGAGGCAUGACAAAGAUGAUGUAAGAUAAUGUAAUAAAGUGAGAUGAAUGCUCAAACACAAUCAUAAACAAGGUUCUAACACAAAAAUCCAGUACACGUAAAUUCUAAGACAGUCUCAAAUCAUACCAAGGAUGCUAACGCAAUCCAAAUAGUGCAAUGCAAUGUUAUUGAUGAUGUGAUGAUGAUGUAUGGUGAAAGUCAUCACAUGACUUUCUGUAUAUAUACACCGAGCUCGCAGCUACAAGAUGUACCAAUGGAGGGGGGGGGGGAAGGGAGGUUUCGCAAUCCAUAUACUUAUUUAAUCUCAAUCUCAGGUCUCAAAUCAACCUUACCGAUACAUCUCUCGAUAUAUGCAUUUUCUAAAGCAUUUUAUUUUUUACAAAAUUAGAAUAUCUCAGUGCUACCAAUAUCUCAUGAAUAUUAAUGCGUGAUAUGAAGAUGUAAUGCUCACAAUCAAUAAGUAUGAAGAUCAAAAUCCAUUCAAUACAUGUAUAAGUUAUCUUAAAAUCAAAUUAAUGAAUCAAUAGUUCAUAAUAUCAGUUUUCAAUUAGCGCCACCAAAAUAAAUAAUAAUGUAGUCAUCAAUAUUACCAUAUCCAACCUCUCACUUGGGUAUCACUAUAAUUAUAAUGCAAUUAAAUGCUCAAAGAAGGCCUACAAUAUCAAGUCAAGCCACUACUCGAUGACAUAAUAAUAAUAAAUAAGGAAUUUAAUGCGCAAACAUGAUCAAUAACAUCAAGUCAAGCUUCGGGUAUCAUGCACCAGUUAUUUAAUUGUAAUCAUUAAAUUUUAAUUCUUAAUUACUCCCUUCAUUUCUAAAUACAUGCCACUUUUUAAUUUGCACGUCAAGUAUUUAGAAAUGGAGAGAGCAUCAUAUAUUAUUUGCAUUUGGUACUAAAUUGAGAGAGCAUCAUAUAUUAUUUGCAUUUGGUACUAGUGGAAAUAUCAUUUACAUAUAAUCCAUGUCAAGUUUCUUUUUUGCAUAUUUCAUAUUAAUUAUUUUACUAUUUGGUAUUAUAAAUCAUUAUUUGUAUAACUAGUUUCUAUAUAACUAAUACCUACAUGAUUAAUACUUGCAUAAUUAAUACCUAUAUAAGCAAUAUUUAUAUAGCUAAUUCCUACAUAACUAAUUCCUGUGCAACUAAAUCCUAUAUAACUAAUACCCAAUAUAAGUAAUAUUUACAUAGCUAAUUCCUACAUAACUAAUACUUGUGCAACUAAUUUCUACAUAACUAAUACCCACAUGACCUUAACCUACAAACAAACGACCCAUACAUUACAUAUAGAUGAUGGUUUAAAAAAAGGAUAAAGAUUGGUUUUAACUGAGGUUAUUAAAUUGAUCAGUAGCGUUAGAUGAGGAGGGCGCACGACUUCUCCCACUGAAGCUAUAUGUGCCUAUUAGUUAAUAGGCACCCUUUGUCGUAGUUACCAUUUUUUCCUACUGUCAAAAUUCACUAUCAGUAGCAGUAACGUAGAAUGUAUAGUACAGGCACAAGCACAAGCUCCCCCAAACGUCAUCGCUCCACCCUCACCACCACUCAUCCCCGCCACUCUGGCGAGAUAGCAUGGCGACUCUUCUGAGGAGACUUAGGUCUAUUAUGAAUUCGUGUUUAUGUAGGGCCUUAUAUUUUUUAAAAUUUAAUUUGUGAUGAUAGGACUUACAUGCUUUUAUUACAUUCUUUGAAUGAUCCACUCCUUUUUCCUUUCUUCUUUGUUUUCUUACAUAAAAGUUGAAACUGGGGAUGAUGUUUGAGGUUCCUCAAAAAUCUUGGACAACAUGUACAAUAUCAAAUAGAUACACUUUCUUAUCUCCUCUCAUCAUUAUUGUUUCUAUUUCGGUUGUUUUCUCCACAUUGUUUUAUUUUCUAUAUAUACUUUUAUGCUAAACAUUUUAUCUAGUUGUGUUAAAAGUGCUAGGAAAAAUGAAAGACAUUUAAGGAUUGUUUUCUUCCCGAUUCUGAAACUUAAUUUUUUCCCAAUAUCUCACGAUCUAUUCUUAUUUCAUGUCAUGACCCGAGGACUACCCCGAGUCGCGACAACGAUGCUUACGAUCACAGGUGAUCACAAGCUAACCCAUAAGAUGGUACCUGCUGUGAGCACUGAAUAAAAUAAUAAUCAUACAUGUGUAUGGAAGAUAAACUACUGAAGUAAUACAAAUCUGAAUACUAAAAUAUGAUUGAAUAACAAUUCUUAGCAUCAGGUGAAAUAUUGAAAGAUAACUGUUAAUUUAAAAUAACAAAUAAUACUGAAAGGACUGAUAAACUGAAUAACCGUCUAACUAACUGUCUGAUUGUCUGAAAGCCUCUAACUGACUGAGGAGUUGAUAGGAUAGGUCCCCAACUAACUUUGAAUGACUAAACAUAAUGAAUUAUUGGAUGAGAGAUAAUAUGUCCUCAAUGGAUGAGGACACAACACUAUGGCUUUUAAGUAAUGUUGGCUGUCUAACUGCAGUUGGGAAACUAAGACUCCAAACCUAUGAUAUAAGACAUCAUAGUGCAAAGAAGAGUAUGCGGUCAGUACUUUAAAUGUACUGGUAUAUGAAAUAAGGAUCGGCUAAAAUACAUGGGUAACUGUGCAUGAAUGCAUAAAUAAGGAAUAUUUGCAAUUACAAGACCAAGUAUAAAUAUGUUUCUAAAAUAAUCUGGAAACUAAAAGACUGUAAUCUGUAUAACUGAAUAACUAAUAAUCUAUACACUUGGUCAAUACAAACCUGAACUGAAAAUAUACGAAAUACUGCAUUGAGACUGUGGGAGGUAUCAUCUAAUCGACAUUCCCAAUCUGAGUUAAUUUGGGUCUAACUUGUAACCCUAGUUGAAAGGGUGUUAGUACCAUGCCACAUGUACUAACAAUGGUUGUAUGGAUCCACUAAGCUGAGGUAUUCCAAAGAACUAAUGAGUCACCCUAACUAGCAGGUGCUCUAAUGAGAUAUGUGUCACCUUCAACUGACAGGUAAACACCUUGUCAACCCUCAACUGGAAGGUAUACAUCUCUAACCUACGUUGGCUGCAUAGUUCUAUAACUUGGGAAUUGUUACGAAGGGUCACACCCUCUACUGUCAGGUGAGCCCUCAUCCUUGAGUUCACUCGGUGCUAAAUCCUACUCCCCACUGAACUGAUUUGAACUGAACUAAGCUUGACUGAGCAUGAUUUCAUAACUUCUAGUGCUUAUCAUGAUUACAUCAACAGAAUAAGUGAUAGAAUUUAUGGUUUAAUUGAAUUACUACUAAAAUAAUCUGAAUUCAUGUAAAAACUCUUAGGUAUCAGGUAUUCAUAACCAACCAGCAUUGAAUAAUCAUUGAAUGCAAUAACAAGCUAAAAAACUGUGGUAAAGGAUUAUGGUUCAAAACCCAUUAGCAUAGAUAUUCCAUCAAAUAUGUGGGGAUCAUGAAUUUAAAUAUGGGAAUGCUUUAAAUAGGGGAAACAACAUGACUGCAUAACUAAAAAUCAUAAUUUAGGGGUCUAACAUAGAAUUCACUUGAAAUGGAACAUGGGAAACUGAAAUUCAAAGCAUGAGGAAAUCAAAUCUUGAAUGGGAUCAUACAUAGGCUAAAUUGAAUUUAAAAUCACCAUGGUAACAUGAAUUAAACCCAUCUUAAGCAACAUAAAAUACCAUAAUAAUAGAAAAAUCCAUUCUUUAAUUGAAAAGAAAGAACCCAUGAAUGAACACCUGCAUACCUUAAGCUUCUUAACUUAAAAGGAAAACACUAAUAUUGAUGCUUUCUUGAAGGUUCUUGAACUUGGGGAACUUGAAUUAUUGAUUUCUUGGGGAGAAAGGAAUUGAAUUCUUGUUCUUGGGGGAACGAGAGGGUUUUCUUGAGAGGAAAGUUUAAAAAGAAGGGAAAAUAAUGCCCUAAUUGAUGCUUCAAGUCAUGAUAUAAACUAUUAGGUUGAGGGGAAAGUACCUAAUUGUCUUUCAGUCAUUUAAAUUCAAAAUUGGAUGCAAUAGGCUUACCGCGACGUAGUCCUAUCACGGUCUUUCAUUUCCCUCACCGUGAUGAGGUCUGCAUGAGAAUAGGAAUAGAGCCACAAUGCUAGCUUAUCAUGAUGGCCCACUGGUUUCGUGAUCCAAACAUGUCCUAAACCUUUUCCAAAAAAUCCAAAACUUCUCCGAGACUACUUCUUACAUUCCUGAACAUGAAUCAACUCAGAAACCAAUAUCUCGGGGUUGGGAAGACUAAAUAAAAAUCCUCAAAGUUAUAGAUCUUAAAAAAUGACUAAGUCCCCAACACUUAGUGCAAAUUUUAGGCCUUAAGCCCCUUAUGUAUGCAACUGAGAGAUGAACCAAGCUAAGAUUAGUGCAGGGUAUUACAAUAUCUCCCCCUUGGGAACAUUCAUCCUCGAAUAAGACUGGUUAGACUGAGUGCACAAAAUUAAGGAAACUGAGAUCAUAUACUGAACAUGCAUGAUUGGGAACAUAAUUAUAUAAUGAGUCUGAAACAUAAUACAUGAACUGAGCUAAUUUCGUGAAUGCAUGCAAUAACAGGAGGAUGUUUAUAUAUAUAUAUAUAUAUAUAUAUAUAGCUGGAACUGAGAACGAAAAAGAAUCAAUCUAGGGAAAAUUGUUACCUCAAGCUGUGUCUAAGUUUGUAAACAAAAUAUGAGUAUACUUGGUAUGCAUAACUGCUUCCUUUUCCUAAGUAGCUUCCUCAAUGGACUGAUUCUGCCAUAGAACUUUAACAAACGGAACUUCUUUGUUCCUUAGGCUAUGAAUCUGACAAUCAAGGAUCUCAACUGGGACUUCUUCAUAGGAAAGGCUAUCCUUAACGUACAUAUCUUCUAAAGGAACAACUACAGCUGAAUCACCAAUACACUUCUUUAACAAAGAAACAUGAAACACCAGAUGCACUGAUGCCGAAUCUGCACACAACUCUAGCUCAUAAGCUACCUUUACAAAACGGUUUAAGAUUCUAUAAGGGACAACAUACCUGGGACUGAGCUUCUCUUUCUUACCAAAUCUCUCUACUCCCUUCAUGGGCGAGAUUUUCAAAAUAACUAAAUUACCUACCUCAAACUCAAGAUCUCUUCUCCUCAUAUCUUUAUAGGAUUUCUGAUGAUUUUUAGUUGUCUUCAGUCUUGCACUAAUCAACUAAACAUUCUCUAUUGCAUCAAAUACGGAAUUUGGCCCUAUUAAAGCCGCCUUACUGGACUCAAACCAACUAAUAGAAGAUCUAUAUCUUCUCCCAUAGAGAGCCUUAAAUAGAGCCAUCUAAAUAUUAAAGUGAUAGCUAUUAUUAUAAGCAAACUCAAUCAAAGGUAAGUGUUCAUCCCAACUACCUUUAAAAUCAAUAACACAUGUUCUUAACAUGUCUUCUAAGGUCUAAAUGGUCCUCUCUUCCUGACCAUCUGUCUGAGGAUGAAAAGUUGUACAGAGAUGAACUUGGGUACCAAGAUCCUUCUAAAAAGCCUUCCAAAAGUGAGAGGUAAACUGAGUACCUCUAUCCGAUAUGAUAGAUAUCGGAAUCCCAUGCAACUUAACCAACUACCUAAUAUAAAUCCUGGAAUAAUCCUCAGCCUAGUAGGAAGUAUGAACUGGUAAGAAAUGAGUUGAUUUGUUCAUUCUAUCCAUAAUGAACCAUAUCGAAUCAUGUUGACAAUGUGUACGAGGCAAACCUAUCACAAAAUCUAUGUUCACCACUUCCUACUUCCAAUUAGGGAGCUGAACUCCUGCCAUCCACCACUAGGCCUUUGGUGCUUAACUUUAACCUACUGAUAAUUUGAACACUUAGCUAUGAACUCUGCAAUAUCCUUCUUCAUACCAUUCCACCAAUAAAUUUCCCAUAAGUCAUGGUAUAUCUUGGUGGCCCCUGGAUGAAUAAAAUAACGAGCACCAUGCACUUCAGCUAAAAUUCACUGCCUCAAACCAUCAACACAUGAAACAUAUAACAUGCUUGGAAAUGCAACACACCAUCUCUCCCUUGGAAGAAAACCUCUACUUUCUGAUCUCUGACCGAUUCAACUUAACUAGACUGGGAUCCCUAUCUUGCUUUUCCUUUACUUUUAUAACUAAUGAAGAUUCCAAACCAUUCUAAACCCAUACACUACCUUCAGGUGAGUCAACCAGCCGAACGCCUAAUCUAGCAAGCUGAUGAAGCUCUCGGACUAACUUCAUCUUAUCCUCCUCAACAUGAUAAUUAUUCUUGAUUGUGACUUUGUCUAACCGACGGCAGUUGAUGCAUAUUUUGGGAGAACUCUUUUUCUUAUGCAUGAAAAAAAUUGGAGCACCCCAUGGGGAAAUACUAGGCCUGAUGAAUCCCUUAUCUAAGAGAUCUUUAAACUAUUCUUUCAACUCUUUAAGCUCAGUUGAAGCCAUUCUGAAUGGUGGAAUAGAGAUAGGUUAGGUAUCAUGAAGGAGAUCUAUUCUGAAGUCAAUUUCCCUUUCGGGAGAAACUCCACAUACCUUAAGCUUCUUAACUUGAAAGGAAAAACUAAUCUUGAUGCUUUCUUAAAGGUUCUUAAACUUGGGGAACUUGAAUUAUUGAUUUCUUGUAGAGAAAGAAAUUGAAUUCUUGUUCUUGGGUGAAGAAGGGGGUUUUCUUGAGAGAAAAGUUAGAGAAGAAGGGCAAAUAAUGCCCUAAUUGAUGUCCCAAGUUGUGAUAUAAAUGUUUGGGUUGAAGGAAAAAAGACCCAAUUUCCCCUCAAUUAUUUAAAUUCAAAACUGGACACUAAAGGCUUAUCGCGAUGCGGUCUUAUUAUGGUCAUCGCAAUACGGUUUGCAUGAGAACGGAAAUAGAGCCAUGAUGCAGGCUUAUCGUGAUGAUCCACUGGUUUUGUGAUCCAAAAAUAUUCUAAAACUCAUUCGAAAAUUUCAAAAAUUCUUUGACACAUACUUUUUAUAUCCCUGAACAUGAAUCAACUCAAAAAUUAAUAUCUCGGGGUUGGGAAGACAAAAUUAAAAAUCCUUAAAAUUAGAGGUCUUAAAAAAUGACUAAGUCCCAAAAACUUAGUUCAAAUUUUAGGCCUUAAGCCCCUUACAUAUGUAAUUAAAAGUUGAACCAAACUAAGAUUAGUACGGGAUAUUAUAUUUCCCCUUUUAAAAUUGCUCAUACUCCAAUCGAUCAAUGUCACGAUCUGAAUUCAGGCCUGGCCGUGAUGGGUAAUCUCAAGCCUACCAUGGAUCGGAGACCGCCCCCUUAACCUUACCUCAAGAACACAUUAAAAUUAAAUUGUAGAAGACAACCUAAAUUAAUAAAAAGAAAAAUAGAUAGCCAUAAGAAGAUUCUAAAAAUCAAAACUAACGAGCAACCCAAUACUUGUCCACAAAAGCUUCGCAAAUAAGAAAUAGCAAACUAGGUCGGGACACGCCCCCGACCAAGACAAAAAAAA